UCUCUCCCUUAGGUGGUUUGCCAACUGGGGUUGGUGGCUUGUGUUCUGGGAGUGGCUUCUCCCCCUUGGGAGGUUUUUCCAAUGGGGUUGGUUUGUGUUCAGGAGGUGGCUUCUCCACUGGAGGCUUGUGUUCAGGAGGUGGCUUCUCCACCGGAGGCUUGUGUUCAGGUGGUGGCUUCUCCACCGGAGGCUUAUGCUCUGGUGGUGGCUUCUCGAAUGGGGGAUGCUUAGGAUAAUCAGCAAGUGAGGGGGCGGUGAGAACCACCAGGCCAAGCAACACCACUAGCAAAUAUGUAGGAGACAUCUUUGGGUUUGGGCUCAGAUGGUGCAAAACUAGGAGAAUUGGCUAGCCUUUUAUAGCGGAUCGUACCCAAUAAUGAAAUGACACGUGUCAUUAUGACCCAUGUGUAAUGGGGUCGAUUUGGGUCCUACAGUGUUGAAAACUUCGACAUCCACUUUUGGCCUUUUGCUUUCUCUACAGCCGCCUUGCUUUUUCCCUCUUUCCUUUUGUUUUCCUCCUGCCCCAUUCUAUCAACUAAACACAAUUAUGUAGUUGUUUAAUUCUUAAAUGAGAUAUUAUCCGUCAAUCGUAUUAUAUUUUAUCAAGAGAGAACGGAGUGCAAUGUGGCUGUAAUUUUAUCGUUUAGUUUUAUCUCUUGGACCACUGCAUUUUUGUUAAGAGGUGCAAUAAUACACGUCUUUAUCUGCCAUUCAAUAUUUACAGUAAAGAGAGGGCACAAAACUCUUCACUUCGCACCAUAAUUAUUUUGUUUUCUGGACACCCCGGGGCCCUUUGGUUGGUUUGGGGGUCAGAAAGUGAACAUCAUAGGGGGUUUUUCCCUUAUGUGCAUUUGUAUCUGAUGGCUUUAACUCGCCUUGUUACUACAAAGAAACUGUCACAGAUAGGAACUUAUUCCAGGCUGAGUAUCUCCUCAUAGACCCUAUAAAAGAAGACAAGUCAUAAUGAACAUCUAACCUUUGUUCAAUUUGAUUCAAUGCCCCCAUUGUGUCCAUCUCACAAAUCUGAAUUAUUAUAUCCAUUGAAUACAUAAAUUAAUGAAGAAAAUAUGAAACCCAAGAUACAUCUCUGCACAACCUCAACCCUGGUUGCUAUGUUUCCCUUCUAUUCACAUGAUUUGAUGCUAAUUGCCAAACUUGCAACAAGCCCUGAGUUUGACACCUAGUAUCGAUGGGCGAAUUUAAAGUCUCCUCCAAACAUAUAUUCCACAGCUUGAAGCUCACAGAAGAUGUUACAGGCAGGGAAAAACCUUCAGAGUUCGCUACCAAAGAUAAUUAUUAAGGAGAUAUCACAAAGAGAAUUCCAAGGGGUCUGAAUCAAAGACAAAUUGGUCGUUCGUGGGGGUUCUUACUUUCUUUUGGGUAUAACUCACUGAGGGCACUGUCUUUGUUAUUUGCAUUUCACAUUUAGAGUUCUGUUCUGGAAACAUAUAAAAGGAGCAUCAUUUUGUUCUUGGGUAACCCAUAGUCGUGAGUGGGUCCAUUUGCAUGCUACUUAGUUGAAAAGUUGGACCAUUUGCUCCGACGCCUACCUCCCGGAUUCCAUGCUCGGAUAAAACAAGAAUAAAAAAAAUAUUUAUAAUUUACAAAUGGGGGAAAGAAAAAAAUGUCAACAACAAACCAGGAAAAAAGAGUAGUAAAAUUCAUGUCACAUGCUAGUGAGAGAAGGGGUUGUUACACUCACUCGAAGUUCUUUCCAAAAUAUCGCAUGGUAUUUUAUUUUAUGUGUCAGCGCAGUUGUGAAUGGAACGUGCAAAAGUCCAAAUUGGCGUUUUUCCUUUUCCCGUGUAGGAUGGCGACCUUUAAUAAAUAUUUAAAACAAAAAACGAAAAAAAGGAGGGAAAAGGGAUCAGAAAAGAUAAAACAAUGUGUACAAGAGCUCAAUUAGUUUGCAAAUUACUGUUUGGAUUUUGAUAGUAUUUUAUUUGUCCAUCUAUAUUUGAUGGAAAAGAGAAUUUAAGAUAUUUCUGAAACAAAAGCAUUAGUGUAAAACUAAAUUAAGGUAUAAUUAAGUUAGUUCAAUGCAUUAAUUUAAGAAACUUGAUCUAUCCAAAGUACAAAAUUAGAUGAAAUCCAUUUCAAUGGUUAAAAUGAUCAAAAUCAAACUUUUUCUAAGUAUUUUUUAAAAGCAUCAAUAUUAAAAGACAAUUUUAUAUUUAGUCGGAGUUUGGACAAAACCAAAAAGCACACAAAAUCCAAGCGACCAUCUCUAGCUUGGAUAGUCACUUGAUCCCACCUAGAGAUGUGCAUGAGUAAAAGGAUUUGAAAAUGGAAAUUGACUAAAUAUUUAGUUGAUCAAUUAAAUUUGCAAUGUCAUAUGCAAUCCUAAUAGCUAGUCAUCUAAUCAAUUAGGUAGUCAAUCAAGUGUUUGUAAUGACUAUUUUGUACAAAAAACCACAUGUAUAGUUAAAUAUAAUGCAUUUCAUUUAUAAAUCUUCUAAUUCUUGAAUAACGAUCCUAUCAUCCUUUGAAAAUUUUUAUUACACCUUUUUUACUUUUGUUCUAAAACUUACAUAUCACCCUUAAUUGUACCAUGAGAACCUAGCUAUUUUUUUUUUUUUUGUAAUUCAUCAAAGUUAGCUUUUGUAUUCAUUGUUGUAUUAUUUUUAGUAUAACUUAGAAAGCUAGUGUUUUCAAGUGAGUAAAAUUAACUUGUAAAUAUUGUAAAGAUUCAUUGAUAUGUAUCUUAAACUAAGUGUACAAAUUAAAACAUUUGCUAGUAGAUUUUCUCAAAAUUUAGAAUAGAGCUUGAGGCUAUUGAAAUAGGUGGGGUUACACCAAACCACAUCACAUCGUUGUUUGCACCUUUUUUCACUCUCUUUUACUUAGUUUCUCUAUAUUUGUUGUCUAGUAAUAUCCUAUAGGCUUGAUGGGUUAGGGAGCAUCCCUUUGUGAAAAAAUUUCAUUCAAUUCUUAGUUGUAUUACGCAUAUAUAAAAUGCCUCAUUGUUUUAAUGGUAUUCAGUCGUGGCAUCACAGAUAUGGGCAUCUAAAUUUUAAAAGUUUGAAACUUUUGUAAAGCAUGUUGAUAAAAUCCAUGAGAGUUGUGUACUUGGGAAGCAACAUCGAGGUGACUUUAUUUUUUUUUCCUUUUAUAAUGCCACACCUAAGUCCGGUUUCUAAAUGCUAAAGUGAAAGGGUAGGUAUGGACCAUUGAAAUGUGAUCACAACUUUUGGCCUUUUCCUUUCUCUGCAGCCAUGUUGUCUCUUUUUUCUUUUGCAUGAUUUUCUUACCAAAACAGAAUCAUAGACUUGUUUAGUCUCUAAGCUACUAUAUUAUAUCUCGGUGGACUUUUAAGAGUGCAACCGACAUAGAGCACAUGCAAGUGGGCAUAUGGGACAUGAAAUUUCUUCUUACAAAGAUUGCAUGAUUUUUAUAUUAGAGUUGUUCACGUGCAAUGUAUUUAGCUUGUUUUGCAGUUAAAUUAAUUGGAUAAGUAAACAUUGGCAUUUCUAAAUCGACUGUGAAGUGCUUCAUGUACGUGUAAAGUAUUAGAAAUUUCUUUCUUGGCAACUUGUUUUUUCCUUGCCAUCUACUGGUAGGUUUGACUAAAAUUAUAUUCCCUGUCAUGCUAAUUAAUUUUCAUGUGCAUGCUCAAAAGAAGAGUAUGACCUUAGUGCACCAAAAUCACUUUGAUUAAUUUGUGAUAGGUUUUUUUGCAUCAUUUAGAUAAUGUUUAGUUCUAAGAAAAAUUUAUAUAAAAAUGGUUUAUUUAUCUUACAUAUAUAUAUAUAUAUAUAUAUUUUUUUUUUUUUCAUUUUUUUUUCUUCUAUUUUAUUUAUUUAUUUUAUUUUCCUUAUGUUUUCCUCACAUUUUCCGGAACUAAACAUAGUCUUACGAAAUCAACAAUUGCCUUCAACUGAGUAGAUUCUGUUGUUUUAGCAAUGUUAGGCUGCUAACUUGUGGUGGUACGAACCAAAUGACCCAUGUUAAUCUUGGCUUGGUUUGAUUUGGCUCUAUCUCAGAGAGCUAAAGGAUCACGUCAACUCUGGUUUCUACUAUUCAGGUCCAUUCCCAGAUGAACUGGUUCAAAUUUGAGAAAAUGGUAACAGACCUUUAGUGAUGUUGGUUUGGAGCCAGUUGCCAAACCCGCCCUGAGCUUUACCACUAAUGUCAAGGGAGAAAGCCAUUUGAACAAAAACAAUAGCUUCAAGAGACUGAAUCGUGGAUGAAAUCUGAUCCACAUUUCUUCUCAUUUUGGGAAAAAAUGAGAACUUAACUACAAAGAUUCUACUGCCUCAUUCAUAGUGCUUUUCCUGAUCCAAGGUUGGUUCGUUUCCCAAAUUGUGAGGUGCACGUGCCACUCUCACGCUCAGGAGUGUAUCCACGUGGUGGACAUCAGAUGGUGGCUUAAUAUCUGGUGUCGGUGGCUUUACUUUACUAGGAGAGUAGUGUGUCUUCAUCUCAUUCACUGCCGGAGGGUGGCGUAAGCAGUGACGCUAAGGUGGGGCACAGUCAAUAUCAUUUGCAUUUGACCAUUAUAGUUUUCUCCCGGCUUGAAAGUAACCUUAUCGUGAUAAAGGAUUACUAGCACUAGUUCAGAUGACCGUCAUGUUAAUUCGGACCAUGUUUGUGUCACAUUAUCAGCAACCAUGUGUUUAUGGUUCAUGCUAUCUGCAACUAAACUUGAUAUAUAACCAGGUGAACUUCAAUCAAAAUUCUGGAAGUACUCUUGUGAUAGAUGGUGCCUGUCUGCAGAGUCCAUCAAUUGAAAAAUGGAGUGAGUGUAUCUAUAAGAGGGAAGGCUUGGCAAAUGUUCAGUUUUCUGGGAAUUCAACAAGGAUCUAAAAUAGAUUGUUUUCUUUGCCGACUUCAAUGGUUGAAAUUUGAGAAGAUUGUGUCCACAUAUCACAACUAUUACUGGUCCUUCUGUUGCAAUUUAUCCUGUAAGGCUCUAACAUGUCUUCCAAUUCCCACUUCCCUGUUACUCCAGGAAAGCUAUUUCUGUCAUUGUGAAGAAGAAAAGAGAAUGUACAUAUCGAUGCUUUUAAGUGACUGGAGCAUUCAUAUCAGGUGGUCUGCAGCCAUAUAUGCCACUUUGUGAAGGUUGGAACAGUCAAUCACUAGGCUAUAUAUUGGUGUGGCCCAGCCACUUCAAUCAAGGACAAGUCUUCAUACUUAAAGUCAAAUUCUGCCUUUAGUCUCAUUAUAAAUUGCUGUUUAAAUAUUAAGCAAACUUUUGUUUAAUGCGAUUAAGACAGUACUAACUCAAUACUUGUUCUAUUUUUGGAUGCAAAUGCUUGAUGGUUUCAUCAUUGGAUGGGAUAAAGGUGCAUUCAUGAUUAUGAAUACUUGUAGUUAUAUUUUCAUUCUCUUUUUUCUCAAUGAGACUUGUUGGCACAAUGUUGCUGUUCAGAAACCUACCUCUCCAUGGAAAAUAAGUUGCGAUUGAUAGUACUGGAUAUGUUCAAGAAAGCUAAAUAUAGAUAGCACAAAAUAUUAUCGAUAUAAAUAGCAUUAACAGCGUACGUAUGUCUCAAUGCUCAUCAGCUAUAAGCAUGGGACAAACACUUACUAUGAGCAACUUACGUCAAAAUUCCAGAAUAGGACAUAGAAGUGACAGAUCUAUAUAUAUAGAACACUGCAUAUGAGUCACAAGAAAGGAAAUUACGGGUGCAUAGCAGCUCUUAUUUUACAUACUACUACUCAUACUGAUCAAAGUCACUCAGUUGGGAUGGGUGGGAGUAGGAGGUUUGUGGGGUGGCUUGUGCGGAGGAGUUGGCAGCUUCUUUCCAGGACCUGGUUGCUUCUCUGCUGGAGUUGAAGGAGGCUUAAUCUUCCGAGGUGGCUUGUAUGAGUCUUCAGCAUUCUCAGCUGGAGGGUGACCAGGGUUGUGACCAUAAUGUGGUGGCUUCUCUCCCUUAGGUGGUUUGCCAACUGGGGUUGGUGGCUUGUAUGAGUCUUCAGCAUUCUCAGCAGGAGGGUGACCAGGGUUGUGACCAUAAUGUGGUGGCUUCUCUCCCUUAGGUGGUUUGCCAACUGGGGUUGGUGGCUUGUGUUCUGGGAGUGGCUUCUCCCCCUUGGGAGGUUUUUCCAAUGGGGUUGGUUUGUGUUCAGGAGGUGGCUUCUCCACUGGAGGCUUGUGUUCAGGAGGUGGCUUCUCCACCGGUGGCUUGUGUUCAGGAGGUGGCUUCUCCACCGGAGGCUUAUGCUCUGGUGGUGGCUUCUCCACCGGAGGCUUAUGCUCUGGUGGUGGCUUCUUGAAUGGGGGAUGCUGAGGGUAAUCAGCAAGUGAGGGGGCGGUGAGAACCACCAGGCCAAGCAACACCACUAGCAAAUAUGUAGGAGACAUCUUUGGGUUUGGGCUCAGAUGGUGCAAAACUAGGAGAAUUGGCUAGCCUUUUAUAGCGGAUCGUACUCAAUAAUGAAAUGACACGUGUCAUUAUGACCCAUGUGUAAUGGGGUCGAUUUGGGUCCUACAGUGUUGAAAACUUCGACAUCCAGUUUUGGCCUUUUGCUUUCUCUACAGCCGCCUUGCUUUUUCCCUCUUUCCUUUUGUUUUCCUCCUGCCCCAUUCUAUCAACUAAACACAAUUAUGUAGUUGUUUAAUUCUUAAAUGAGAUAUUAUCGGUCAAUCGUAUUAUAUUUUAUCAAGAGAGAACGGAGUGCAAUGCAGCUGUAAUUUUAUCGUUUACUUUUAUCUCUUGGACCACUGCAUUUUUGUUAAGAGGUGCAAUAAUACACGUCUUUAUCUGCCAUUCAAUGUUUACAGUAAAGAGAGGGCACAAAACUCUUCACUGCUCUGCAUGUGUCCCAAAAAUGCGAUUGGACAAAUUAUGAUUUGCAUGCUAAAAAGAGGCAAAUGAGGUUAAUUCGCACCAUAAUUAUUUGGUUUUCUGGACACCAUAAAAAGAUGUUAUACAGGCAGGGAAAAACCUUCAGAGUUAGCUACCAAAGAUAAUUAUCAAGCAGAUAUCACCAAGAGAAUUCCAUAGAGUCUGAAUCAAAGACAGAUUGCUCGCUCGUGGGGGUUCUUACUUUCUUUUGGGUAUAACUCACUGAGGUCACUGUCUUUUUUAUUUGCAUUUCACAGUUAGAGUUCUGCUCUGGAAGGUUUGUUCUGGAAACAUAUAAAAGGAGCAUCAUUUUGUUCUUGGGUAACCCAUAGUCGUGAGUGGGUCCAUUUGCAUGCUACUUAGUUGAAAAGUUGGACAAUUUGCUCCGACGCCUACCUCCUGGAUUCCAUGCUCGGUAAAACAAGAAUAAAAAAAAAUAUAUAAUUUACAAAUGGGGGAAAGAAAAAAUGUCGGAAAAAAUAGUAAAAUUCAUGUCACAUGCUAGUGAGAGAAGGGGUUGUUACACUCACUCGAAGUUCUUUUCAAAAUAUCGAAUGGUAUUUUACUUUAUGUGUCAGCGCAGUUGUGAAUGGAACGUGCAAAAGUCCAAAUUGGCGUUUUUAUUUUUCCCAUGUAGGAUGGUGACCUUUAAUAAAUAUUUAAAACAAAAGACGAAAAAAAAAAGGAGGGAAAAGGGAUCACAAAAGAUAAAAUAAUGUUUACAAAAGCUCAAUUAGUUUGCAAAUUACUGUUUGGAUUUUGAUAGUAUUUUAUUUGUCGUUCUAUAUUUGAUGUAAAAGAGAAUUUAAGAUAUUUCCGAAGCAAAAGCAUUAGUUUGCUCUGUGAUGUCCCACAUCGAAUAGGGGAGAAAGUUUCUGGCGCUAUAUAUGUAGAGGCUCCUCUUAACCAAGUAGAUGCGUUUUAAAACCAUGAGGGCCCCCUUAGGUCCAAAGCGGACAAUAUCUACAUGAUUGGGUGUAAGUCAUUACAAAUGGUAUCAGAGCCGAUCCCCGACCCCGGUGUGGGGGUUUGUUUGGCCCUGUAAGGGGUGUUUGUCUGUUUGACCCCACAAUCCCAUGGGACACAACGAGGACGUUGUGUCUGCAUGGGGGGGCGUUUGUGAUGUCCCACAUCGGAUAGGGGAGAAAGUUCCUAGUGCUAUAUAUGUAGAUGUUUCUCUUAACCAAGUAGAUGCAUUUUAAAAUUGUGAGGGCCUCUUUGGGCCCAAAGCGGACAAUAUCUACAUGGUUGAGUGUAAGUCAUUACAUGCUCCAUGUCAAUUUCAGCAUUUCUCAUAUGUUUCACACAUACACAGAAGAGCAUCGUUUUUUAAAGCAUGCAUUUAUGUUGGAUUAAUUUGGAUUUUGUGGGAACUGGGGCAAGGAUCACAUGGAAGAGAGGUUGACUUUUUUCAGUACUUCAAUGGUUGAAAUAUGUGAAGGCUUGAUUGAUACUAAAGCUUGAAAUUGCGACUCUGUCAUUUGUAAAAAAAUAUGACAGCUUCCAUGCUCUCGUUUGGUUGCAUUGUCCGGUCGAGAGGUGCAAAAAGCAUUCUCUCUCUUCUAAUAGUCUUUUCGUUUAAAUCAAGGGAUUUGCCUUCCCGGUCGAGGUCCAAUAGAGGGUAACGGUCACCUACUAAACAUUAAAUGCUCCAACAACUAGUGAACUGAUCGACCCCAGCUCGACUAGUUGAGGUUACUUUUUGGUUUUCUUGUCUCCCGAGGUUAGAAACCUAUAAAUAGAGAGCUUCACUUCAUUUAUGAGUAAGAGAACACCUAAAUUUAUUUGUUUACCUACUUGUUUUUGCCAUAAAAGCUCUCAUUUCUUUUCUUGGUGUAUUAAAUCUCCAUUUGCAUAUCCUUUAGUGCACCUUUGUGAUUCAUUCUAGCCUUGAGUUGUAUUUAAGCCUUUGUUGAGCUAGGUUGAGAGUUUCAUACUUGUUUAUUGAGUGUUAAAGCCUUCAAGUGAGUUAAAACUUGAAGAGAUUGUGUAAGAGCCCAUUGGAGUCGGAAUCCAAGUGUAAAGGUGAUUAAAAGCUUGGUUGAAGCUUCAAGUUAGUGGAACUCUCACUCGGUUAUGAGCUUGAGAAGAGUGGACAUAGACAAGGCAGUGUCGAACCACUAUAAAAUCUGAGUUUGAUUUCUCUAACCUUAUCUCUUUAUAUUUGCUUCUCUUGUGCUUAAAUUUUUUGUGUUUAAAAAGAAUUUUUAAAAACUCAAUUCACCCCCUUCUUGGGAGUUUUUCUCUUUUAAGAUCAGCUUUUAUUUUCUCAAUUGGUAUCAGAACUAUGCCUCUUGUUUAAGACUUAAUCGUCUAAGAGGAAAUGGCUAAUCCAUCAAGUUCAUCUCACAUUGAAAGUUUUGCAACCAAUAGACUUCUUUUUUUUUUUUUGCGGGAACUGAUUAUCCCUAUUGGAAAACUAAAAUGACUUGGUUUUUACAAUCAAUUGAUUUAGAUGUAUGAGAUGCCAUUGAAGAUGACCUAACUUUUCCUUCAAAACUAGUUGAUGGAGUCAUGGUUCCAAAACCUAAGCAAGAAUGGGAUGAGCGUGAUUGAAGAAAUUUUCAAUUAAAUGCUAAAGUCGUUUAUACUUUGCAAUGCUCUAUGGACAGAAAUGAAUAUAAUAGAAUAUGUCAAUGCAAAUCGGUUAAAGAAAUUUGGAGAUUGCUUGAAAUAACUCAUAAAGGAACAAAUCAAGUUAAAGAGUCAAAAAUCAAUUUACUUGUUCAUAGAUAUGAAUUGUUUUUUAUGAAAGAUAAUGAAACUAUUGUUAAGAUGAUCACUAGGUUCACCAACAUUGUUAAUGGUCUUAAAGCCUUGGGAAAGACCUACAAGGAAUCCGAAAACGUGAUGAAGAUCUUGAGGUCACUUCCAUCAAAGUGGCAUACCAAGGUCACCGCAAUUUAAGAAGCAAAAGACUUGAUCAAGCUACCUUUGGAGGAGUUCAUAGGGUCAUUGAUGACAUAUGAAAUCAAUUUGGCAAAGAAGUAACAAAAAGGUGAAGACAAAAAGAAGAAGAACAUAACUCUCAAAGCUACAACUAAGGAAGAAGAAGUUGAAGAAGAAAAACAAAUUGAAGAAGAUGAAGAUUUAGCCCUCAUCACAAGAAAGUUCAACAAAUUCAUGAGGGGUGAAAGGUUUAGAAGAAGAAGGUUCACUUCUAGAAGAGACUUUUCUAAAAAGGAAUCUUCAUCUAAUGGUGACAAAAAGAGAUGGGAAGAGAAAAGAGACUUGGUGUGUUUCAAGUGCAAGAAACCGGGACACAUUAAAUAUGAUUGUCCUCUCUACAAAAGUGAAGUCAAGAGGAAAAAGAAUAAGGCAAUGAUGGCCACUUAGAGUGAAAGUGAAGAUGAAUCAUCCGAAGAAGAAAAUGAGAAAGAAGUGGCAAACAUGUGUUUCAUGGCAAUAGAUGAACUUGAUGAGGUAAAAUCUAACCUUAGUGAUUAAGAUAUACAUGAUGCAUUUGAAGAAUUGUAUGAGGAUUUUUAAAAACUUAGUUUGAAAAAUAUUUCUCUUAAAAAGAAAGUUCAACAACUUGACAAAGAACUUAGAGAAGUAAAAGAAAAAUUUUCAAAUGUUAAAGUUUCUAAAACUCAUCUUGAAAAAGAAAAUGAGAUUCUAAGAAAGAAAAAUGAAUAGUUGAACUCCUCUCUUUCAAUCUUUUCUUCUAGACAAAAAUCUUUUGAAAUGAUUCUAACUAGCUAAAAAUGUGUUUUUGACAAACAAGGGUUAAGAUUUAAAUCUUCAAAAAAUCAAAAGUAUUUUAAAAACUAUUUUGUAAAGGAAUCCACAAGUGCAAGUCCUUCCACUACUUGCAACUUUUGUGGAAGAGAAUGGCACAUUAGUAGUACGCCCUUUAAGAAAUGGUUCUCAAAAGAAUUUAAAUGCAAAAACUAAAAAAGAUUUGGAUUGAGAAAUCCAAGGUCACUAACCCUCAAGGACCCAAAAAGAUAUAGGUACCUAAAUCAACUUGAGUUUUAUGUUGUAAGGUUCAAAGAAUGAUAAGUGGUUCUUAGAUAAUGGUUGCUCAAGACACAUGACCGGAGAUGAAUCCAAGUUUGCUUUUCUUAAAAAGAAAAAUGGAGGAUAUGUUACCUUUGGAGACAAUGCAAAAGAAAGGAUGAUUGGUCAAGGCAACAUUGGUAAUGGCACAUCCUCUCUCAUUGAAAGUGUUUUAUUAGUAGAUGGUUUCAAACAUAACCUUUUAAGCAUUAGUCAAUUUUGCGACAAAGGUUUUUAAGUGAUUUUUUAAGCAUCUCAUUGCAUCAUCAAGGAUAUUCAAAAUGAUAAAACCAUUUUCAUGGGCCAUAGAUGUGAUAAUGUUUAUGCUAUAAAUAUUUCAAAAUAUGAUGGCCAUGAUAGAUGUUUUUCAAGCAUGCAUGAUCAAAGUUGGUUGUGCCAUAGGAGAUUGAGACAUGCUAACAUAGACCUCAUUUCCCAACUCAACAAAGAUGAACUUGUUAGAGGCCUUCCCAAAAUAAUUUUUUAAAAAGAUAAAGUUUGUGAAGCUUGUCAAGUGGGAAAGUAAAUCAAAAACUCUUUUAAAAACAAAAACUUCAUUUCCACAUCUAGGCCACUUGAGUUGUUGCAUAUGGAUUUAUUUGGUCCCUCUAGGACACCAAGUCUUAGAGGAAAUUCUUAUGCAUAUGCUAUUGUGGACGACUUCUCUAGAUACACAUGAGUCUUGUUUUUUAGUCAAAAGAAUAAAGUUUUUUAUGAGUUUUCAAAGUUUUGCAAUAAGAUUCAAAAUGAAAAAGGUUUUUCAAUUACUUAUAUAAGAAGUGAUCAUGGGAGAGAAUUCGAAAAUAUUGAUUUUGAAGAGUAUUGCAAUGAGCAUGGAAUUGACCACAAUUUUUUGGCUCUUAGAACUCCUCAACAAAAUGGGGUAGUUGAAAGGAAAAAUAGAACUCUUCAAAAAAUGACAAGAACCAUACUAAAUGAAAACAACUUACCAAAAUAUUUUUAGGCCAAAACGGUUAACACUUCUUGUUAUGUUUUAAAUAGAGUAUUAUUGAGGCUCAUACUUAAGAAAACUCCCUAUGAGCUUUGGAAAAACAAAAAACCCAACAUUAGUUAUUCCAAAGUCUUUGGAUGCAAUAUUUUAUAAUAAACACCAAAGACAAUCUUGGAAAAUUUGAUGCAAAAUUGGAUGUUGGAAUUUUCCUUGGUUACUCAACUUCAAGUAAAGCUUUUCGAGUUUUAACAAAAGAACCAUGGUUGUAGAGGAGUCCAUCCAUGUUAUUUUUUAUGAAUCUCCAAGAAAGAGAGAGGAUUGAUGAUGAUUUAGGUUUGAAGACCUCUAUAGGAAGAUUGCAAAUCGAAGAUAGAAGACAACAAGAAGAAAAUGGAGAGAAUCCAAAGAAAGAAGGAUCACCAUUGGCACUACCCCCUCAUCAACAAGCGCAAGGUGAAUCAAGUCAAGAGCUUCCUAAAGAAUGGAAGUUUGUCAUCAAUCACCCACAAGAUCAAAUUAUAGGCAAUCCAUCUAGUGGGGUAAGAACUAGAUCCUCUCUUAGAAAUAUUUGCAAUAAUCUAGCUUUUAUCUCUCAAAUUGAGCCUAAAAAUAUAAAUGAUGUUUUAGAUGAUGAAAAUUGGAUAAUUGCAAUGCAAGAAGAGUUAAAUCCAUUUGAAAGAAGUGGAGUAUGGGAAUUAGUACCAAGACCUUCAAAUCAAAGUGUUAUUGGAACUAGAUGGAUCUUUAGAAAUAAAAUGGAUGAAAAUAGCAUAAUUGUUAGAAAUAAAGCAAGAUUGGUAGCCCAAGGUUUUAAUCAAGAAGAAAUGAUAGAUUAUGAAGAAACCUUUGCCCCCGUAGCUAGGUUGGAAGCCAUUAGGAUGCUACUUGCCUUUGCAUGUUUUAAAGACUUUGUUUUAUAUCAAAUGGAUGUGAAAAGUGCUUUUUUAAAUGGUUUUAUAAAUGAAGAAGUAUAUGUUGAACAACCACCCGGUUUUCAAAGUUUCAACUUUCCUAACCAUGUUUUUAAACUUAAAAAGACACUUUAUGGUUUGAAACAAGCACCUAGAUCAUGGUAUGAAAAAUUGAGUAAAUUUCUUUUGAAAAAAAUGUUUUAAAAUGGGAAAAAUUGACACAACUCUUUUUAUAAAAACCAAAGAAAAUGAUAUGCUCUUAGUUCAAAUAUAUAUUGAUGAUAUCAUUUUUGGUGCUACUAAUGUCUCUCUUUAUGAAGAAUUUUCUAAGUGCAUGCAUAGUGAGUUUGAAAUGAGCAUGAUAGGAGAACUCAACUUCUUCCUUGGACUUCAAAUCAAGCAACUAAAGGAAUGAACCUUCAUCAAUCAAGCAAAGUAUAUAAGAGAUCUUCUCAAAAGGUUCAACAUGGAAGAAGCCAAAACAAUGAAGACUCUAAUGAGCUCAUCCAUUAAGCUUGAUAAGGAUGAGAAAGGUAAAUCCAUUGACUCUAUUAUGUAUAGAGGCAUGAUAGGUUCUUUGCUCUAUUUGACCACUAGUAGACCUUACAUUAUGUAUAGUGUGUGUUUGUGUACUAGAUUUCAAUCUUGUCUUAAAAAAUCUCACUUAAGUGUCGUGAAAAGAAUCCUCAAAUAUUUGAAAGGGACAAUGGACAUAGGCUUAUGGUAUCCUAAGAGUGAUAACUUUGAAUUAAUUGGUUUUUUGGAUGCUGAUUUUGUCAGUUGUAGGGUUGAAAAAUAAAACACUAGUGGCACUUUUCAUUUCUUAAGACACUUACUUGUCUCAUGGCAUAAUAAGAAGCAAAAUUUGGUAGCUUUGUCAACAGCAGAAGCUAAAUACAUAGCAACUGGUUUAUGUUGUGCACAAAUCCUUUGGAUGAAAUAAACACUUAGUGAUUUUGAUUUAUCUUUUGAGCAUAUUCCUAUUAAAUGUGAUAAUAGUAGUGCCAUAAGUAUAUCAAAAAAUCUCGUGCAACACUCUAGGACUAAGCAUAUAGAGAUUAGACAUAAUUUUCUUAGAUAUCAUACACAAAAGGAUGAUAUAACACUUGAAUUUGUAAGCAUAAAAGACCAACUUGCCGAUAUCUUUACAAAACCUCUAAGAACAUUUUGUUGAUAUUAGAGGACAAUUAGGAGUGAUUUCUUUAUGAUCUAAUGUGAUGAAUUCUUGAUGAAUAUACUUUUUGAUUGCAUGAAUUUCAUGUCAUAUAUGCAUCAUAUAGAAAUAUACUUAGAUAAUGGUCAAAUUUCGACCAAAAAUCAAAAUUCCCAUGGCAUUAGGCAUAAAAAUUUUGGAAUUUCAACUGAAAAUGGUAGGAGGAGGAUCACAAAAUGAGAAAGUAUGCAAAAAUUGAAAAAUCAAAACGUUGACCAAGCGGUCAAUCGGACUAGACCGAUCGACUAGUUUGUCGAGAUUUAGGAUUUUUAAGAGACUCCAACGCUUCAAUUUUUGCACCGUUCUCCUCUAUUUCUUCACGGUUUCUCUGAUUUUGUCUUUUAGAGACUAAUUUGAGUGCGUUUUGGAUCAAUUGAAGCAUUUUGGAUUGGAUUUUAGGAAGAUUGAAAGUUAAGGUUUCGGAUUUGGGUCGCCUUCUCUUCCUCUCGCGUGUCACAAUCAGCUUUAGCAUUGUUCUCUUUCCAUUUUCACACACCUAGGGUUUCAGUUGUGAGCAUCUCUCUCUCUUUACCAACCACUACUCCCUUGCUUCUUCCAUAUGGCUCCUAGGCGAGAGUCCGCUACUUCUAGGGCACAAGGCAAGCACCCAACUGAGUCGUCUCAGUCAAAGGCACGUCGAAAAGUGAGAUUUGACAUUGCCUUGUUCAGUUCCAUGGAGGACUACCAACUAUACAAGCAACACUUUGCUUAGAGACGAGUAGUUCCCAAGAGAAAUAUUAAUUUUCCUCAACUUCAGCAUUUCGAAUUUAAGGGUCUAUUUACUAGGAUGGUUGGUUGUCUAUUGUCACAAUUUCGGAGCCGGUUUUCCUGACCUUAGUGCGAGUUUUUUACUCGAGGGCGACUUAUGGCAUGGGUGGCAUGAUCAUUUCUACUGUUGGAGGAGUUGAGAUCUGUCUGGACCCAGAGAGCAUCUGCCAUAUUUUCGAUAUUGCUCUGGUUGGACUCAAAGUAUACAAGUCCAAAAUGUGGCCCAUUGUGCCAGGAUUUGAGCUUAGAGAGGUCAUUCAGAGGAUUUGUGAACUUCCAGACGCCCAGGAGAUGGGCAAACCAUUGCCACACAGUUUGACGGUCAUCAACAGGGUGCUACACCAUAUAUUGUGCUCUAUCUUUCUACCACGAAGUGGACAUUGAGAUGAGGUCUCUUAUUAUGAGGCAUUCCUUAUUGACUCCAUUCUAACGGAGAGACGAAUUCAUCUACUAUGUCAUCAUUCACUAAGCCUCCUCACAGUGACAUACCACCUCAUCAGGCACCUCUUGCUCCUGACCAUGCUCCAUUGAUGGAUUUAUUUACUCAUAUUAGCUCUCUAGGCACUCGCAUGAAGGAGUUUGUUGUAGUUAGUGAUACAUGGUUCUACUCCAUAGAGGAUCGCAUGGAUCAGUAUCAGACUGGCUUCACGUCACAGUUUGAGUAUCUCCAAUAGAGGAUUGAGCAUAUUGAGGAUCACUUGAGCAUGAGAAGAUGAUGGCUUUUCUAUGCUCUGUGUUUCCACCUCCACCUCGUCAACCUUGAUUUCUUAGAGACCCAUUGUUUUCAUUUUGUAAUGUUGCCAAAAGGGGGAGAUAUUUAGGAUCUAGGACUCUAUAGGAGACUUACAUGCAUAUCAUUUUCAUAUCAUUGUUUGGAUCGUACAUAUUGGAUAGUGAUACUUUUUACUUAUAUAUGAUAUGCCUAUAUGUUUCAUGUCUUACAUUGUUUCUUAUUGCAAAUUAUCUCUAACAUGUCUUGAUUAUCUUUUUUUUAACUUCAUAAAUUUUGAUUGUUAACCCAUGAUUGGUUUGAGGGGAAGAUUCUUCUUCUCCUAGAUAACCAAGGUUUGUCAUCAUAAAAAAAUUGGAGAUUGUUAGCCCAAGGGUUCUCCUAAUCAUGUUUUGAUGAUAACAAACCAUGCUUAAGUUACUAAUUGGUUUGAAUUAUAAAGAAUUUCAAGUGUUAAUUUGAAAAUUCAUCAAAGAACCUAAUGGAUGCAAGAUCAAGAUUUUUGGAAGACCUUUAAUCAUAAGAAACAUAUGUAAGAUGAAUGCAUGGGUGCACUUAAGAUUUGCAUAUCAUUUCAUGCAUAUUUGGAAAACACGGUUUAUGCUUUAAAGUUACAUUUCCAUCAAAAUUUGAGAUCCAUCAAAUGAACCUUAGGAAAAAUGUUUUAAAAUUGGCAUAUAAUUUUACCUAAAGACCUUGCCUAAGUGUUAGAAGCAAAAGGACAAAAAAAAUAUAGGUUUUCUGGUCAAAAAUGGUGAACCAGUCAAGGCAUUGUCUAAAUCAGCUCAAUCGGCCAAGGUACCGGUCGAUCGGUUUCCCUUUCCCUGUCGAGAUCUAGUCAAGAGGUACAAAAAUCACAAUCUCUGUCUCUUUCUCUCUUUGUCUAUCUUCCAGUAGUCUUUCCUUCCCGGUCGAGGGAUUUGCCUUCCCGAUUGAGGUCCGAUUGAGAGUAAUAGUCACUUGCCAAAUAUUAAAUGCUCCAACAGUUAGUGAACUGGUCGACCCCCACCUUGCCCAGUUGAGGUUACUUUUUGGUUUUCUUGGCUCCCGAUGUUAGAAACCUAUAAAUAGAGAGUUCCACUUCAUUUAUGAGCAAGAGAACACUUGCAUUUAUUUGUUUACCUACUUGUUCUUGCCUUAAAAGCUCUCAUUUCUUUUCUUGGUGCAUUAAAUCUCCAUUUUGAUAUCCUUUAGUGCACCUUUGUGAUUCAUCUUAGCCUUGAGUUGUAUUUGAGCCCUUUUUUUAGCUAGGUUGAGAGUUUCAUACUUGUUAAUUGAGUGUUAAAGCCUUCAAGUGAGUUGAAACUUGUAGAGAUUAUGUGAGAGUCGAUUGGAGCCGAAAUCCAAGUGUAAAGGUGAUUAGAAGCUUGGUUGAAGCUUCAAGUUAGUGGAAUCCUCACUCAAUUAGGAGCUUGAGGAGAGUGGACGUAGCCAAGGAAGUGUCGAACCACUAUAAAAUUUGAGUUUGAUUUCUCUAACAUUGUCUCUUUAUAUUUGUUUAUCUUGUGCUUAAAUUUAUUGUGUUUAAAAAGAAUUUUUAAAUACCCAAUUCACCCCCCUCUUGGGUGUUUUUCUCUUUUAAAAUUAGCCUUUAUUUUCUCACAAACUAUUGUAGUAUAGUGGUUUUUAGGUGUCAUCCAUUAGGAUGAAUUGUUCUCGGUAAUUAAGGCGUGAAUGAGAGGAGAAUUAAUGAUUGUGAUUAAGUAAAAUUGAUUUGAAAAUUCAUGGUGAAAAAUCAAUUUAACAAUGGUUUCUAAUUGAGAAAAACAAUGAAAUGUGAAAUAAAAUAAAAUUAAUAGGAAAUGAAAUUCUCGAAGUUAGAAUUUUCUAAAAAACAAAUUCCAUGGUGAAUGGAUGUUGAGAUCUAAUUUUCAUCAAGUUAGAUUGAAAACCGAAAUUUUCAUAUAAACUGAUUUUUUAUUUAGUUUUAGGUCUAGAUUUAAUUUCCCUUAAAAUUAGGUUAUUUAAUCCAAGAAAUCAAUUCAAAUCAUAUAUUCAAUUCAUCUUAAAUUAUCUUCCAAUUAUUCACACAAUGCAACUAUUCAAUCUCAUCAAAUCUAGCUUUUAAGAAUUUAAUGAAUCUACCUAGUUUGCAUUGUAAUAGUCAUCCAUGACAAUUUGAAGAGAAAAAUAAUUCAAUUAAUCAAUCACUUGGAUCAAAUUACCUUUGCAAUUAAAGUUCAUUUCUCUAAUUCACCACAGAUUUUGUCUCUAGAUCCUCCUUUCUCAAAGAAAAAUGAGAUUUAGCCACACAUGAUUGGAGAUUUGGUCUCAUAAGGCAUGUUUAGCUAGUGAUAAAAUGAGAGAAAAUAAAGAAAAAUAGAGAAUUCGAUUAAGAAAGAAAAUCUAAAAAAUUCUACAAUUAGAAAUGUCCAAAAAGCUUUUUCAUGAGAAAAUCAAGUUUCUAUUUAUAGGCCAAGGUCAAGUGGACACUUGACAUCAUCUAAGAGGUCUUCCGGAAGCUUCUUCAUCAAGAAAUCUGGAGUUUAAUAAUAAAAUGGUCAUUUCACAAGAGCUCAAACAAUUUCGCAUGAUUAUGUGAAAUAAAAAAUGCAACAACAGCAAUUUACAUCUUCUUGGAGCAUUUCGCAUGACUGUGUGAAAUUUUCACAUGAUCAUGUGGAAUCGACUUGACAACUCUCAUUUAGCCUACAACAUAAUUCCACCUUUUGGUCCAUUUUUCAUAGUCAUGCGAAAUGGAAAUAUUUGAUUUUUAAGUUUUCUUUUGUCAUUUCUUUCAUUUCCUUCUCUUGAUUCCACUUCAACUACCUCCGAAUCCUGGUCCAAACCAAUUGCAUUACUUCUUUCAUUAUGCAUUUGGAUCAUCAUCAACAUUAUUUGUUCUCUUCAAUUUGAUUCAUCUCUUUUGUCACCAAUUUAUCAAAAUCAUACCUUGAAAUGACUCCAAAACUUCAUAAAACUUGUUAGUAACUCUUGCAAGGGCAACAACAUAUUAAUUAAGUGUUUUAGGCAUAGUUACUACUCAAAAGAUGCGAAACUCAUGAUAAUUAUUAUAUAAAAUAUGCUCUUUUUGAGUAGUAAUCAACUUUCUUGCAUAAGCAGACCUUUUAGGGUGGAGUACUAAAGACCAAUAUGCUUGUCCUUGUUGUAAUAAAGAAACUUGCUCUUAUUGAUUGCACCAUGGGAGAAAAUUUUGCUACAUGAGUUAUCAUCAAUUUCUUCCCACCAAUCAUAGAUUUAGACGUGACAAGAGGCCUCUUAAUGGCAAGGAGGAACUGACACUCACACUUAUACAAUUAUCGGGCAUUGAUGUGUUGCAACAAUUAGAAUAACUUACACCAAUUAUGUUGGGGAAGUCACAAAAGGCAAACAUGAAAACUAAAAGGAAAAAAGAAAAAUGUUACAUAUCACCACAACUGGAAAGAAAAAAGUAUUUACUUUCAUUUGCCAUAUUGGAAAGCACUUAUUUUACAUCAUAAUAAUUUAGACAUAAUGCAUAUUGAGAAAAAUGUGUGACAAUAUAAUUGAGACAUUGUUCAGUAUUGACGAAGAAACAAGGACAACCUAAAUAGUCAUCUCGAUUUACAAGCUCUAACUAUUAGAAAUGAGAUUCACCCAAUAGAAAGCAGGACCAAAUUUAUUUUGCUUGCAACAUGCUACUCACUCACCCCAAAUGAGAUUAAGGAAUUUUGCAAGUUUUUGAAAUCAAUAAAGGUCCCCAAUGGCUAUUCUUUCAAUAUCUCUCGUUAUGUGCAACUCAAUGAAAGGAAGAUAUAUGAGCUCAAAUUGUAUGAUUGUCAUGUCCUAAUGCAACAACUUCUCUCACUUGUAGUUCGUGGAGUUCUACAUAAGAAUGUUUGUGGAGUUAUCAUAGAAUUGCGUAAUUUUUUCAAGCAAUUGUGCUCAAAGGUGUUAGAAACAAAUCACUUACACCAACUUGAGAACAAUAUUAUUGUCAUACUAUGUAAAAUGGAGCAAAUAUUUCUUCCAUCAUUCUUUGAUAUUAUGGUGCAUUUACUUGUGCAUCUAGUAAGGCAAAGGUUGCAAGACUUGUGCAAUAUUGUUGGAUGUACCUAAUUGAACGAUAUUGUUAUAAUUUCAUAUGAAUCAUUUAAUUUUAUUUUAUAUUAUGUUCAGUUCAUUAACAUGUACAUUGGUCUACAUAUGGAUGAUGAUAGGUACCUAAGCACUUUAAAGUCAUAUGUGCGUAAUAGAACUUUUCUAGAAGGUUCUAUUGUAGAAAGGUACCUUGCAAAAGAAUGUACAACAUUUUAUUCUAGGUACUUGAAUGAUGUGGAAAUAAAGUAUAAUCACAAUGAUAGAAACUUUGUUGGUUUCAACACUAGAGGAGAUGAAAGGGGUUAUCUUUAAACAUAUUGGACAUGCAUUGGGAAAGCCCAUAUUUCAUUAACUUAGUUCAAAAGAGUGGUCACAAGCACAUUUAUAUGUGUUGACAAAUUGCGAAGAUGUCAUACCAUUCAUUGAGUAAAAAAUUUAUUUGAAUUUUAAUUAAAGCUCUAGUUUAUAUCCUUAAUCAAUGUUUUUUAAAUUCACAAGGAGCACAAGCAAACCAUCAAGGCUAGACCACAUAUACGUGUUUGAGACGUAGAUUUAAUUCAUAACAAGGAAUUUAUCAAGUGGUUUGAAAGACAUGUAAGUAUAUUCCUUAUUAUAAGGGAUUUAUUUCACAUUAUGUUUAUAUUGAAUCCAAACCUAUUAUUGAAUUGUAGGUUGAACAAUUACAUAAUGAAGGUCAUAUAUCUGAACACCUUCUCACAUUAUCAUGUGUUCCAAAUUCAUUAGUUACAUGCUUCAAAUGAUAUAUUGUCAAUGGAUUUAGAUCCCACAUUAAAGAACGUGAUAAAAAAGUUUUUAAAAAAAGACUCAGAAUAAUGGAAUUGUUGUAGUUGCAAAAACGUCAAGCUUUACAAGUGCAUGUGAUAUGAGUCCAAUUAUUAGUGAUGCUCUCUACUAUGGUGUUCUAACUAAAGUUGUUGAGUUACAUUAUCUUGGUGAAAAUAAGGUUGUUUUAUUCGAGUUUGAUUGGUGGGAUGUUACAAAUAUUGGAAAAUUGAUAAAAGAUGAUGAGUACAAUUACACAUUUGUUAACUUUGCAUGAAUUCUAACCACGAACGAACGAUUUGUACUUGCAUCUCCAGCAAAGUAAGUGUUCUAUGUGAAGAAUGCGAAUGAAUCAGAUUGGCAUACUAUCAUGGAGAUGCAACCUCAAGACCUCUAUAAGAUGAACGGGAUAGGAUCCAAUGGUGAUUUUGAACCAUUUCAACAAAGUGAACUACAUGAUCACUAAUAUAUCUCAGAUUUAGUUGAUGAAGAUAUAAUCAAGUGGAACAAAAGUGAUGUUUUAGGACUAAUCAUCCUAAAAAAUAUUGUAGUUUCUUAAAAAAAAAAUGAAAAUGAAGAAGAUAAUUGAACCUUUGUCAUACUUUAAAAAGCAACUAUGCAUUGUUCAUUUUGUAUGUUUUGGUUUUCUUCAUUUAAUUUCCUGAUUUUUGUGAUUCAAUGUCAUAUUAUUGAUCUUGAAAUAUUUUUCUAAUUUUUCAUUCUACGAUGGUUUCAACAAGGAUGACAUCAAGUCAAAAAAGGAAAUGUGGUCCCACACACAAUAUUGCAUUACAGGGAUUAAGGUCAGGGAAGAAGGUAAAAGUUGCAUUUAAUGAGUACAAUCAAUUGGUUAAACAGAAAAAUGGAAAACACUUAUCGAGCUACAUAGGGACACUUGUAUCUAACCAACACAAUGUACCUCUCCAAGCUAGUGAUUGGAAAAAUGUUCCAAAUGAUGCAAAAGAGAAAGUAUGGCCUUUGUUUUGGUAUGUUGUAUUUCUCACUAUAUGAUGUCAUUUCACUGUUAUUCUAUUUUGUGACUAACGUUUGAAUCAUAUGUAAGAAAAAUUUGAAGUAGAUAAAGACUGAAAAGAUUACAUGUUGGGUAUAGCCUCAAAUAAAUAUAGAAGCUAUAAAAAUAUGAUGAAUGCAAAAUACUAUGACCCUUGGCAUAAGGAUGCAUGAGGAGAGGUUAAUACAUAAAUCACCAUUUGUCUCUGAUGUUGAUUGGAAGUGGCUUGUCUCUGAUGCAUAAACCAAAUCCCCCACUGAAUGUUUGAUAUUUGAUAGCAGGAAAAACACACCCGCAGCUAUACACCUCCAUCAUUCAGAUAAUUAUAGUGGGGGAGAUGAUUCAUGGUUGCCCUUAUACCCUUUAUUUGCACCAUCUAUUGAGAUUCUUUAUCAUGGCCAGGUUUUACUGCAGCAAUAAGAUAUGGUGGCAACAAUUUUAUCUAUAGGUGCGGUUCCAGACCGCCUCCAUAGGUGCGGUUCCUGACUGCCUCCAUAGGUGCCUCUUCUUGUAAUGUUUGUUCUGGGAAUUACACUUGAAAGCCUUAUCGUGAUAAGGGAUUACAAACACUAGUUCAGAGGACAGCCAUGUUAAACUUCCACUAUGUUUGUGUCACAUUAUCAGCAGCCUAGUGUUUAUUGGUCAUGCUAUCUGCAACUAAUAUAACCCGGUGAACUUCAAUCUAAAUUCUGAAAGUACUCAUGUGACAGAUGGUGCCUUUCAGCAGAUAUCAUCAAUUUAAAAGUAGUGUGUGUGCCUAUAGGUGGGAAGGCCUUGGCAAAUGUUCAGUAUUCCGGUAAUUCAAGAAGGAUAUAUCUAAAAUAGAUUUUCUUCUUGCCCAUUUCAAUAGUUAAAAUUUGAGAAGAUUGUGUCCACAUCACACAAAUAUUAUUGGUCCUUCUGUUGCAAUUUACCUCUGAACAUGUCUUCCAAUUCCCACGGUCCUGUUACUCCAGGAAAACUAUUUCGGUCAUAUUGAAAAAAAAAAUAUUAAAGAAGGUACACAUGCUUUUAAGUGGACUGGGGCAUUCAUAUCAGGUGGUCUGUAUCCACAUAUGCCACUUCGUGAAAGGUGGAACAGCCUAAUCACUAGGCUAUUUAGUGUGGCCCAGCCACGUUAAUCAAGCACAAGUCUUCAUACUUAAAGUCAAAUGGUGUCUUUAGUCUCAUUACACAUCGCUAUUUGAAGAUUAACUCAUCACUAGUGUAAUGCGAUUAAGACAGUCCUAACUCAAUAUUUGUUCUAGUUUUGGAUGCAAAUGCUUGCUGGUUUCAUCAUUGGAUGGGAUAAAGGUGCAAUCAGGACUAUGAAUACGUGCAGUAAUACUUCAUUCUCUUUUUUCUCAAUGAGACUUCUUGGCACAAUUUUGCUGCUCAGCAACCUACCUUUCCAUGGAAAAUCAGUUGUGACUGAUAGUAAUGGAUAUAUUCUAGAAAGCUAAACAUAGAUAGCAUUCAAUAUUAUCGAUAUAACAUUAACAGCGUAUGUCUCAAUGCUCAUCAGCUACAAGCAAUGGACAAACACUUUGAGUAACUCACAGCAGUCAAAAUUCCUAAACAGGACAGACGUGACAGAUCUAUAUAUAGAACACUGCAUAUGAGUCACAGGAAAAGAUAAUACGGGUACAUAGAAGCUCUUAUUUUACAUAUUACUCAUACUGAUCAAAGUCGCUCAGUUGGGAUGGAUGGGAGAAGGAGGUUUGAGGGGUGGCUUGUGCGGGGAAGUUGGCAGCUUCUUUCCGGGAGCUGGUUGCUUCUUUGCUGGAGUUGAAGGAGGCUUAAUCUUCCGAGGUGGCUUGUAUGAGUCUUCAGCAUUCUCAGCAGGAGGGUGACCAGGGUUGUGACCAUAAUGUGGUGGCUUCUCUCCCUUAGGUGGUUUGCCAACUGGGGUUGGUGGCUUGUUUUCUGGGAGUGGCUUCUCUCCCUUGGGUGGUUUGCCAACUGGGGUUGGUGGCUUGUGUUCUGGGAGUGGCUUCUCCCCCUUGGGAGGUUUUUCGAAUGGGGUGGGUUUGUGUCCUGGUGGUGGCUUCUCUCCCUUGGGAGGUUUACCAAUUGGGGUCGGUGGCUUGUGUUCUGGGAGGGGCUUCUCUCCCUGGGGAGGUUUAGUGGGUGGCUUGUGUUCUGGAGGUGGCUUCUCCACCGGAGGCUUAUGCUCUGGUGGUGGCUUCUCGAAGGGGGGAUGCUCAGGGUAAUCACCAAGUGAGGGGGUGGUGAGAACCACCAUGCCAAGCAACAACACUAGCAAGUAUGUAGUAGACAUCUUUGGGUUUGGACUCAGACAGUGCAAAACUACGAGAAAUCGCUAGCCCUUUAUAGCGGCUCGGACCUAAUACUGACAUAAUAUAAAAUAAAUAUUAUAUUUUAUCAAGAGAGAACAGAGUGUAAUUUUAUCAUUAAUACCGAUCGAGGCCAAAGAAAGAAGACCCAUAAUCCAUUUCCCACAAGCAUACACAAUGCAGCUGUAAUUUUAUCAUUUACUUUUAUCCCUUGGACCACUGCAUUUUUGUUGAGAGACACAAUAACACAUUUUUAUCUGUCAUUCAACAUUUACAGUAAAGAGAGGGCACAAAACGCAAUUAGAUAAAUUAUGUUUUGCCUGCUAAAAAGAGGCAAAUAACUUUAUUUGCAACAUAAUUAUUUUGGUUUCUAGUGACCCCGGGGCCUUUCGGUUGGUUUGGGAUCGGAAAAUGAACAUCAUAGGGGGGGUUGUGCCCUUAUGGGCAUAUAUAUCUGAUAGCUUCAACUGGCCUUGUUCCUAGAAAGAAAUUGCCAAAGAUAUAAACUUAUUCCAGGCUGAAAGUAGAUGAGAGUCAUAAUGAACAUCAACCUUUGUUCAGUUUGAUUCAAUGCCCCCAUAGUGUUCAUUUCACAGAUCUGAAUGAUUAUAUCCGUUGAAUACAUAAAUUAAUGAAGACAAAUAUGAAACCCAAGAUACAUCUCUGCAUAACAACCCCAACCCUGGUUGCUAUGUUUCCCUUCUUCUAUUCACAUGAGGAUACUGGUUAUAAUUGUCAAACUUGCAACAAGCCCUUUGACACCUAACGUCAAUGGACGAAUUAAAAGUCUCCUUCAAACGUCUAUUUCACAGCAUGAAGCUUAUAAAGGAUGCUGACAACCUUCAGAGUUAGCGACAAAAGAUAAUUAUCAAGGAGAGAUAGUUCCAUGAGAAUUCCAAGGAGUCUGAAUCAAAGACAAAUUGCUCACUCAAGGGUUCUUAUUUUCUUUUAGGUACAAAUCUCUUGAGUGUUGUUAAAGAAACACGUCACUGUCAUUUUGAUUUGCAUUUAACAUUUCACUUUUGUUCUGGAAGGUUUGUUCCGGAAACAUAUCAAAUGAGCAUCAUUUUCUUCUUCGGUGACACAUGGUCGCGAGUACGUGGGUCCAUUUUCAUGCCACUUAGUUGAAAAGUUGGAAAGAAAAAACAUGCCAACAAGAAGAUAGUGAGAGAAGGGGCACUUCAAGCCUUUAACAUGAACAAACAGUAAAUAAAAGAUGUUUCUCCACUCAUAAAAGUGUGUUAGAUAGCAAUAUAACGAAUCACAUCCAAAAUCUUUACUAGGCUCAAACAUAAAGAAGACUCAUUUUUAAGAAAAGAUAAAAAUGGCAUUGUCUGAUAGUAUCCAAUACACGAGAUGGCACUUAAUUUGUACAAGAUCUGUCAAUGCUGACGCACAUUUUCUGAUUAAAAAAAAACUGAUCAGUCAAAAGCAAUGAAGAGAAGUGAUGACAAUGAAUGAUGCUUCCAAUAUUUUCACCCCUUAUAGUGUUCUUCAUGAUUCAGAUAUAUAAUUGGAAAUAGAACAACCCUAUGCCAUACAUUCGUCUAAGUAUGGUGUCUAAUUUUUUGUGUCAGCGGUUGCGAAUGGAGCGUGCAAAAGUCCAAAUUGGCGUCUCUCCAUUUCCACAUAGGAAGGUGACCUUUAUUGACAAAUACCCAAUAUUUGUAGACAUUCCUUAAAUAUCAUAACUUCUUGUUGAUUUGAAAAUCAUUUUUCAACUACCAUGUUUUAAUAAAUAUUUUUUAAAAUGUAUUUUUAUCAAAGUCCACCAUGAUGGAUAAUAUUCACCAUGCAAUAAUUAAUAAAGUACAAACUAAGCGAAAUGAAAAGCAUUUUCUUUGCUUUGAGUUGAUUUUGGUUGCAUUGAGUUGAUUUUGGUUUCAUGGUUUUUUCAACUCUUAUUUUGAUUGGAAGAUGUCAAGAAAAGAAAACAUAAAGAAAAAUUAAAAGGGAAAAAAGAAGAAAAAUAAAAAAAAAUAGAUUUAAAAGUUAAUAAAUUAUUUUUUAUAUUUAUUUUAAUUCAUUUCACUUAUUUUUCUUUUACUAUAUAAAAUUUAAAUAAUUUAAAUUUUAUAAUUAAUUUAAUUACAUUUCAUUUUCUUCUAUAUUUAAAUAUUGGAAAAAUAUUUUACUUAAUAUUUUUUUCUUUAAUUUCUUUGGCAUUUUGGGAACCAAACUUAGCCUUUAAAAUAAAAAACAAAAAAAAAAUGAAAAUAAGGAGGGAAAAGUGAGAAAAGAUAAAAACAAUAUGUAAAGGAUUUGAAAAGUAUUAGUUUGUAAUUACUAUUUGGAUUUCAAUAGUAUUUUAUUUGUCUUUCUAUAUUUCAUGUAAGAGAGAAUUUAAGAUAUUCCCCAAGGCAAAGCAUUAGUUACCUGCAAUCAGUGGUGAUAAGGCUCCAAGCCAAUUUUGGGCCCCAUAUCUUAAGACAGUACAAUUUCCAUUUCAACAUUUCUGAUUUCUCAGAUGUUUCACAUACCACAGAAGAACAUUGUUUGUGAAAAUAUGCAUUUAUGUUGGAUUUUGUAUGCUGUGGGGACUGGGGCAAGGAUCAUAUGGAAGAGUGGUUGACUUUUUCUGUACUUUAACGGUUGAAAUAGGAUAAGCACGGGCAUUUGUGAGGCUUAAUUGAUUUUGAAGCCUGAAAUUGCGUUUCUGUCAUUUUGUCAAAAAAAUGGCAGAUUCCAUACUCAUAUGUUUGGCCUGUGGCCAUGUACAGAUGCCAUUUAGUGACCAGUUUGUAACUGUCAAUCGUUGCGUUUUGACUCUGCCUCAACAACAUCUGCCAUUGACGGGUUUUCAUACUUGCAAAUCAAAUAGUCUUUCGUCCCAUCAGGAAUUUCGGUUUAAAUAUUAUUAAGCAUACGUUUGGCUGACAAUCAUUAUCCAGUUCAUGAUUUGGUUUCUUACCCUUAAUCAAUGGUUUCUAAGUGAAUAUAUGUAGAAGGAAAUCCGAAGUGUAGACAGUAGUAUCGAUAACUCUCAAUAUUCUCUAUAUAAUAGAAUAAACAGCGUCAUAGUGAUCGUCGCCUACAAGCAAGGUACAAAUACCAAAACGAGUGACUCACAUAGACAUCUCCCAACAAGAUGUAGUAGUGACUGACACAUGGACACAAUUAACUCGUAGAAAAGGAUAAGACCAUUGCACAGCAGCUCUUAUUUUACAUACUACUUAUGCUAACCAAAGUCAAUUAGUUGGGAUGGGUGGGAGAUGGAGGUUUGUGCGGUGGCUUGUGGGGCGGAGUUGAUGGCUUCUUUCCAGGAGCUUCUGGCUUUUUCAUCGGAGCUGAAGGAGGCUCAAUCUUAUGAGGCGGCUUGUAUGAGUCUUCUUUACUCUCGACAGGAGGGUGGCCAGGGUUGUGAUCAUAAUGUGGUGGCUUCUCUCCCUUAGGUGGCUUGCCAACUGGGGUUGGUGGCUUGUGUUCAGGAAGUGGUUUCUCUCCCAUGGGAGGUUUAGCAAUUGGGGUUGGUGGCUUGUGUUCUGGGAGUGGCUUCUCUCCCUUGGGAGGUUUAGUAGGUGACUUGUGUUCUGGAGGUGGCUUCUCCACCGGAGGCUUGUGCUCCGGUGGUGGCUUCUUGGUUGGAGGGGGCUUGGGGUAAUCAGCAAGAGAUGGGGUGGUGAGAACCACCAGUCCAAGGAACAACACUAGCAAGUAUGUGGGAGACAUUUUUGAGUUUGGGCUGAUCAGAUGAUGCAAAACUAAAGCAUUACGUGACCUUUUAUAGCAUGUAGCUCCCAAUACCCACUAAGUAUUGUGGGGUCCAUUUGUGCCCUACGGGGUUGAAAACUUAGACAAUUGGGCAAGGACCCACCUGACUAUGGAGGACUAGUGAGGUGUGAUCAUAGCUUUAGGAUUUUUCUUCCUCUGCAGCCGUCGUGCCGUUGGCAUGAUUUUCUUAAUCUUAAAUAAAGGCAUAGUUAUAGAGUUGUUUAAUCUCUAAAUGGGAUUUUAUAUAUAUCUUCAGAUAGCCAUUAAUAUAUUUGAUGAAGAAAGAAAGACAAGUGCAUACAACAUGUAUACGACUAGCUUUCAUGGAGUUCAUUUAUGAUCAGUUUUCCUGUACAUGUAAACCAGGAUCAUAUAUAUGUUUCUGUUCCACAACUAUUUUGGAAUCUUGUUUAUCAGUUUUUAUCAUUAUAAUGUCACAUAGGCUGCCAACUUGGGCGCUAAAAGAACCAGUUGGGCUAGUUCGUUUCAGAAUUUCAAUGUGGAUUCAGGAAUUGUUUUGUAAGAUAUGCGAAAUAGUAGAGGGAUGAAUAGUGUUUCAUUAAUAAAAGUGUCCUGUAAAUUAGAAGGUGUCAUAGAAACUAUAAUCAAUAAAUAACUUUUUUUCCCCACGGGUGGUGUUUCUUGUGGGGAUCAGUGACUGGUUUAGGUUCACCCAAAAUGAGUUCAGACUAAAAUUGGUUUGAGUCAAUGCCGUGUCUCUUUUUUCCAGAAAUCAACUAUUUUAUGCAUUGAAUAAAUCAUACAAAGAAAAUAUGAACGCCCGCAAAACCUAAACCCUGGUUGCUAACUUUCUAUGUUUCAGUUCUAUUCACGCAAGAAUAUUAGUUUAAGUUUGGGAAAAAUGGCAACUUACCUAGUGAUUACUUGGUUUUGGUUUGCGACUAUUUACGCAACCAACCAUGAGUUUGACUUUAACGUCAUGGGUUGAAGCCUCCUACAGGAAGGGAGAAAGCUCCACAGCUAGCUCCAAAAGAGAAUUAUCACAUUGAUAGCUCCAGAGAUUCCCAAGGGGACUGAAUCAAAGACAAGUUCCUCACUUUUUCUUCUUUUGAGGCCAAAUAUGAACCAAGGAUCACACAACCUCAUUCAACUUCAUAAGUUUGAUUUCAUGCAGUUGAACACUGGGUGAAGGCCAUGACAAGAAUUGAUUCAAAAAUUCUAUCACUCUUUUAAGUAAUGGAAGAUUAUUAUCUCUGAUUGGCAUCACAACAGCACAUGCUCCUAGAUCUUUCUAGACACUCCAUGCAAUGAAAGCACAAUGGAUCUUGUAACGAUAGAAACUAAGCCAUGCUACAGUACUAGAUGAUGAGGUAAAACUAGUAGACACGGGUGGCAGCCUAUAUGGGAGGGACACAAGUCUAAUUGAUUUGCAUUUCAGCAUUAUAGAUAGGUAUGUUUUGGAAGAUUUGUUCUGGAAAUACCGCACCAAGUAGGAUUCUUUUUCUCUUUAGUGGGUCCACUUGCAUGCCAAUUAACGAGUUGAAAAGUAUGAGCACCUACCUCGUGCUCGUGGAACCGAAGGUCAGUGAAGUGGGGCUCCUUUUGGCCUCGUGUAAACUUGAUUCAGAAGUGAAGUUAAUAGUCUUCCAUUCAGAUGGAUACAUGGGAAUUUUUCUCUUUUAUUUAUUUAUUUAUUUUUUUUUUGUGUGUGUAUGUCAAAGGAUAAUGAAUGAAGCGCGUUAGCUUGUUUUCUGACUGGAACCGCAGAUGUCCAAAUUGGAGUUCCUUCAUUUCUUACUUAGGAUUGUUACAUGUAUAAACAAGGUAUAAGAAAUAUGCCAACGUGUCUUGAGGAGUUAUUGAUUAGAAAUAACAAGUCACCCGACUGUAGAGUUCCAAGAUUUGAAUCUUCAGACCCUAUAGCAGCCUCUGGGGUACGUGGCAUCCUAUAGCAUAUUAAUGAAGGCUUUUUCGAUUUAGACUUCACAAUACCAAUUAAUAUGUAUGCACAAAAUGGAGAUGACCCCAAAAAAAACAGAAUCGCCAUAGUUUAUGAGGUUAAGGUGAUUCUCCACUUAAUAUCUACAUUAGCUAAUUAUGUAAAUCAAAUGAACUUCUAUUUUUCCUUUUUUUUUUUGGUUUAUGUCAAAUAGUAGCCCAUAAUUAACCCAACCAUUAGCCUGUUUGAAUUGAUUUCACAUGCACAAUGUUGUAGUAGUUCAUAUUUUGAAUUUUAUUUUUACAAAGGUAGUUAAGGAAAAUGAAGUAUAAUAAUUAUAAAAGCAGACUAUAUACACUACAAUAAUUGUUAGAAUGGUAUCUCAAAUUCUAAUUUAAAAUAUUAUUUUUUGUAAAAGAAAUAUUAUAUAGAAUAUUUCCUAAUUUUAUAAAUGAUUAUAAUUAGAUCUUUAUAAAAUAAGGAAAGUUGGUAAGAAUAUCUUUAUAAAUAUUUUAGGUCAUGAGAGAAAGAAAUGGGAUAAAAAUGUGAUGAAGAGGUGAAAUAAGAGAGUUGAUUAGGAUAUAGAUGUGAAGAAGAAAGGGAUUCAAUAUAUAUAUAUCUUUCAAUUACCACAUUAAAACCCUGUGAACCUUUUAUAUGGUUUACUUUAUUUUUAUAUUCCUCCUUUAAUAUAUUUACAUUAAUGCUUCCAUUGGCACAACAAUAACGAAUUACAAAUACAAGCAACAAGUCCCAUGUUUUAUUACCAAAAGCAGGUAAAAUCCACCUAAUAUAUUACAAUAUAUUCAUCCAAUAUUUUAGACCAAUUCUUCACCAUAAAUAUCAUAAUGUGGCUUUUGUUCUUUCUUAAAUUUAAAUUGAAUUGUCUUAUAUCAAUUUGUUUGUGAUUUUUUCAUUAACUUCACUUUCAUUUGGUUAUCUUUGGUUUUUGAAAAGUAUUAAGGAAUUAAUUAACAAAAUAAUGUUAAGAAAAAUAAUUUUCUCUCUUUUGAUUUUGAUUUUGUAGUAGAAAAAUAUAAUUAAAAUUAUUUAAAAAGUAUGUAAUUUUAAAUUAUUUAAUAUUUAGAUAAAAAAAAUAAGUCUAAUGAGUUUAAAAUAACAUAUAAAAAUAAUUUAUUUAUUUUAAAUUUAUUUUUUAUUUUCCAUUAUGUUCUCUUUCUCUUUUACUUUUUCAUAUUUUUUCUUACGAAGAAUCAAACACAACCUCAUAUUAUAUGUCAAGUGUUUGUCUAUAUUUGAGCAAUGUUAGAUACGGCCAUGGAUUCAUCAAACUAAACUGAUUUUAAUAGAUACUUCACAAAUUGAUUUAUACACUAAAUCAUUGGAUAGCAAUGAUGCAUUGGAAUUAAACGUAGGAUGAAGCUCGAAGAACACUGUUUGUGUAACAACAUAUUUAUGAAAUUAUGCAAAGGAUGAGCUUCGGGGUAGUAGUACAAGGUCAUUAAUGGAGAGCCGUGUUAAACCUUGAUUGUGAUUGGAUUCCGUUAUCAGCAACAGCAACCUUGUUUGUAACCUUGAAAGUCAUUCUGUCCACAUCGAAACUCCAAUUUGACGUUUGUAAUUACCAUUCCUGGAGUGUUCCUUGAUUGAAAUUUAAAUAAUAAUUGCGGCCCACAAGGAAUAUUUUCGAUUCUGUGGGAAUUUGACAAGGUUUGUUAGAGAAGACUGGUGACAUGUUGACUUCAAUGGUUCAAAUAGGAGACGUAUGUGGAUUUGGGGGGUUUAAUUGAAACUGAGUCCCUAUGGCUUUUUAAUAUUUGCAUUGAGCAGUCUCCAUGUGACUUCCUAAUUCCCACCAACCCUCCUGUCCAUGCUGUGAAACUAAAUUGUAAUUUAUCAGCCUUUGUCAAUGGUUUCUAAAUUAAAGAUAUAGACCAUGCAUGUACUUUAAUAAAAGCAAAUCUAAAGUGUAGAUAGCAGCAAUGGUGACACCCAAUAUUCUCCAUAAAAUAGAAUUAGAAUAAGCAGUGUUACAUUGUUCAUGAUCACCUACAAGCAUACAAGAACUUCCAUGAAUAACUCAUAGCAAUUGCCAACAGGGCGUCGUAGAGACUCAUACAUAGAACACUAUCCACCCAGAGGAAAGGACAAGACCAGUGCGCUGCAGCUCUUAUUUUUCACAUGUAUACCACCACUCGUAAUAACCAAAUUCACUCAGUUGGGAUAGGUGGGAGAUGGUGGUUUGUGGGGUGGCUUGUGGGGAGGAGUUGGAGGAGGCUUUAUUUUCUGAGGCGGCUUGUAUGAGUGUGCAGGAGGAUGCCCGGGAGUGUGACCAUAAUGUGGUGGCUUCUCUCCCGUAGGUGGUUUGCCAAAUGGGCUUGGUGGCUUCUCUCCCUUAGGAGGUUUACCAAUUGGGGUUGGUGGCUUGUGUUCUGGGAGUGGUUUCUCUCCCUUGGUAGGUUUGCCAAUUGGGGUUGGCGGCUUAUGUUCUGGGAGUGGCUUCUCUCCCUUGGGAGGUUUGCUAAUUGGGGUUGGCGGCUUAUGUUCUGGGGGCGGCUUCUCUCCCUUGGGAGGUUUGCCAAUUGGAGUUGGCGGCUUAUGUUCUGGGAGUGGCUUUUCUCCCUUGGGAGGCUUGCCAAUUGGGGUUGGCGGCUUAUGUUCUGGGGGUGGCUUCUCUCCUUUAGGAGGUUUGCCAAUUGGAGUCGGCGGCUUAUGUUCUGGAAGUGGCUUUUUUCCCUUGGGAGGUUUGCCAAUUGGGGUUGGCGGCUUAUGUUCUGGGGGUGGCUUCUCUCCCUUGGGAGGUUUGCCAAUUGGAGUCGGCGGCUUAUGUUCUGGGAGUGGCUUCUCUCCCUUGGGAGGUUUUGUUGGUGGCUUGUGUUCUGGAGAUGGCUUCUCCCCUGGAGGCUUGUGCUCCGGAGGUGGCUUCUGAAAUGGCGGGGGCUUGGGGUAAUGAGCAAGAGAUGGAGUACUGGUGAGAACCACCAUUCCAAGCAACAAUACUAGCAAGCAUGUGGGAGACAUCUUUGAGUAGUUGUAGCUAAGAUGGCGCAACACUGUAGGCAUUGGGUGGCCUUUUAUAAAGGGCUGGACCCAACAGCCAUAUGACACGUGUCAUGAUGACAAAUGAAGUUGAGGGGAUCCAGAUGGGUCCUACUGAGUCGAAAACUUGCACUAAUUGAUCUGGUGAGAUGACUAUUUCUGUCCUUUUGCCCUUCUCGGCCACCCUGUGCUGUUUUCCUUUUGCACGAUUUUCGUUGCCAAACAAGCAAAUAAUAUUUCGCCAAGAAAGAGGAGAGUGAAUGUGGAAUGCAUCAAGUCCCAUCAAGGAUGGCAGAGAAGAAAUAGAAGAUUGCCCAACUGUGAUAAACAUAGCAUACACGUAGCACCAGGAACUUCAUUUACUUCCAUCUAAUGGAACAUAACAAUCUUCUAAAGUUUUUGCAUGAUUUUGUUAUAUGUCUCUUAGCCUAAAGUUGGAAAUGCGCAACAAAUUUUGUCACUUCUCUAUUUCCCACUGAUGAUGUUAAUUAGCCUUCAUAGAUAUCAUCCUUUCUACAAAGUGCUUCAUUUGUGUGUUAUUGUAAAGUGUAAGAAAAGUAAUUGAACAUGUUCUUUUUCCUUUCAUAGAUGACUUUUGAUGUGCAUUUUAAAAGCAGCGCUGUGAGUCGGUGACCUUGAUUCACACGGAAACUAAGGCUCCUAUAGGACCCACUUUUAGCUGGUUAGGGGUGAAGAAAAUAUCAACUUUUCAGAGUGAUUUAAGUCAAGGCCAAGCCUCACUGUGUCAUUACUCGUGUGAAUUUUAUAUGCACAUACAUACAUAAAUAAAGUAUGAGACCCAAAUAACACCUUCCCUUUACAAACUUAACCCCAGCCGCUCUCUUUCAAUUCUUUUCACACAAGGGUAUUGACUCUAUAAAGGUCAAGAAAAUCAUAAUUUCCUAGGGUUUACAAGGUAAUUGGCUUAAUGCUAAUGUGAAAACAUAAAAGAUAAUAGUAUAUUGUAAGCUAACGAAUAUUCUAUAGUUAUAAUUAUUUGUGAUGUGCAUAAAUAAAUCUUCAUAUAUAUAAUGGAACAAUGAAUAAAGAACCAAUGAAAAAAUACUAUAUAUCAUUGCUUGGCAUUUAAACCGUAUAUGCUGCUCUUUCUAGCUACUCCAUCCACUGAAAGACAACAAGGUAAUCCAUGUUAUAAUGAUAGAAGAUACUGUCUCUAGGCUUUUUGUGAUGAAAAAUAUAAGAUAUGGGUAGGGUUGACCCUUGUAUGUUUGUCCUAUAAACACUUCAAAGUAACAUAUUUUUCUUCUUUAGCAACUCAUAAUGAUGGGGUUCAUUUGCAUGUCACUGAGUUGAAAAGUUGGACAAUUGCCCAUGUCGCCUUCCUCCUAGAUUCCGUAGUUCACGGGAAGGUAACUCAAGUUUGACAUAUUUUGAAUUCUUUUCACUCGGACGUCUUCAUAACCUGACAAAACAAAAAUGAAAAACAGAGGAUUGGUAUAUUAUUCAUGGUAAGCCUCAAAUUAUAGUAGUAUGAGAAAGGAGAAAAAGAUUUUGGGAACUCCAAUCUGGAUAAUUCUCGUUUCUUCUCUUGAAUAAAAAUUUCACUUACCUAACUUCGUUUGGAGAAAUGGCAUAUUUUAAUUUUGUACGUCAUUGCUAAUAAAUGGAGCAAUUUAGCAUGUUUUGUGACUGAAACUGCAAAUGUCCAAUUGGCAUUUCUUCAUUUCCCACUUAGGAUCUGAUCUUGUAGACCAUAUAACGAUAUGUAUCUGUGCAAGCAUUGAAAACUAAUGUGAACUAUGAGGAGUUACAAGCCACUGGACUGUAGAGCGAGUGCCAAGAUUUAAAUCUUCAGGCUCUAUCUGGGUAAGGGGAGGAUAGCGACCUAACCUUUUACCAAAGGCUUAGAAUUUAGACUUUUGGAAAAAAAUUUCUCAUGUUUUGGCUGGAUUUCUUGUGCUUGGCGCAAAAAGGAGAUGGCCUCAAGAAAUAGCAGACUCACUUUUGUUUUCAGCCCUUAAUAAUUCUCCACUGCUUUCCAUAACUACAUGGGUUAUACAUGCAGUCUGCUGCAAUAUUCCAGUUAUAUUUAUUAUUUCAAAGAGGGUGAAUGACUUCACAUGCAAUAUGUUGCAGUAACAACCCAAAUUUUGGCACACCAUCUUAAGAAUAGAAAAGUAUAAUAAAAGAAAUCAAUCAGAGAAUCACUUUGCAUGCAGUUCAUAGAGUUCGCCCAAAAUGGAGCCACAUGUACGGACAACCCCACAAUAGACAAUCUUCUCUAUACAGUAAUAAAAUACAGAAAUGGUUAAUGAAGCUCUGUAUUUCCUUAUCAUAUAUGACCGGUUGAAAACUCAGCAAGUCUUCCUCAAUCACAGACAGUUGGAGUUGCUUCAUCAAAAUCAUGCCUUCAUUACUGGCUUCAUUUUGGUUUCAAUGUCUGUUCUACCCUUAAAUUGGGUCUCUGCUUACUACCGGGAUAUCCUUUAGCGUCCUGCAAUUCUACUAGAUUAAAGAGAAUGACUUAAUUCUGCAUUCUGCCGUCCCUAGUCCAAGUGGUACUAGAAUUGAUGUUUCCUUUAGUGUCCUUUCUUCAUACUUUCAGGUUCUUCCCUUGUUUCAAUAAUGCUGUUUUCCUUCAUGUUUAACCUCUGUUGAACCACUUAAAACAACACAAUUUGCACACCAAUGUUUCUUUACAGAAAAGACUGUUUGCAAAAAUGCACAUGUUAUAAGGUUAAUGGAAGAAUUAAUUUGGGGAUAAGGGACUAGGAUUGGGCCAAUGAAGUUUGGUGUUAAAUUUUGAUUAUGAUUGCUUUUCAUUAUCAGGUACCUUAUAUUUGCUGAUGCUAUCUGGAACUAAAUUCAAAUCAGACAUUAUCCGAUUACUAACAGGACAUAUCAUGUCCCUCUGCAGAGUUUCUAAACUAACAUGUAUCGAAAUGUGGCCCCAAAAGGAAGGCUAGGAAGAUGGAGGAUUUUGUAGGAAUCGACCAGAAUCAGAUGGAAGAGAGAUAGUCCUGUUGACUUUAAUGGUUGUGAUAGGAACAUGCAUCAUUAUAUGAGAAGUUGCAUGAAUUUAUGUAUCCUGUUAUCGUUCCUUGACGAUUUCCCAAUGCAAUUUCACUGUCCACAAGACUAACCUCUCCAUGCAGUCAAAUGAAUUGUAAUUUCUCUAUUGGUACCAGUAGUACAUUUCAUACCAAACAUAUAGUAAAUAUAAAAUAUAAAUAGAUCAAGGAAAUCUGAAUUGUAGAUAGCACUGCAAGUAACACUCAAUAUUCUCUAUAUAUAAUAAAAUAAACAGUGUCACAAUACUCAUCACCCAGUGGCAAGGGAGAAAAACCUACAAUGAGUACUCAAAUCACCAUUCUCAAACAGAAACAUAGCAGUGACUGAUACAUAGAACCUAUAUGCUCACAGGGAAAGAAUAAGAUGACCAGUGCACAGCGGGCAGCAGCUCUUAUUUUACGUACAACUCAAAUCCCAAACUAACCAAAGUCGCUCAGUUGGGAUGGGUGGGAGAUGGUGGUUUGUGGGAUGGCUUCUGGGUAGGAGCUGGUGGCUUCUGUCCCUUUGGUGGUUUGCCUAAUGAGCUUGGUGGCUUGUGCUCCGGGAGUUGUUUCUCUCCCUCGAGUAGGUUUCGAGUCUUGUCAGAUGGCUUGUGUUCUGGUGGUGGCUUCUCUCCCUGGGGUGGUUUGCCGAAUGGGCUUGGUGGCUUGUGUUCGGGGAGUGGCUUCUCUCCCUGGAGAAGGUUACGAGUUUUGUCAUAUGGCUUUUGUUCUGGUGGUGGCUUCUCUCCCUGGGGUGGUUUGCCGAAUGGGCUUGGUGGCUUGUGUUCGGGGAGUGGCUUCUCUCCCUGGAGAAGGUUACGAGUUUUGUCAGAUGGCUUGUGUUCUGGUGGUGGCUUCUCUCCCUGGGGUGGUUUGCCGAAUGGGCUUGGUGGCUUGUGUUCGGGGAGUGGCUUCUCUCCCUGGAGAAGGUUACGAGUUUUGUCAGAUGGCUUUUGUUCUGGUGGCGGCUUCUCUCCCUGGGGUGGUUUGCCAAAUGGGCUUGGUGGCUUGUGUUCGGGAACUGGCUUCUCUCCCUUGGGAGGUUCAGUUGGUGGCUGCUGUUCCGUAGGUGGUUUCUUCACCGGCGGCUUGUGCUCCGGAAGCGGCUUCUCUACCUGGAGAAGCUUACGAGUUUUGUCCGAUGGCUUGUGUUGUGGUGGUGGCUUCUCUCCCUGGGGUGGUUUGCCAAAUGGAGUUGGUGGCUUGUGUUCGGGGAGUGGCUUCUCUCCAUUGGGAGGUUUAGUUGGUGAUUGGUGUUCCGUAGGUGGUUUCUGAAGUGGGGGAUGCUUGGGGUAGUCAGCAAGAGACGAGGUAGUGAGAACCACCAGUCCCAGCAGCAACACUAGCAAGCAUGUGGAAGACAUCUUUGAGUUCAGGCUGAGAUCUGUGCAAGGAUAACAGAAUUAGGUGGCCUUUUAUAGAGGCCUGGACCCAACACCCAUAUGACACGUGUCAUGCACUCAUGGUGACACAUAAUUCUAUGGGACCAUUUGGGUCCUACAGAAGUUGCAAAGUUGGACUACUGAGGUGUGAUCACAACUUUUGUCCUUAUUGCUUUCUCUGCGGCCAUUGCACGAUUUCCUUUAGCAUCAUUUUCUUGGCUAAAUAAGCGUAUUAUAUUUGUGGCAGACCGUCCACGUGUCAUAAACAGAUAUAUUAUAAUAAUGUAGUAUGCUUUUCUCCAAUGGAACAUGACACUCUUCUAAGUCUUGUUUUAAAUAUUGUGCAGGAUUACUUUAUACGUUGCAGUUCCAAGUCAAAAUUGGUGGGCAAACGUUGGCCUUUUUUCAUUUCACCUAAGAUUAAUGCUCACCUGGGAUAGGCACUACAUGACUUAUCUGCUCUUUUACUGUAAAGUUGCUUUGUGUAUGAGAUACACCUCCCCUGCACACCCUCAACAUUCGUUGCUCUGUUUUCCUUGUGUCCAGACGAGGAUAUUAAUUGGAGGCUGACAAAACGACUGCUAGCCCAGGAUUUACAAGGUCCUGGUUUGAGGCUUCGGUGAAAGUAUUUUUGAAAAGACACACAUAGAGAUAGUGCGUUUGGUGCAAUGCAGCACUGUGAGCCAUUCUGACGCGUUCUUAAUUUCAAAACUAAUGAAUGCUUCAAAAUUUUAAGAAGUGACAUUUCCAAAUAUUUGAGUUCGUUUAAUUGAACAUUGGAUAACUAGUGAUCAUAGAUUAUUAUCUGUGCUUGGCACUAUAAGAGGGUAUAUGCUUCUUUUUCUGGCCCCUCCUUCAAGGGAGGAGGGACAAUGUGAUCUGUAACGUUAGAAGCUAUUCCAUGUCAUCUUUGGGCUCAGUUCAAAACUAAAAGAUAAUGGGGGGGGGGGGGGGGGGCAUAUCAUUUUAUAUUUCUUCUAGAAGGUUUGUUCUGGAAAUAUUUCACAGGAGCAUAUCUUUUUCUUCUAUUACGUCAUCCGCAGCCUCCAAUAGGUCGGUUAACAAGCCACCGAGUUGAAAAGUUGGAAAAAUGGGAACACAGCCCGCCUCUUGUAUUCAGUAGUUAAAUAAAAGGUCACUAGAAGUGAGAUCCCUUUUGGCGUCUUGAUUUUCAAUCCAGCACCUCUGUGACCUGACAAACCAAAAAAACUAAAAAAUAAAAAACAGUACGUGGGUUGGUGUUAAGCAUCAAGACAUGUUAAUGAAAGAAGGUAGAGAAUAGGAUAUUGAAAUCCCAAUCCUGAUAACAUGAUUUUCUUUGCUAACAACCAUAUUAUAUUUUAUCAAGAAAGAGUAAUGCAUGUGGCGUCCAUCAAGACCCAUUAGAGUUCCGCUAAAGCUAUAGUUCUGUCAACGUUAUCAUUUACGUUUCCUCUAGAUAAUGGCAUUUUCCUCUAAAGCUCUUGCACCAUUAGGCUUCAAGUCAAAAUUUCACAUGUGAACUUUGGAAAUUUUCUCCAUUUGCCCCUAAGGAUACAGUUAGAAUUGACUUAAAAUCCUGAUUGAUAUGUACUAUUAACCAAAGAAUAUUGUAUAUAAUAAUUGAAAUAUUGUUGAUUCAUCGUGGAAAUACAUUUUGUAAGGAAAGUUGUUGAGAAUUUAGUAUGCUAUAUGGAGAAAAAAGUCAUGACUUAAGGUUGUGUAUGUAUAUUCUAUAUCAAAUAUUAGGUAGGAAUGUGGGAAAGAGCAGAGUGUAAUGAUAAGAAACAAAGAAAUAUAAGAUAUUCUUGAAAGUGGAAAAUAUAAAAUGGCUAACGAGUCAAAUUUAUGAUGCGUAAGGGGGAUCAUGUCACAUAAGAAAACCAUGGCAUACUAAAGACGUACGUGUGGUAUGGAGUAAUAAUUUUGUUAAAAUAAGUUUCUUGUUGGAGUACAUUAGGUGACUAUUCAUAACGUAUCAAAUUAAAGAGUCAAGUGCAUCAAUGAAGGCAUAUGUAGAAAAUUUGUUUGUGACAUGUACCAUAAAGAUAAGAUUGACUUGAUAGAAUUUAGUCUAAGUAGGAGUUGUUAAAGGUGUCUUAAAUUUCUAAUUGAUGUAUAUUUUUUUCUAAAAAAAUAUUAUAUAGAUAUUUUAAUAAAUGAUUAAUUCUUUGUAAAAAUACUUACAUAAUAAAAAACAUCAUUAAAAAUAUCUUUAUAAAUAUUUUAAGUUACAAGAAGGAAAAAAACCACUGUGAGAUAAUGAUGAACAUGCAACACUGUACCAAGUAAAUAAAAAUGUGAUAAAAAAAAAAGAGAAACACUCGAUAAAGGAAGGCUCGUAUAUAAAGAGUAAUAUUUUUAAUCAUAUGAUAGAAUGAUUUUCUCUCAUUCAUGAAUAUAGGCAAGAUUGGGGAACCAUUAUAAAAUUUUGUACACCUCGUGUAAAUUGAUGUUUGUCUUCAUAUUUUACACCAACAAAUGACAUUGAAGUUGUCAUUGAUAAAAGGGAAAAGGCAUGCCUCCACACCAUGUGCUUGAUUCGAAUGGUUCAAGUUUGAAGAAUUUUCUCCGGAAGAUCUAAAACAUUUUCGCCUUUAAAUUUCAUUUGAUUAUUAAUAUCCGAAAAAAUAGUUAAAUACUCUUUCUAUUUUUGAGUUGUUGAAUUUUUUGAAAGUUUUUAUAUUUGUUAUCAAGAAUUUCUAUUUUAUUAAGGGUGAAUAUUUAUAAAUAAGAUAUUAUAUAAUAUUUGGAUAAGAGAGAAUGGUGGAAUAUAAUAAAGUUUUAAUCCUUCCCAAUUUUGAACCUUUUUUUUUUUUUUUGAUAUAAUCGCCUUUCUCUUGCAAUCCUAUUAUCAGGUACCUUAUAUUUGCUGAUGCUAUCUGGAACUAAAUUCCAAUCAGGCAUUGUCCAAUUACUAAUAGGACAGAUCAUAUCUCUCUGUUUCUAAACUAACAUGUAUCGUAAUGUGACCUCAUAAGGAAGGCUAGGAAGAUGGAGGAUUUUGUGGGAAGCGACCAGAAUCAGAUGGAAGAGAGAUAGCCCUGUUGACCUAAUGGCUGUAAUAGGAGAAGCGUGUGGUUUUAUGGGACUUAACUGAUACUAAACCUGUAUGAUGCUUGGAGUGGUGUUUCUUUCAUUUUGUUAAGAAAAUAUGGCAGCAUACAUGCUUUCAACUGAGUGCAUCAGAGCAUCCAUAACAGAUGGUCUGCAACCCUAGGUGCAUGCCACUUUCUGACUGAUAAUGAAAUUGUCAGGUACCUGGCCUUGACUAAGCUCAACAGCAUCACAUAAAGAGAAGCUUUCAUACUUAGAUUACUGUUUAAAGUUUUUGCUUAUUUGAUUUCUUAAUGCCAUUAUGACAUUAUUGAUUCAAUUCUGCUUCCGAUUUUCGAAGUUCUGGGCAUCUACUGAUUGCAUCAUUAUAUGAGAAGUUGCAUGAGUUUAUGUAUCCUGUUAUUGUUCCUUUGCGAUUUCACUGCUCACGGGACUAACCUCUCCAUUCAGUCGAAAUGAAUUGUAAUUUCUUUACUGGUAGCAGUAGUACUUUUCAUAGCAAAGAUAAUAGAAAAUAUGAAAUAUAAAUAGAAGGAAAUCUGGAUUGUAGAUAGCACCAUAAGUAACACUCAAUAUUCACUACAUAAUAAAUAGACAGUGUUACAUAGGUAGAGAAACCUACAAUGAGUACUCAUCACCAUUCUCAAACAGAAACAUAGCAGCGACUUAUACAUAGAACCUAUAGGCUCGCAGGGAAAGAGUAACAUGAUAAGUUCACAGCGGGUAGCAGCUCUUAUUUUACGUAUUACUCAAAAUCUCAAACUAACCAAAGUCACUCAGUUGGGAUGGGUAGGAGAUGGUGGUUUGUGGGGUGGCUUCUGGGUAGGAGCUGGUGGCUUCUUUGUUGGAGUUGAAGGAGGCAUAUUCUUCUGAGGUGGCUUGUAUGACUCUUCGGCACUCUCUGCAGGAGGGUGCCCAGGGUUGUGACCAGAAGGAGGUGGCUUCUGUCCCUUUGGUGGUUUGCCUAAUGGGCUUGGUGGCUUGUGCUCCGGGAGUUGUUUCUCUCCCUCGAGUAGGUUUCGAGUUUUGUCAGAUGGCUUGUGUUCUGGUGGUGGCUUCUCUCCCUGGGGUGGUUUGCCGAAUGGGCUUGGUGGCUUGUGUUCGGGGAGUGGCUUCUCUCCCUGGAGAAGGUUACGAGUUUUGUCAGAUGGCUUUUGUUCUGGUGGCGGCUUCUCUCCCUGGGGUGGUUUGCCAAAUGGGCUUGGUGGCUUGUGUUCGGGAACUGGCUUCUCUCCCUUGGGAGGUUCAUUUGGUGGCUGGUGUUCCGUAGGUGGUUCCUUCACCGGCGGCUUGUGCUCCGGAAGCGGCUUCUCUACCUGGAGAAGCUUACGAGUUUUGUCAGAUGGCUUGUGUUGUGGUGGUGGCUUCUCUCCCGGGGGUGGUUUGCCAAAUGGACUUGGUGGCUUGUGUUCGGGGAGUGGCUUCUCUCCAUGGGGAGGUUUAGUUGGUGGUUGGUGUUGCGUAGGUGGUUUCUGAAGUGGGGGAUGCUUGGGGUAGUCAGCAAUAGACGAGGUAGUGAGAACCACCAGUCCCAACAGCAACACUAGCAAGGAUGUUGAAGACAUCUUUGAGUUCAGGCUGAGAUCUGUGCAAGGAUAAAAGAUUUAGGUGGCCUUUUAUAGAGGGCUGGACCCAACACCCAUAUGACACGUGUCAUGCACUCAUGGUGACACAUAAUUCUAUGGGACCAUUUGGGUCCUACAGAAGUUGCAAAGUUGGACUAUUGAGGUGUGAUCACAACUUUUGUCCUACUUGCUUUCUCUGCGGCCAUUGCACGAUUUCCUUUAGCAUCAUUUUCUUGUCUAAAUAAGCGUAUUAUAUUUGUGGCAGACCGUCCACGUGUCAUAAACAGAUAUAUUAUAAUAAUGUAGUAUGCUUUUCUUCAACGGAACUUGACACUCUUCUAAGUCUUGUUUUAAAUACUGUGCAGGAUUACGUCAUAAGUUGCUUGUUCCAAGUCAAAAUUGGUGGGCAAACGUUGGCCUUUUUUCAUUUUCCCUAAUAUUAAUGCUCACCUGGGAUAGGCACUACAUGAUUUAUCUGCUCUUUUACUGUGAAGUUGCUUUGUGCAUGAGUUACACCUCCCCUGCACACCCUCAACAUUUGUUGCUCUGUUUUUCUUGUGUCCAGACGAGGAUAUUAAUUGGAGGCUGACAAAACGACUGCUAGCCAAGGAUUUACAAGGUCCUGGUUUGAGGCUUUCACGAAAGUAUUUUUGAAAAGAUACACAUAGAGAUUGCGCGUUCGGUGCAAUGCAACAAUGUGAGCCAUUCUGAAGUCUUAAAUUUCAGAUUAAUGAAUGCUACAAAAUUCUAAGAAGGGCCGUUUCCAAAUAUUUGAGUUCAUUCAUCCGAACAUCGGGUAUAUGCUUCUUUCUCUAGCCCCUCCUUGAAGGGAGGAGGGACAAUGUGAUCUGUAUCGUUAGAAGCUAUUCCAUGUCGUCAUCUUUGGGCUCAGUUCAAUACUAAAAGAUAUGGGCGGGGCCCUUAUCAUUUUAUAUUUCUUCUAGAAGGUUUAUUCUGGAAAUCUUUCACAGAAACAUAUCUUUUUCUUCUCUACGUGAUCCGUGGUUUGAAAGUUGGAAAAAUGGGUCCGUUAACAAGCCACCGAGUUGAAAAGUUGGAAAAAUGGCAACACCGCCAACCUCUUGUAUUCGAUAGUUAAAUAAAAGGUCACUGGAAGUGAGAUCCCUUUUGGCCUCUUGAUUUUCAUUCCAGCAUCUCUAUGGCCUGAUAAAUUAAAAAACUAAAAAAAAAGACAGUACGUGGGUUGGUGUUAAGCAUCAAGAGUCAAGACAUGAUAAUGGAGAGAAAGGAUAUUCAAAUUCCAGUUCUGACAACAUGAUUUUCUUUGCUGAACUACCAUAUUAUAUUUGAUCAAGAAAGAGUAGUGCAUGUGGCCAGGAUCAAGACAUACAUUAAUUUCCACAUGAUGAAGACAGUUUCUGAGAGUUUCUUCUAAAGCUCUUGCGCGAGUAGGCUUCAAGUCAAAAUCUCCCAUGUAAACACUGGUUUUUCUUUCAUUGCCACUAAGGAUGCAGUUAAUAUUGACUUAAGAUCCUACGUGAUAUAUUUUUUUAAAAGAGCUAUAUUGUAGAUAAUAUUUGAAAUAAUGUUGAUUCGUUGUGGAAAUAUAUUUGUAAGGAAAGUUGUUGACAAUUUAAUAUAGUAUAAGAAGAAAAAAGUUAUCAACUAGCUAGAGAUGAGUAUGUAAAGUGAGGCUCACGAUUCAACGCGUAAAUAUAAGAUAUUUUAAGGCUCAAUAGUUAUGAUAUCUAUUUUAUUUUUUGUAUCUCAUAUAUUCAAAGAUAUAGUAAAAUGAUUUUACAUAUAUAUAUAUAUAUAUAUAUGAACAUAACUAUUUGUGCCAAUUGAUUUUUAUCUUUAUUUUGUAUAUUAGUAAUUAUAUUAAAGUUUUUACUAAUAUAAUAACUAAUAUAAAAGCUUUUUCUAAAAGAGUCAACAGAGCAAAACACUUAUUAUAAAAAAUAAUUUUGAUUGAAGGUGGAGUCAAUUAUUCUUUAUUUAACAUGUAAUGCAUACGGCGUGUACUUCAUAACUAAAGUAUAUAAGUGUAACAUCUCUUAUAUAUUCUCAUUCAAUCUCGAAAGUGGAAAUUUUAAAAAGAUUAAACGGUUCAAAUUUGUCGUGCAUAAAGGGGAUCAUGUCACAUAAGCAAACCAUGGCAUACCAAAGACAUAGGUAUGGACUAAGAAUUUUUUUCAAAUAAGUUUCUUAUUAGGGUACAUUAAUAGGUGACUUUUUAUGACAUAUCAAAGGAGUCAAGUGCACCAAUAAAAACAUAUAUAGAAAAUUCAUGCAUGACAUGUAUCACUAAGAGAAGAUUGACUUGAUAGAGUUUAAUCCAAAUAGGAGAUUGUUAAAAGGUGUCUCAAAUUCUUGAUUGAUAUAUAUUUUUUUUAUUAAAAAGGUUAUUAUAUAGAUAUUUCAAUAGACUAUUAAUUCUUUGUAAAAAUAGUUAUAUAAUGAGGAUGGUGAUUAAAAAUAUCUCUAUCAAUAUUUUGGAUUAUAAAAAGAAAAAAAAUGAGAUAAUGAUAAACAUAUAAAACUUGUACAAGUAGAUAAAGAUGUGAUGAAAGACACUUGAUGAAUGAAGGCUUUGUAUUUCAAGAUAUAAAUAUAUGGAGCAAAACUCUUAAUUAUAUGAUCAAAUGAUUCUCUCAUAUUCAUGAAUAUAAGCAGGAUUGGGGAACCAUGAUAGAAUCUUAUAUGCCUCUCCAUGUAGAGUGAUCGAUGUUUAUCUUCAUAUUUUACACCAGUGAAUGACAUUGAAACUCUUAUUGAUAAAAGGGAAAAGGCAUGGCCUCCACCCCAAGAAAAACAAGUAACCUCGGUUUAAAUCACUAGUCUACACCCCGAAGAGAGAACUAGCCAAACCUACUAAAAGAGAAACUUAACAAUUUAGAAAGAAACCGUCCAUGAUAAAGGGCCCCUAAAGGUCCAAUUCAGUGAGGUCGUGAACAAAAACACUUUCAUGUCAAAACAGAGAUAGGUACCACCAAAAUGUAAAGGGAAAGAUGUAAACCACGUCGAACUUUGGUAAUCAAUGGUAAAGAUAGCAUGAUAGCUAAAAGCACUAAAGCUGUGCUUGGUAUGCAAAAAUGAAAAGUGGAAAUCAGCGUCUUAUUCUUUUUCACCUUUAUUCACAUAUUAGGAUAACUAAUAUCUAAUGUUUUUUAUGUCUCAAAUUCUAUUCCAUGUUAUGGUAAACUUUCAUCUUGUUUAGAUCACUUUUGUCUGGUUUGGGCUCAAGACGAUAAGCCUAUAGAGACUUCAUAUUGGGUUGAAUCGAUGCCCUUGAUCUGAUCUGUUCGUUAGAAAAAUCUGAAUUAUUAUAAGCAUUUAGAUAAAAAAUAAAUAAAUGUGAAACACAAACUACUCCCUGCACAACCUUGACCCUAGUUACUCAGUUUCACUGCUCACAGGACUAACCUCUCCAUUCAGUCGAAAUGAAUUGUAACAAGAAGAUUUUUGACAGGAGGACGGUAGUUUAAAAUAAUAAUUUCUAAAGUACUUUUGUGAAAAAAAAUAAUUCCAAACGUGGAUUUUAUCAAGUAAAAAGAAAAAAAAAAGUUAUUUUCUUUUAAAAUCUGUUCUUCUAAAGAUGAUAUAUAUACCAAAAAAAAAAAUUGUUUUCUGAAGGUAAAAUUUUUAAAAUUCAUUUUUAAAAAAAUUUACACACUAAAAUUAUCUUUUCAAGAGAAGAUUUUUUUAAUUUUAAAUAAUUAUUAAUUUAUAAUUAAUUUGUUAUUAAUUAUUUAUUAAUUUUUUUAUUUGAAAAAUGCAUUUAUAAAAAACAAAUUUGUUAUUAAUUUAUUAAAUAAUUUUUACAAAAUAAAUAAUUUUUUUUUAUUUUAAUUUUAAAAUUAAUUUUAUUAUAUAAAUUUUAAAAUUAAAAAUAUUAAUAUUUAAUUUAAAAUUUAACUAUAAAAGGAAUAAAAUAUAGAAAAAUAAAUUAAUUUAUUAUUCAAUAAAUUAAUUUUCAAUAAAAUUUUCAGCAUUAAGAGAUAAAUUUUUAAGUAUUAAUCAAUUUAAAAAGAAAUAAUGAUCAUUUGUAUAUUAAGAUAUUUUAUUUAGUAAUUAUGAAUGAUAAACAACUAAAGUAAUUUGAAAAAAUAAUAAAAUAUUUAAAAAAUAAUAAUUUAAUACACGUAAAAUUAGAAAUGAUUAACUAUUUUUUAUUAAGAAAAAAUUGAGGAAAUAUUUUGUUAUUUAAAAUUUUUUAUUUGUUUUCAAUUUUUAAUGUUAUAGGUUUCAAGAAAAUUGAUCAAAUAAAAAUUAAGAAGUCAUUUUUUCAAAAACUAUAUAUCUAAAUAAAAGCCUUGAAAUUCAAAUACACAAUAUCAUAAAUAUAAACACCAAGUCAAUCCUUAAUUAUCAAAUGUUUUUAAUAUUAAAGAAUCAAAAUCACCUACUAUCAUGAUAAUAAGAAAACCAAUAAUAUUGUUCAUAUAAAUACUAAAAAGCUAACAAAUAUCCCAAACAAUUAAUAAAGUAUCAAACAUGAUAAAAAGUCAAUUAUUAUCAUGAAUGCAAAAAAUCAAUAAUUUUGUUUAUAUGAACCAUCAACAAAGAAAAAAAAAAUCAAUAUCUAAAUAUUAAACAUAAUUUAUAUUUUUAUAAAUAUUAUUGUUGAUAAAUAUCUUAACAAUUAUAAUUUUAGUAAAUAAAAUUAAUUAAUUUUAGUUUAAGAAUUAUUUUUUUAUACUUUCGUAUUCUUAUCAAAAAUCCCCAUUUUGCAUGUCUCCUUUGGCAUGACUUUCUUACCUAAACAAGCAUAUAUAUAUAUAUAUAUAUAUAAAAUAUUUGGUUAAGAAAGAGUACUAAAGUUUAUAUGGCACACAUCAAGAUAGAAACAGAAGUGGAAGAUAAUCCAAAUGUAUGAACAGAUAUAUUAUAUCCAUGUAGUGGUAGUGACUUCAUUAUUUACUUUUAUCUAAUGGAGCAUGACACACUUCUUCUGAAUAUUUUGCACGAUUAUGUUAUGUGUCAGCUUGUUCUAAGUCAAAACUAGUGAUAAAAAUCGGUUUUUUUUGCAUUUCCUUCAUGAAGAUGGCACCUGGAUGGGGCACUACAUGAGUGGCAUAGCACGAAGUGAUUUAUCUGCUCCCUUUACUAUAAAGUGCUUUGUGUAUAAGUUACACCUCCCCUGCACUGCCUCAACAUUUGUUGUUCUGUCUUCCGUCUGUCCAAACGAGGACAAACGUAUGUUGUAGGUUGACAAAACCACAGCUAGCCUAGGAUUUGCAAGGAUCUAGUUUGAUUCGUAUGCAAAAGGAUUGGUGAAAAGAUUCACAAAGAUAAUGCUUUUUGCAAUGCAAUCUUGUUCUAAUUCAACAGUGUGGACCAUUUUCAUGUAAUGCUUCAACUAGAUGUCAGUUUCAUGAAUUUUUGUUCAUCUAAUUGAUCACUGGAUAGGCCAUAACCCGAAGAAAUUCAAAAUUCCCUUCAGUACUGUAGCUAAGGAAAGAUCCCUAUCUACCACUGGGAUUUUAAGAGGGUAAAAAUGUAGGUGGGUGCCUAUAUCAUUUGCACUUCACUAUAGGCCUCUUUGGGAAGAUUUCUUCUGAAGACAUUUCAAAGAAACAUAUUUUUCUCUUCUCUCCGUAAACGGCAGCUGCAAGUCAGUCCAUUCACAGGCCACCGAGUUGAAAAGGCUGGAAAAUUGGCCAAAGCACCCGCCUCCUGGAUUCCAUGGGUAAGGAAAAGGUCACUGGAGGUGUGAUCCCUGUUGGCCUCUUGAUUUCCAUUCCGCCAUCUAUAUGACCUGAUAACCCAAAAACACAGAAGGAAAACGUCACCUGGGUUCAUAGUAAGCAUCAAGUCAUGAUAGAGACCAGACAACAUGACCAACAAAGAGUAGCGAAUGGGGCCAACAUCAAGCCCCAUUACGGUUAGAAGAUGGAAGAAGUAGAAGACAAUCCAAUUCUGAUAGAUUCGGGCAAAUGUAGUGCUGUUCAAACUUAAUCAUUUACUAUUUCUUCAUGAAUCACGGCAUUUUUCUUCUGAAAAUUUUCCAAGAUUAGGCCUCUGAAGAAAAAUUUCAUAUGUAAAUUGGUAUAUUAAGGAAAAGGCGUUACAAAGGUGAAAAAAAACCAAUCAAAUCUUAUAUAUGACAUCUCAAAAAUAUGAACUUGCUAUAAAUAUUUAAAAUCAAAAUCUUGCACAUCACCUCGUAGUACGAACUUGCUAUAAAACUUGAAAAUCAAGAAGAAAGGGGCAGUAUUGGACGAGACUACUUAGCACAUAUUAUUAUGAUGUUUUUUCAUUUUCUUAAUGUUGUUUUUAUGUCUUAAAUUCUAUUAUUCUAUGUUACGGUAAACAUUCAUCUUGUUUGUGUGGAAUAGGAUCACUUUUCUCUGGGUUGAGUCGAUGCCCUUAGUUAAUUUGUUCAUUUGAAUAAACUAAAUUAUUAUAAGUAUUUAGAUAAGAAAAACGUGAUACAUAAAUUACGCCUCUCGGCACAACUUCAACACUGGUUACUCUGUUUCAGUUUCCUCACACAAGAUUAUUGGUUCUAGGGUUUAUUUGGUUUUGGUUUGAUUCUAAUUGCUAAACUUUCUCAAGGAAGAUGUUAUAUAGGGAGUGAGAAACCUUCACUCUUGGCUACCUCCAAGAGAAGAGCAAGUGGUCUGAAUCAAAGAUAUACUGCUCACUUUUUCUUCUUCUAAGGACAGCUAUGACCUUGCUUUAAGGUUCGAAUAGCCUAAUGCAACCUCCCAUUUCUCAAGUCAGCUGAUGAUGUAAGUCACCUUGGCUUUCCACAUUCAUACGGUGAGGACGUUUGUGGGUGUAAUUCUCUUAACAGUUUUCAUUUUAUAUGGAAAAAUUCAUAAUUAAGGGUAAUUACUGAUUCCAUUUGACAGUGACCAAGUUUAAAAUAUUAAUUCAUAUAUUAAAUGCACAUUAAAAAAUCAUGGAAUAAAUAUAUUUACUAAUAUAUAGUUCUUUUGCCAUGUUCUGUCACAGAAGCAUCGAACUUUCCCUAGAAAUUUUUGCAUGGUAUUCUACUUAUGAUUUUGAAAACUCUAGGCACCUGAGGCCACUAAUUGCAUGGUUGGAUGAGGAGCUGCAUGAGAUUAUGUAUCGUGUUGUUCCUUAACUACAAAUAUCAGUUUUAAGUAGCAUCUCCAUGUGACAUUUUCCUGAUGCAAUUUCGCUGUCCACCAACAAAUUUCACCAUGCAGCAAGAUGAAUUGUAAUUUCUUUAUUGUUAUCAACAGCUUUAAUUAAUCUUGAUAUAUAUAUAUAACUUAGUAGAAGUAUAUUAAUCUAGAUUGUAGUUGCACUAAGAUAAUAGGCAAUAUUAUAACAGUGCCACAAUGCUCAUCGCCAAAUAGAAAGGUAGAAAAACUACAAUGAGUAACUCACAACAUUCUCAAACAGGACAUAGCGGCGACUGAUACAUAGAACACUAUUGGCACUCAGGAAAUGAUAAGAUCAGUGCCCAGCAGGCAGCACGUCUUAUUUUACAUACUACUUAAAACUAACCAAAGUCAUUCAGUUGGGAUGGGUGGGAGAUGGUGGUUUGUGCGGUGGCUUUUGGGUAGUUGGUGGCUUCUUUCCUGGAACUGAUGGUUUUUUUGUUGGAGUUGAAGGAGGCUUAAUCGUCUGAGGUGGCUUGUAUGAGUCUUCAGCACUCUCUGCGGGAGGGUGCCCAGGGUUGUGACCAUAAUGGGGUGGCUUCUCUCCCUUAGUUGGUUUGCCAAGUGGGCUGGCUGGCUUGUGCUCCGGGAGCGGCUUCUCUCCCUUAGGUGGUUUGCCAAAUGGGCUUGCUGGCUUGUGCUCUGGGAGCGGCUUCUCUCCCUCAAGAAGUUUACGGGUUUUGUCAGAUGGCUUGUGUUCUGGUGGUGGCUUCUCUCCUUGGGGUGGUUUGCCAAAUGGACUUGGUGGCUUGUGUUCGGGGAGUGGCUCCUCUCCCUUGGGAGGUUUAGUUGGUGGCUGGUGUUCCAUAGGUGGUUUCUCAACCGGGGGCUUGUUCUCCGUUGGUGGUUUAUGAACUGGGGGAUGCUUGGGGUAGUCAGCAAGAGACGGGGUGGUGAGAACCACCAGUCCCAGCAGCAACACUAGCAAGUAUGUGGAAGAGUACAUCUUUGAGUUCAGGCUGAGAUUUGUGCGAGACUUGAAGAAUUAGGUGGCCUUUUAUAGCUGGCUGCACCCAACACUCACAUGACACGUAUCAUGGUGACACAUGUGCUAUGGGUCCAUUUGGGUCCUACAGAAGCUGAAAACUUUUGACUAUUGAGGUGUGGUCACAACUUUUGUCCCUAUUGCUUUCUCCGCAACCGUUUUACAUGUUUCCUUUGGCAUAAUUUUCUAAGCUAAACAAGCAUAUAUCAUAUUUGGUUAAGAAAGAGUAAAGUGUAUAUGGCACACAUCAAGGAAGAGAAACAGAAAAAGUGGGAGACAAUCAAUUGUGAUAAACAGAUAUAUUAUAUUCAUGUAGUACUAGUGACUUUAUCAUUUACUUUUAUCCAAUAGAUCAUCACUCUUUCUUCUAAAUAUUUUGGAGGAUAAUGGUACAUGUUGCUUGUUUCCAAGUCAAAAUUGGUGGCAAAAAUCGGCAUGAUACGAAAGGAUUGGUGAAAAGAUUCACAUAGAUGGUGCUUUGUGCAAUGCAGUCUUGCUCUAAUUCAACAGAGUGGACCAUGGUGAUGUAUUUUAAAUUUUAAAUUUUAAAUUAAUGCAUGCUUCAAAGUUUUAACUAGAUGUCACUUCCAUGGAUUUUUGUUCAUUUAAUUGAGCACAGGAUAGGCUAUCAAACUUGAAGUAAUAUAAAAAUCCCUUCAUUACUGUAACUAAUGAAAGAUCAUUAUCUGCGCUUGGUAUUUUGCCAAGGUAUUUGCUGCUCUUUCUAGCCCUGUCUUACAGUUAAGGACAAUGUGAUCUAGUUAACCUUAGAAGCUAUUCCAUGUCAGAUACAAGAGAUCAAGCACAUUAUCUUUGGGCUCAGUUCAAAACUAUAAUAUAUGGGUGGGGUGGAGGCCCAUAUCAUUUGCAUAUCACCACUAUUGGUUUAGUUUGGAAGGUUUCUUCUGGAAGAUUGCUGCUUUCUGGAAUCAUUUCAAAGAAAUAUAUCUUUUUGUUCUCUUGGUGACGAGCAGCGGCAAUCAAGUCUGUUGACAAACAACCGAGUUGAAAAGUUUGAAAAUUGGUCACAGCCCACGUCCAUGGUUAAGGAAAAGGUCACUGGAAGUGAUCCCUUCUGGGCCUCUUGAUUUCCAUUCUGACAUCUAUAUGACCUGAUAAAUAGAAAGAAAAAAAAACAGAAGAAAAGCGGCACCCGGGUUCAUAGUAAGCAUCAAGACAGGAUACUGAAAGAAGGGAGAAAGGAGAUUGCAAGUCCAAUCCUGAUAAAAUGAUCAACAAAGAGUAUCAAAAUGGGGCCAACAUAAAGACCCAUUGAGGUUAGCAGAUGGCAUGGCAUUUUUCUCCUUAAGUUUUCCAUGAUUAGACUUGAAGUCAAAAUUUCACAUGUAAAUUUGUAUUUCUACAUUUCCCACUGACGACACCCAACUUCAACUUGAGUUAGAAUAACAUUGUGUGAACUUAUCUGGCCCUCAAAAUUUACUGUGAAGUGCUUUCUGCGUGUGAAGAUUCAGAAAAGCACCAAGGGAACAUGUAUGGUCUGCCUUUUUCUGAUGUUAUGUUUGUCUCUAAUUCUGUUCCAUGUCAUGGUAAAUGUUCACAUUGCUUGUAUGGAACACACCAGGAUCACUUUUUCGGGUUUAUUUUGAGGCUUCAUAUUGGGUUCAUAUUGGGUUCAAUGCUUUUAAUGUGUUCAUUAGACAAAUCUGAAUUAUCAUAUGCAUUUAGAUAAGAACAAUAAUGUGAAACCCUAGUUACACCUCCCCUGCAUAACCCCAACCCUGCUUACUCUAUUUCAGUUUACUCACACAAGUUUUACCGGUUCUUAUAAGUCAAGAAAAGGCAACUGAUGUUGGAUUGACUCUCUUCCAUGUAUAAAAAGCAACUUUUAUAUAUACAUAAAAUAACUUCUUCCCCUCACCAAUGUGGGAUAUCAUGGAUUUAUUCUGGAAACACAUCAAAGGAACAUCUUUUCUCUUGGGUGACCCUAAGUGGUGAGUCAGACCAUUUGCAUGCCAUUGAGUUGCACAGUUGGAUAAAUGCACCUACCUCCUGGGCUCCAGAGUUAAAAGGGUGGAUCCCUGGAUCGCAACCCUCUUGGCAUCUUGGUUUCCAUUCCAACAUCCACAUGACUUGACAAAACAAAAAACAGAAUAAAAUCAUCACUAUUUUCAUGCUAAGCACCAAUACAUGAUGGAAAUCAUUGCUUAAAGAUUUGGGGUCAUUUAGGUUUUGACUGCCUCCUAACACCUCACCUAAUCACAAGUUUUUAUGCUUACAAAUCAAAUAUCGUUCUUCAUUAUAUUAAAAUCAUUUUAAGAUUUCAGAUCCAUCUGCUAAUUAUGAUUAUGAUAACAUUAAUUCACCUGUGCUUCUCAUUUUCGACACACAAGGCAUCUAGGUUUGCAGGAUUUCCUUAUUAGAUGAGAUAAAUGAGUACGCAUGGUUAUGUAUGCAGCAUUCAUUAACCAUGGUAUGUGACAUUUAGAAUUAAGAUAGCAAGCAAACUUUCCCUGCAGCUUGAGUAAAUUGUGAUUUCUUAGCCUCUAUGAGUGGUUCCCAAAUCAAAUUAACAUAGUGAAAUAUACGUAGUCCAGUGAAAGGAAAUGUAAAUUAUAAACUAACAGCACUACACUACUGGUAACACUCGAUACUCUCUAUAUAAUGCAAUGAAAUAUACGUUAUACGUUGCUUGUUCCAAGUCAAAAUUUGUGGCCAAACGUUGGCCUUUUUUCAUUUUCCCUAAGAUUAAUGCUCACCUGGGAUAGGCACUACAUGAUUUAUCUGCUCUUUUACUGUAAAGUUGCUUUGUGUAUGAGUUACACCUCCCCUGCACACCCUCAACAUUUGUUGCUCUGUUUUCCUUGUGUCCAGACGAGGAUAUUAAGUGGGGGCUGACAAAACGACUGCUAGCCAAGGAUUUACAAGGUCCUGGUUUGACGCUUCCGCGAAAGUAUUUUUGAAAAUAUACACAUAGAGAUUGCGCGUUCGGUGCAAUGCAACAAUGUGAGCCAUUCUGAAGUUUUUAAUUUCAGAUUAAUGAAUGCUACAAAAUUCUAAGAAGGGCCGUUUCCAAAUAUUUGAGUUCAUUUAUCCGAACAUCGGAUAAGUAAUGAUCAUAGAUUAUUAUUAUUAUCUGACGUUCUUAUAAUGGUUGGCAUUAUAAGAGGGUAUAUGCUUCUUUCUCUAGCCCCUCCUUCAAGGGAGGGACAAUGUGAUCUGUAUCGUUAGAAGCUAUUCCAUGUCGUCAUCUUUUGGCUUAAGUCAAUACUAAAAUAUAUGGGCGGGGCCCCUGUCAUUUUAUAUUUCUUCUAGAAGGUUUGUUCUGGAAAUCUUUCACCGAAACAUAUCUUUUUCUUCUCUACGUGAUCCGUGGUUGGAAAGUUAGAAAAAUGGGUCCGUUCACAAGCCACCGAGUUGAAAAGUUGGAAAAAUGGCAACACCGCCAACCUCUUGUAUUCGAUAGUUAAAUAAAAGGUCACUGGAAGUGAGAUCCCUUUUGGCCUCUUGAUUUUCAUCCCAGCAUCUCUAUGUCCUGAUAAACUAAAAAACUAAAAAAAAAACAGUACGUGGGUUGGUGUUAAGCAUCAAGAGUCAAGACAUGAUAAUGGAGAGAAAGGAUAUUCAAAUUCCAGUUCUGACAACAUGAUUUUCUUUCCUGAACAACCAUGUUAUAUUUGAUCAAGAAAGAGUAGUGCAUGUGGCCAGGAUCAAGACAUACAUUAAUUUCCACAUGAUGAAGACAGUUUCUGAGAGUUUCUUCUAAAGCUCUUGCGCUAGUAGGCUUCAAGUCAAAAUUUCCCAUGUAAACACUGGAUUUUCUUUAAUUGCCACUAAGGAUACAGUUAAAAUUGACUUAAAAUCCUACGUGAUAUAUAUCUUUAACAAAAGUAUAUUGUAUAUAAUAUUUGAAAUAAUGUUGAUUCGUUGUGGAAAUAUGUUUGUAAGGAAAGUUGUUGACAAUUUAAUAUAGUAUAAGAAGAAAAAAGUUAUCAACUAGAGAUGAGUAUGUAAAGUGAGGCUCACGAUUCAACGCGUAAAUAUAAGAUAUUUUAAGGCUCAAUAGUUAUGAUAUCUAUUUUAUUUUUUGUAUCCCAUAUAUUCAAAGAUACAGUAAAAUGAUUUUAUAUAUAUGAACAUAGCCGAUAGUAUCAUGUUAAAACCUUAUAUGACUCUUUGUGCCAAUUGAUUUUUAUCUUUAUUUUGUGUAUUAGUAAUUAGUAUUAAAGUUUUUACUAACAUAAUAAUUGAUAUAAAAGCUUUUUCCAAAAGAGUCAAACAGAGCAAAACACUUAUUAUAAAAAGAAUUUUGAUUGAAGGUGGAGUCAAUUAUUCUUUAUUCAACAUGUGAUGCAUACAGCGGGUACUUCAUAACUAAAGUAUAUAAGUGCAACAUCUCUUAUACAUUCUCAUUCAAUCUCGAAAGUGGAAAAUUUUAAAAGAUUAAAUGGUUCAAAUUUUCCGUGCAUAAAGGGGAUCAUGUCACAUAACCAAACCAUGGCAUACCAAAGCCAUGAUAUGGACUAAGAAUUUUGUUAAAAUAAGUUUCUUAUUAGGGCACAUUAUGUGACUAUUUAUGACAUAUCAAAGGAGUCAAGUGCAUCAAUAAAGACAUAGAAAAUUCAUGCAUCACAUGUACCACUAAGAGAAAAUUGACUUGAUAGAGUUUAGUCCAAAUAGGAGAUUGUUAAAAGGUGCAUCAAAUUCUUGAUUGAUAUAUAUUUUUUUUAUUAGAAAGGUUAUUAUAUAGAUAUUUCAAUAGACUAUUAAUCCUUUGUAAAAAUAGUUAUAUAAUGAGGAUGGUGAUUAAAAAUAUCUCUAUCAAUAUUUUGGAUUAUAAAAAGAAAAAAAAUAUGAGAAAAUGAUAAACAUAUAAAACUUGUACAAGUAGAUAGAGAUGUGAUGAAAGACACUUGAUGAAUGGAGGCCUUGUAUUUCAAGAUGUAAAUAUAUGGAGCAAAACUCUUAAUUAUAUGAUCAAAUGAUUCUCUCAUAUUCAUGAACAUAAGCAGGAUUGGGGAACCAUGAUAGAAUCUUAUAUGCCUCUCCAUGUAGAUUGAUCGAUGUUUAUCUUCAUAUUUUACACCAAUGAAUGACAUUGAAACUCUGAUUGAUAAAAGGGAAAAAGCAUGGCCUCCACCACAAGAAAAACAAGUAACCUCGGUCUAAAUCACUAGUCUACACCCCGAAGAGAGAACUAGCCAAACCUACUAAAAGAGAAACUUACCAAUUUAGAAAGAAAUCUUCCAUGAUAAAGGGCCCCUAAAAGUCCAAUUCAGUCAGGUUGUGAACAAAAACACCUUCAUGUCAAAACAGGAAUAGGUACCACCAAAAUGUAAAGGGAAAGAUGUAAACCAAGUCGAACUUUGGUAAACAAUGGUAAAGAUAGCAUGAUAGCUAAAAGCACUAAAGCUGUGCUUGGUAUGCAAAAAUGAAAAGUGGAAAUCAGCGUCUUAUUCUUUUUCUCCUUUAUUCACAUAUUAGGAUAACUAAUAUCUAAUGUUUUUUUUAUGUCUCAAAUUCUAUUCCAUGUUAUGGUAAACUUUCAUCUUGUUUAAGUGGAAGAGUAGGAUCACUUUUGUCUGGUUUGGGCUCAAGACGAUAAGCCUAUAGAGACUUCAUAUUGGGUUGAAUUGAUGCCCUUGAUCCGAUCAGUUCGUUAGAAAAAUCUGAAUUAUUAUAAGCAUUUAGAUAAAAUAAAUAAAUAAAUGUGAAACAGAGACUAUUCUCUGCACAACCUUGACCCUAGUUACUCAGUUUCACUGCUCACGGGACUAACCUCUCCAUUCAGUCGAAAUGAAUUGUAAUUUCUUUACUGGUAGCAGUAGUACUUUUCAUAGCAAAGAUAAUAGUAAAUAUGAAAUAUAAAUAUAUAGAAGGAAAUCUGGAUUGUAGAUAGCACCAUAAGUAACACUCAAUAUUUACUACAUAAUAAAAGAGAUAGUGUUACAAAGGUAGAGAAACCUACAAUGAGUACUCAUCACCAUUCUCAAACAGAAACAUAGCAGUGACUUAUACAUAGAACCUAUAGGCUCGCAGGGAAAGAGUAACAUGAUAAGUGCACAGCGGGUAGCAGCUCUUAUUUUACGUAUUACUCAAAAUCUCAAACUAACCAAAGUCACUCAGUUGGGAUGGGUAGGAGAUGGUGGUUUGUGGGGUGGCUUCUGGGUAGGAGCUGGUGGCUUCUUUGUUGGAGUUGAAGGAGGCGUAAUCUUCUGAGGUGGCUUGUAUGAGUCUUUGGCACUCUCUGCAGGAGGGUGCCCAGGGUUGUGACCGGAAGGAGGUGGCUUCUGUCCCUUUGGUGGUUUGCCUAAUGGGCUUGGUGGCUUGUGCUCCGGGAGUUGUUUCUCUCCCUCGAGUAGGUUUCGAGUUUUGUCAGAUGGCUUGUGUUCUGGUGGUGGCUUCUCUCCCUGGGGUGGUUUGCCGAAUGGGCUUGGUGGCUUGUGUUCGGGGAGUGGCUUCUCUCCCUUGGCAGGUUCAGUUGGUGGCUGGUGCUCCGUAGGUGGUUUCUUCACCGCCGGCUUCUCUCCCUGGAGAAGGUUACGAGUUUUGUCAGAUGGCUUCUGUUCUGGUGGCGGCUUCUCUCCCUGGGGUGGUUUGCCAAAUGGGCUUGGUGGCUUGUGUUCGGGAACUGGCUUCUCUCCCUUGGCAGGUUCAGUUAGUGGCUGGUGUUCCGUAGGUGGUUUCUUCACCGGCGGCUUGUGCUCCGGAAGCGGCUUCUCUACCUGGAGAAGCUUACGAGUUUUGUCAGAUGGCUUGUGUUGUGGUGGUGGCUUCUCUCCCUGGGGUGGUUUGCCAAAUGGACUUGGUGGCUUGUGUUCGGGGAGUGGCUUCUCUCCAUUGGGAGGUUUAGUUGGUGGUUGGUGUUCCGUAGGUGGUUUCUGAAGUGGGGGAUGCUUGGGGUAGUCAGCAAGAGACGAGGUAGUGAGAACCACCAGUCCCAGCAGCAAUACUAGCAAGGAUGUGGAAGACAUCUUUGAGUUCAGGCUGAGAUUUGUGCAAGGCUAGAAGAAUUAGGUGGCCUUUUAUAGCGGGCUGGACCCAACAACCAAAUGACACGUAUCAUGAUACACAUAUGUGUUAUAAGAUCCUUGUGGGUCCUACAGAAGUUGAAAACUUUGACAAUUGAGGUGUGAUUACAACUUUUGUCCCUAUUGCUUUCUCGUCAGCCGUUUUGCAAGAUUUUUGACAGGAGGACGGUAGUUUAAAAUAAUAAUUUCUAAAGUACUUUUGUGAAAAAAAAUAAUUCCAAACGUGGAUUUUAUCAAGUAAAAAAAACAAAAAAAAGUUAUUUUCUUUUAAAAUCUUUUCUUCAUGAUUCAUAUACCAAAAAAAGAAUUGUUUUCUGUAGGUAAAAUUUUUAAAAUUCAUUUUUAAAAAAAAAAAAUUACACACUAAAAUUAUCUCUUCAAGAAAAUAUUUUUUAAAUUUUAAAUAAUUAUUAAUUUAUAAUUAAUUUUUUAUUAAUUAUUUAUUAAAUUUAUAUGUGAAAAAUGCAUUUAUAAAAAACAAAUUUUUUAUUAAUUUAUUAAAUAAUUAUUUACAAAAUAAAUAAUUUUGCUUUAUUUUAAUUUUAAAAUUAAUUUUAUUAUAUAAAUUUUAAAAUUAAAAAUAUUAAUAUUUAAUUUAAAAUUUAACUAUAAAAGGAAUAAAAUAUAGAAAAAUAAAUUAAUUUAUUAUUCAAUAAAUUAAUUUUCAAUAAAAUUUUCAGCAUUAAGAGAUAAAUUUUUAAGUAUUAAUCAAUUUAAAAAAUAAUAAUAAUCAUUUGUAUACUAAGAUAUUUUAUUUAGUAAUUAUGAAUGAUAAACAACUAAAGUAAUUUGAAAAAAUAAUAAAAUAUUUAAAAAUAAUAAUUUAAUACACUUAAAAUUAGAAAUGAUUAACUAUUUUUUAUUAAGAAAAAAUUGAAGAAAUAUUUUGUUAUUUAAAAUUUUUUAUUUGUUUUCAAUUUUAAAUGUUAUAGGUUUCAAGAAAAUUGAUCAAAUAAAAAUUAAGAAGUCAUUUUUUCAAAAACUAUAUAUCUAAAUAAAAGCCUUGAAAUUCAAAUACACAAUAUCAUAAAUAUAAACACCAAGUCAAUCCUUAAUUAUCAAAUGUUUUUAAUAUUAAAGAAUCAAAAUCACCUACUAUCAUGAUAAUAAGAAAACCAAUAAUAUUGUUCAUAUAAAUACUAAAAAGCUAACAAAUAUCCCAAACAAUUAAUAAAGUAUCAAACAUGAUAAAAAGUCAAUUAUUAUCAUGAAUGCAAAAAAUCAAUAAUUUUGUUUAUAUGAACCAUCAACAAAGAAAAAAAAAAUCAAUAUCUAAAUAUUAAACAUAAUUUAUAUUUUUAUAAAUAUUAUUGUUGAUAAAUAUCUUAAUAAUUAUAAUUUUUUAUAUAUUAAAUUUAGUAAAUAAAAUUAAUUAAUUUUAUAAUAUAAGAUAUAUAUAAUAAUUAAGAGACUAUUUGUCCCAAACAAUUUAUUUAUUUUUUUUUUAGGAAAUUGUCUCUUCAAGAGACGACUUCUCCCAACAUUUUUAAAAAAAAAAAAAAAAACAUCUAUUCAAAAGACGAUUUCUCCUCAUUUUUUAAAAAUGAAUUUUAGAAAUCAUAUUUUCAAAAAUGAAUUUUAGAAAUCAUAUUUUCAAAAGACGAUUUUUUUUUAUAUAAAUUAUUUUUUAAAAUGACGAUUUUAAAAGGAAAUAACGAUCUCUCUCCUACUUGGCAAAAACUAUGGUAAAUUUGGAAUUAUUUCUUCCACAACCAUAGUUUAAGAAUUAUUUUUUUAUACUUUCGUAGACUUAUCAAAAAUCCCUAUUUUGCAUGUCUCAUUUGGCAUGACUUUCUUACCUAAACAAGCAUAUAUAUAUAUAUAUAUAUAUAUAUCACUUUUGUCUGGGUUGAGUCAAUGCCCUUAACUAAUUUGUUCAUUUGAAUAGUCUAAAUUAUUAUAAGCUUUUAGUUAAGAAAAAUGUGAAACAUAAAUUACACCUCUCGGCACAACUUCGACACUGGUUACUCUGUUUCAGUUUAUUCACACAAGAUUAUUGGUUCUAGGGUUUAUUUGGUUUUGGUUUGAUUCUAAUUGCUAAACUUUCUCAAGGAAGAUGUUAUAUAGGGAGUGAGAAACCUUCACUCCUGGCUACCUCCAAGAGAAGAGCAAGUGGUCUGAAUCAAAGAUAUACUGCUCACUUUUUCUUCUUCUAAGGACAGCUAUGACCUUGCUUUAAAAUGUUCGAAUAGCCUAAUGCAACCUCCCAUUUCUCAAGUCAGCUGAUGAUGUAAGUCACCUUGGCUUUCCACAUUCAUACGGUGAGGACGUUUGUGGGUGUAAUUCUCUUAACAGUUUUCAUUUUAUAUGGAAAAAUUCAUAAUUAAGGGUAAUUACUGAUUCCAUUUGACAGUGACCAAGUUUAAAAUAUUAACUCAUGUAUUAAAUGCACAUUAAAAAAUCAUGGAAUAAAUAUAUUUACUAAUAUAUAGUUCUUUUGUCAUGUUCUGUCACAGAAGCAUCGAACUUUCCCUAGAAAUUUUUGCAUGGUAUUCUGCUUAUGAUUUUGAAAACUCUAGGCACCUAAGGCCACUGAUUGCAUGGUUGGAUGAGGAGCUGCAUGAGAUUAUGUAUCCUGUUGCUCCUUAACUACAAAUAUCAGUUUUAAGUAGCAUCUCCAUGUGACAUUUUCCUGAUGCAAUUUCGCUGUCCACCAACAAAUGUCUCCAUGCAGCUAGAUGAAUUGUAAUUUCUUUGUUGUUAUCAACAGCUUUAAUUAAUCUUGAUAUAUAUAUAACUUAGUAGAAGUAAUUAAUCUAGAUUGUAGUUGCACUAAGAUAAUAGGCAAUAUUAUAACAGUGCCACAAUGCUCAUCGCCAAAUAGAAAGGUAGAAAAACUACAAUGAGUAACUCACACAACAUUCUCAAACAGGACAUAGCGGCGACUGAUACAUAGAACACUAUUGGCACUCAGGAAAUGAUAAGAUCAGUGCCCAGCAGGCAGCACGUCUUAUUUUACAUACUACUUAAAACUAACCAAAGUCAUUCAGUUGGGAUGGGUGGGAGAUGGUGGUUUGUGCGGUGGCUUCUUUCCUGGAACUGGUGGUUUUUUUGUUGGAGUUGAAGGAGGCUUAAUCGUCUGAGGUGGCUUGUAUGAGUCUUCAGCACUCUCUGCAAGAGGGUGCCCAGGGUUGUGACCAUAAUGAGGUGGCUUCUCUCCCUUAGGUGGUUUGCCAAGUGGGCUGGCUGGCUUGUGCUCCGGGAGCGGCUUCUCUCCCUUAGGUGGUUUGCCAAAUGGGCUUGCUGGCUUGUGCUCUGGGAGCGGCUUCUCUCCCCCAAGAAGUUUGCGGGUUUUGUCAGAUGGCUUGUGUUCUGGUGGUGGCUUCUCUCCUUGGGGUGGUUUGCCAAAUGGACUUGGUGGCUUGUGUUCGGGGAGUGGCUCCUCUCCCUUGGGAGGUUUAGUUGGUGGCUGGUGUUCCGUAGGUGGUUUCUCAACCGGGGGCUGGUGCUCCGUAGGUGGUUUAUGAACUGGGGGAUGCUUGGGGUAGUCAGCAAGAGACGGGGUGGUGAGAACCACCAGUCCCAGCAGCAACACUAGCAAGUAUGUGGAUGACAUCUUUGAGUUCAGGCUGAGAUUUGUGCAAGACUAGAAGAAUUAGGUGGCCUUUUAUAGCUGGCUGCACCCAACACUCACAUGACACGUAUCACGGUGACACAUGUGCUAUGGGAUCCAUUUGGGUCCUACAGAAGUUGAAAACUUUUGACUAUUGAGGUGUGAUCACAACUUUUGUCCCUAUUGCUUUCUCCGCAACCGUUUUACAUGUUUCCUUUGUGGUGUUUAAUAGUGUUUUUUUCCUUAAUUCUAAAUAAACCUUAAUACUUAAUAAUGUUAAAUAUUAGGUUAUUUAUUUUUAUAAUAUUUUAUUUAUAUUAAGUAUUAAAAAGUAAAGAAAAAUCAAUAUAUUUAUUUUUCUAUUUAGAAAAAACUAUAUAUUUUUAAUUUUUUUAUUUAAUAAAAAAUUUAUAAUAAAUCAUGAAAAAAUAGAAAAACAAACAACCUAAAUUUUAAAAAUAAAUUGUUUUUAGUAAAAACCCAAAAAAACAAACACCACCUUAACUAAACAAAUAUAUAUUAUAUUUAGUUAAGAAAGAGUAAAGUGUAUAUGGCUCAAAUCAAGGAAGAGAAACAGAAUAAGUGGAAGACAAUCAAUUGUGAUAAACAGAUAUAUUACAUGCAUGUAGUACUAGUGACUUUAUCAUUUACUUUUAUACAAUAGAUCAUCACACUCUUUCUUCUAAAUAUUUUGGAGGAUAAUGGUACAUGUUGCUUGUUGCCAAGUCAAAAUUGGUGGCAAAAAUCGGCAUGAUACGAAAGGAUUGGUGAAAAGAUUCACAUAGAUGGUGCUUUGUGCAAUGCAGUCUUGCUCUAAUUCAACAGAGUGGACCAUGGUGAUGUAUUUUAAAUUUUAAAUUUUAAAUUAAUGCAUGCUUCAAAGUUUUAACUAGAUGUCACUUCCAUGGAUUUUUGUUCAUUUAAUUGAGAACAGGAUAGGCUAUCAAACUUGAAGUAAUAUAAAAAUCCCUUCAUUACUGUAACUAAUGAAAGAUCAUUAUCUGCGCUUGGUAUUUUGCCAAGGUAUUUGCUGCUCUUUCUAGCCCUAUCUUACAGUUAAGGACAAUGUGAUCUAGUUAACCUUAGAAGCUAUUCCAUGUCAUAUACAAGAGAUCAAGCACAUUAUCUUUGGGCUCAGUUCAAAACUAUAAUAUAUGGGUGGGGUGGGGGCCUAUACCAUUUGCAUAUCACCACUAUUGGUUUAGUUUGGAAGGUUUCUUCUGGAAGAUUGCUUUCUGGAAACAUUUCAAAGAAAUAUAUCUUUUUGUUCUCUUGGUGACGAGCAGCGGCAAUCAAGUCUGUUGACAAACAACCGAGUUGAAAAGUUUGAAAAUUGGUCACAGCCCACGUCCAUGGUUAAGGAAAAGGUCACUGGAAGUGAUCCCUUCUGGGCCUGUUGGAAGCAGGGGAGGUUAACACACCAAGCAACAAAGAACAGAGAUAUGCUGCUACUGAUCUAUAUUUUUUAUUUGAUCAUAAGGCUAAAUUUAUACAGAUUGUGUAACAGAUAUGACCUCAAAAAAAAGCAUCAAAUCAAGCUACUUGUUGAACAAACAACUACCUUCUACAAAAUAACAUCAAAAUUUAACUUAAAAGCAAAAACAUAAAAAUAGCAACAGCAAAAAUAGAAACAUAAAAAUAGCUUCAGCAUUCUAGUAAUCUCGUUGACUUCAAUUGCAUGUGGUUGACGAUUUCAGCCUUUUCCUCAGCAGCUACUAAGGCAUAACUCUCAACACUCCUCCUUGACUUAGGAGGUGCAAACUCCAAGUCUUUCUCAUAGAAACUCAAAUCUUAUUUUAGGAAGAGCUUUAGUCAGAAUAUCUACAUUUUGACUGUCUGUAUUGCAGUAGACUAGUUGUAUAUCUCCUUCUUUCUGUACUUCCCUCAAAAAUUACAAUUUAAUCUUGAAGUGCUUUGUUUUACCAUGAAAAACUGGAUCAUUUGCAAUAGAUAUAGUGGCCUGGUUGUCUACAAACACCUUUGUACUCACUUCUUGCUUCAUAUCCAAAUCUGUCAGCAACUUUCCAAGCCAUAAGGCUUGAUUUACAGCUGUAACAGCAGCAAUAUACUCUGCCUCAGCUGUGGAUUGAGCCACGACUUCUUGCUUCCUUGAACUCCAUGAAAAAACACCAGAACCAAAACUAAAACAAUAGCCUGAAGUACUUCUCAUAUCGUCAACACAACCAGCCCAAUCACUAUCAGAAAAUCCAUGAAAAUUGAAACUUUGAACUUGACUGAACUUAAUGCCAUAAUCCACAGUGCCUUUAACAUUUCUUAUCACACGCUUUGCUGCCUGGAAAUGAAUUUCACUAGCACAAUGCAUGUAUCUCGAAAGUAGACUUACAGCAUGCAUUAUAUCGAGUCUUGUUGCAGUCAAGUACAUUAAGCAUCCAAUCAUGCUUCGAUAAAGUCCUUCAUCUACCUUUUUAGCACCGUCCUCCUUACAGAACUUCUCUUUCUGGUUCAUAGGGGUAGAUGUAGGUUUGCAUUCCUCCAUUUUGAAUUUCUUCAUAAUUUCUUUGGCAUAUUUUUGUUGGCAGAUGAAAAUCUCAUUCUGCUUCUGGUGUACUUCCAUUCCCAAGAAGUAAGACAUCUCAUCUAGGUCUGUCAUCUCAAAAACCUGCUCCAUUUCAGCCUUGAAUUUGUUCACAAACCCUGCAUUACUUCCUGUUACAAGCAAAUCAUCAACAUAUAGAGAAACAAUUAAUAUAUCUUCUUCAAUCUUCUUAAUGUAGAGUGUAAAUUCACUCAAGCUCUUGUGAAAGCCUAAAGUUAGCAGGUGAGUGUCAAUCCUGCUGUACCAAGCUCUAGGGGCUUGUCUUAACCCAUACAAGGCCUUCUUAAGAAGGUAUACUUUUUCUUCUUUUCCUUUGAUAGCAAAACCUUCUGGUUGUUCGACAAAAAUCUCUUCCUCUAAGUAGCCAUUCAAAAAUGCUGACUUCACAUCUAGUUGAUAAAUCUUCCAUUUUCUUUGAGCUACAAGAGCCAACAACAUCCUGAUUGUAUCCAAACGAGCUACUGGUGCAAAGGUUUCCGAAAAGUCAACACCAAACAUUUGUGCAUACCCUUUGACAACCAGCCUUGCUUUAUGUUUGUUUAUAGAACCAUCAGAGUUGAGUUUGGUUCUGUAAACCCACUUAACCCCAAUAGGUUUUUUGUGUGAAGGUCUAUCUACUAGCUCCCAAGUGUUGUUCUUGUCAAUCAUAUCUAGCUCCUCCUGCAUUGCAACCCUCCAUCUUUUAUUUUCAGCAGCUUCAACAAACCCUGCAAGUUCAAGAACAGCUAUAUUACACCUUUGAUAAAUAUCAAAAAGUGUCAUGAAACCUCUAACUGGAAGUUCAUCAACAUCUUCAUCAAUAUAUUGCUGAUUCUGCUCAUCCCAACUCCAUUUCUCCGUUUCCAAAAACUUAACAUCUCUACUUACCACAAUUUUACUAUUUUGUGGCAAGUAGAUUCUGUAAGCUUUUGAGGUGCUGUUGUAUCCAAUGAAAAUUCCUGGUUCUGACUUUUUAUCUAGCUUGUCUCUUUUCACCUGAGGAACAUAAGAGAAACACAAGCAACCAAAGGUCUUUAAAUUCAUUAGCAUAGGCUUAUAAGCAAACCAGGCCUCAAAAGGUGUCUGUUUCUGCAAUGCUUUUGUUGGUAGUCUAUUUAGCAAAAAUACUACUGUAUUUGCAGCUUCAACCCAAAAACUUUUUGGCAGCUCUUUCUCAUGCAAAAGACAUCUUGUCAUUGAUUACUACUCAAAAAGUGCUAUUUGAUAGCCUUUAAUUAAUCCUUUUUAACACUUUUGAGUAGUAGUUUAGGCCUUUUAACUCAAUUGGCAUGUUAAGGAUCCUUUAAAGCAAUUUUGAUCACUUUGUGCAAGUUUUGGUGUUUUUGUUAGUAUUUCGAUCACCAAAGCAAGUCAAGAAUGAGGAGAGCUAUGAGGAAUCUUGGGCAAAGCUUAGAAUUCAAUUGCCAAGAGUGAAUCCGGAUUGCAAGGAGAAAAAGCAAAGAGGAUCAGUCAUGGAGCAUAUUCUUGAUGACAGUCGUAGCAGCCACUUUUGGAUCACUUUCUGAAGUCCAAAUGAUGCAAGCUAUAUACCAUUUCAAAGCUCAGGAAGUCAACAAUCCAAUGCUUCAAACGGUGUGCGAUUCGGAAUUGAAACGAAGAAGUUGCAGCCAUUACAAGCCAGACACUCUAAAGUGUUGCGGAAUCAGCCAUGUGUUGCGAGAAUUUCGCAGCACUUUUGUACAGUAAGGUGUUUCUCCUUCUAACGAUGCACGAACCAUGCCGCGAGAAGGGAGCUGGAAACUUCAAGAUGGAAGCCAACUUUGCAGCCUAGUGAAGAUAGCUCGGUCUUGCAAGAUAAUUUCGCAGCCCUCUUGGGUGUCUGCGAAAUUUCGCAGGCCUCAUUUUUCACCUGCGAAAUGGCUCUUGAAGCCUCCCGAAGCUUGCUACCGACAUUGGGAGAUAUUUUCCAUUAGAUUUUUGUUGUCUAAAUCCCAAAAUACUCCUUGUAAACCACCAAUUACAUGAUUCCUUAGUUUUUAAGUUAGUAAAAAGACCAAAUAUCUUUGUAACAAUUAGUUUUAUAUUUUGUUGUUAUAAAUACCUCUCGGGAGCCUGUUCUCAGGGAGGAGUUCCUUCUGUAAACGUUUGGUAAGCAAGUAAAGUCUAUUUUCUUUCUACUGCCUUACCUUCUCACUUUGUAUUUUCAUUUUAUUUCUAAGUUAUGAAUUCUCUGAGGAGUUUUCCCCAAAGAAUGAGUAACUAAACCUCCAAUUCCUUGGAGCUAAGGUUGCCGGGGAAGGUUCCAAGUGCAAGAAUGCAAAGCUCUGUGGUUUUAGCUAGUAAUGAAGAGGAAGUGAAAUCCUUUAGUGAUUUCAAUGUUUUUAGUUAACUUAAAACACUUUGGAGUCACCUGGGCCAACACUUGGUAAGGCAAGUGAUUUCCAACCAUGGAAAUGCACUAGUUUACCCCUUGCGAGCCUCUGGUAGGUGACUUCAAGGUAGGAUUUUCUGGAAUUACCAACACUUGGUAAGCUUUUGGACUCCUAGGAGACAUCCAUUAGUUAUCUCUUGCGAGUUUGUGAAGGGAAUCCAAGGUUAAAGAUCACCUUGAAUGGUAAGUGCUCGUGAGAGGCAUGAACCAUUGCAAGUUGUAUCAGUGAGAGAAUUAAAGUGAAAUCUAAUUGAAGGAGUCUUUGUACAUCACCGGUUAGAGAAUUGACUAUAAGUUGAAUCUCUAAUGCGAGGAAAUGAACCAACUGACCAGAGCCGUGUCUUUUGCAUGAGGAACCACCCCAGUGAACCUAAAUCUCCAAGGAAUGUUUUUUUCUUCCUAAAUUAUUCCAAACUUCUGUUAAGUUAGUUAGUUUAAAUCUCAACCUUUACAAAUCAAAGUUUGUGUUUUAUUCCUUAAGCUAACCGUGAAAUGAAACAAGACCAAUUCACUUGGAAUUGGUAUCAUUGAUUGCCUGCAAAUCAUUCCCAGUGAACGAUCCUAGAGCCACUAUACUAUAGUAGCUUUGUAUUUGCUACCCUAGUGUAUGGUGUUAUAGGUAUAAAUUUUGUUGAUCACUUCCUCAAUCAAGGAGCACCAGCUGAACACAAAUCAGCUGAGACACCAAUUAGGCAUGAGUCAAAUGGCGCCGUUGCCGGGGAAUGAAUGUCAAGUUCAUUGUGAUACCAUUGUUGAGCACUUGUGAUUUUCAUCACAAGUUGGUAAAGUUUCUUUCACUUUACUAAUUUUCAUUCUUUCUUUGUUUAUUUACAAUCUAAGUUUAUCUUUUUAAAUUUUAGUCUAGUUUAAUUUUGUUGUUGUAGCCCUGUUUUUCUUGUUGUCCUCUGUUUUCAUUUUUUUUUUCAGGUAGAUACUAGUUGUGUAUGCCCAAGUGGAUACGAGACAUAGGAGGUAGGCUUGUUAAGUGUGAUACACCUCAGAAAGGAGAAUUUGAAGUAAUCUUGAAUAUCAUGGAGGCUGCACCUGAAGAUCAGCAUAGUCACCAAGGUCGUCAAGACAAUCUCAAUGAAUUCAGAUCAAUGAGGGACCGUAUGCAUCCACCUCGUAUGAGUACACCAUCAUGUAUAGUGCCCCCUACAGAGCAGCUAGUGAUCAGACCAUAUCUUGUUCCACUUCUACCAACUUUCCAUGGGAUGGAAAGUGAGAAUCCGUAUGCACACAUCAAGGAAUUUGAAGAUGUUUGUAAUACAUUCCAAGAAGGAGGAGCUUCAAUUGACUUGAUGAGGCUUAAGUUAUUUCCUUUUACUUUAAAGGAUAAGGCCAAAAUUUGGCUUAAUUCUUUAAGGCCAAGGAGUAUCCGCUCUUGGACUGAUUUACAAGCUGAGUUCCUUAAGAAAUUUUUUCCUACUCAUAGAACAAAUGGCUUGAAAAGGCAAAUUUCAAACUUCUCAGCUAAAGAGAAUGAGAAAUUCUAUGAGUGUUGGGAAAGAUACAUGGAAGCUAUAAAUGCUUGUCCUCACCAUGGCUUUGAUACUUGGCUAUUGGUGAGCUAUUUUUAUGAUGGUAUGUCCUCCUCAAUGAAGCAACUCCUCGAGACAAUGUGUGGAGGAGAUUUCAUGAGCAAAAAUCCAGAGGAAGCUAUGGAUUUCUUGAGCUAUGUAGCUGAUGUUUCAAGGGGAUGGGAUGAACCAACUAAAGGAGAAGUGGGAAAGAUGAAGUCUCAGUUGAAUGCUUACAAUGCAAAGGCUGGGAUGUAUAAUUUGAAAGAAGAUGAUGACAUGAAAGCAAAGUUGGCAGCUAUGACAAGAAGAUUGGAGGAGCUGGAGCUGAAAAGAAUGCAUGAAGUGCAAGCUGUUGCUGAAGCACCAGUGCAAGUGAAGCUGUGUCCCAAUUGUCAAUCAUUUGAACAUUUGGUGGAGGAGUGCCCUGCAAUUUCAGUUGAAAGGGAAAUGUAUAGAGAUCAAGCAAAUGUUGUUGGACAAUUUAGGCCCAAUAACAAUGCUCCUUAUGGAAAUACCUACAAUUCAAGUUGGAGGAAUCAUCCAAAUUUCUCAUAGAAGGCCAGAGCAACUCAAUACCAACAGCCGGAUCCACCAUCUCAGCAAUCUUCAAGUAUUGAACAAAUAAUAGCCAAUCUCAGCAAGGUAGUGGGAGAUUUUGUGGGAAAGCAAGAAGCCACCAAUGCUCGAGUUGAUCAAAGAAUGGAUAGAAUGGAGAGUGUGUUGAACAAAAGAAUGGAUGGAAUGCAAAAUGAUAUGAACCAAAAGUUUGAUAACAUCCAAUAUUCAAUUUCAAGGCUUACAAAUUUGAAUACACUGCAAGAAAAAGGAAGAUUUCCUUCUCAACCUAACCAAAAUCCCAAAGGUGUCCAUGAAGUGGAAAGCCAUGAGGGAGAAUCAUCACAGGUGAAAGAUGUGAAAGCUUUGAUCACUCUAAGGAGUGGUAAGAAAAUUGAGCAGCCAACACCCAUGCCACAUGUUGAGAAAGAAGAAGGGAUAAAGAAAGGAAAGGAAAUAGAAGAUAAAGACAGUGAGAUCAGUGAAGAAAAGAAGGACUCUGAUUCAACAAUCAAAGCAAUUCCAGAGAAAGAGCUUCUGAAGGAAGAAAUGCUGAAGAAAUCAACUUUUCCACCUUUUCCUCAAGCAUUACAGGGGAAAAAGGGGGUUAGAAAUGCAGCUGAAAUCCUUGAAGUCUUAAGACAAGUAAAAGUUAAUAUUCCACUGCUGGAUAUGAUCAAACAAGUUCCAACGUAUGCAAAAUUCCUAAAGGACUUGUGUACUAUCAAAAGAGGGGUUGACUGUAAACAAGAAAGCCUUCUUGACUGAGCAAGUAAGUGCAAUCUUACAAUGCAAGUCUCCUUUGAAGUACAAAGACCCUGGAAGUCCUACCAUUUCAGUCAUGAUUGGAGGAAAGGUAGUGGAGAAAGCCUUGCUAGACUUGGGAGCAAGUGUGAAUUUGCUUCCAUACUCUGUCUACAAGCAACUGGGACUUGGAGAGUUGAAGCCAACAGCAAUCACUUUAUCUUUGGCAGAUAGAUCAGUGAAAAUUCCAAGAGGAGUAAUUGAGGAUGUAUUGGUUCAAGUGGAUAAUUUCUACUAUCCAGUAGAUUUUGUUGUUCUUGAUACUGAUCCAACUGUAAAGGAAGCUAAUUUAGUUCCUAUCAUCCUUGGAAGGCCAUUUCUUGCAACUUCAAAUGCAAUCAUCAACUGUAGAAAUGGGCUUAUGCAACUCACUUUUGGUAACAUGACACUGGAUCUCAAUAUUUUCUAUAUGUCUAAAAAGCAAAUCACUCCUGAGGAAGAAGAAGGUCCAGAAGAGCUAUGUAUUAUUGAUACUUUGGUGGAGGAGCACUGCAAUCAGCAUAUGCAAGAUAAGUUGAAUGAAAGUCUUGUGGAUAUUGAGGAAGGUUUUUCUGAAUCUCCUAUUGGGCUUGCUACUCUACAAAGUUGGAGAAAGAUAGAAGGAAUUCUACCUUUGUUCAAUGAAAAAGAGGAGGCAACUGUUGAAGAAGAAAUUCCAAAACUCAAUUUGAAGCCUUUACCUGUGGAGCUGAAAUAUACAUAUCUUGAAGCAAAUAAUCAAUGUCCUGUUGUGAUAUCCUCAUCUCUGACCAGUCAUCAAGAGAAUUGUUUAAUGGAAGUUCUCAUGAGGUGUAAGAAGGCAAUAGGAUGGCAAAUAUCUGACUUGAAAGGCAUUAGUCCUUUAGUUUGUACUCAUCAUAUAUAUAUGGAGGAGGAAGCAAAGCCAAUUCGUCAAUUUCAAAGAAGGUUGAAUCCUCAUCUACAAGAGGUGGUGCGAGCUGAGGUGCUGAAGCUACUUCAAGCAGGAAUCAUUUACCCUAUUUCUGAUAGCCCUUGGGUGAGUCCUACUCAAGUGGUACCAAAGAAGUCAGGGAUCACAGUGAUUCAAAAUGAAAAAGGGGAAGAAAUUACUACACGCCUCACUUCAGGUUGGAGGGUGUGUAUUGAUUAUAGAAAGCUGAAUGCUGUCACCAGGAAGGAUCAUUUUCCAUUGCCAUUUAUUGAUCAAGUGCUGGAGAGAGUCUCUGGACAUCCAUUUUAUUGUUUCUUGGAUGGGUAUUCAGGCUAUUUUCAAAUUGAAAUUGAUUUGGCAGAUCAGGAAAAGACCACUUUUACAUGUCCAUUUGGAACAUUUGCUUAUAGAAGAAUGCCUUUUGGUUUAUGCAAUGCACCUGCUACAUUUCAAAGAUGUAUGUUGAGUAUUUUCAGUGAUAUGGUGGAGAGAAUUAUGGAGGUUUUCAUGGAUGACAUCACCGUAUAUGGAGGUACAUUUGAGGAGUGCUUGGUUAAUUUGGAAGCAGUUCUUCAUAGAUGCAUUGAAAAAGAUUUGGUGCUGAACUGGGAGAAAUGCCAUUUUAUGGUACGUCAAGGAAUUGUCCUUGGCCAUAUCAUCUCUGAAAGAGGCAUUGAAGUUGAUAAAGCAAAGGUGGAGCUUAUUGCCAAAUUACCAUCUCCAACAACUGUGAAAGGAGUAAGACAGUUCCUUGGCCAUGCAGGGUUCUAUAGGAGGUUUAUAAAAGGUUUUUCAAGUCUUUCAAAACCUCUUUGUGAGCUGUUAGCUAAGGAUGCUAAGUUUAUAUGGGAUGAAAGGUGUCAGCAUAGCUUUGAUCAACUGAAGAAGUUUUUAACAACAACUCCAAUAGUGAGAGCCCCUAACUGGCAAUUACCUUUUGAACUGAUGUGUGAUGCCAGUGACUUUGCUAUAGGAGCUGUGCUUGGCCAAAGAGAAGAUGGGAAGCCCUAUGUGAUUUACUAUGCAAGUAAAACACUAAAUGAAGCUCAGAGGAACUACACAACUACAGAGAAAGAAUUGUUAGCUGUGGUAUUUGCUUUGGACAAAUUUCGAGCUUAUUUAGUGGGGUCUUUCAUCAUUGUCUUCACUGACCAUUCAGCCUUGAAGUAUUUAUUGACAAAGCAAGAUGCAAAAGCAAGGUUGAUUAGAUGGAUUCUAUUGUUACAAGAGUUCGAUCUUCAAAUCAAAGAUAAGAAAGGAGUGGAGAAUGUAGUAGCUGACCACUUGUCAAGGUUAGUUAUAGCACAUAAUUCCCAUCCCUUGCCUAUCAAUGAUGAUUUUCCUGAAGAAUCACUCAUGUUCCUAGUGAAAACUCCUUGGUAUGCUCAUAUUGCUAAUUAUUUAGUAACUGGGGAAAUUCCAAGUGAGUGGAAUGCACAGGACAGGAAGCACUUCUUUGCCAAAAUUCAUGCUUAUUAUUGGGAAGAGCCCUUUCUCUUUAAGUAUUGUGCAGAUCAGAUUAUUAGGAAGUGUGUCCCUGAAGAUGAGCAGCAAGGGAUUCUAUCUCAGUGUCAUGAGAAUGCAUGUGGAGGCCACUUUGCCUCUCAGAAAACAGCCAUGAAGGUAUUACAAUCAGGGUUUACUUGGCCAUCUCUUUUCAAAGAUGCCCACAUCAUGUGUAGAAAUUGUGAUAGAUGCCAAAGGCUUGGAAAGCUAACAAAAAGAAAUCAAAUGCCUAUGAACCCCAUUCUGAUAGUUGAGAUAUUUGAUGUUUAGGGCAUUGACUUCAUGGGACCUUUCCCAAUGUCUUUUGGUAAUUCUUACAUUUUGGUGGGGGUAAAUUAUGUUUCUAAAUGGGUUGAGGCAAUCCCCUGUAAGCAAAAUGAUCACAGGGUGGUUCUCAAGUUUCUUAAAGAGAACAUUUUCUCAAGAUUUGGGGUGCCCAAGGCCAUAAUCAGUGAUGGAGGAGCUCAUUUUUGCAACAAACCUUUUGAAGCUCUGUUAUCCAAGUAUGGAGUGAAGCAUAAGGUAGCCACACCUUAUCAUCCUCAGACAUCCGGGCAAGUUGAGCUAGCUAACAGGGAAAUAAAGAACAUUUUGAUGAAAGUGGUGAAUUCCAACAGAAAAGAUUGGUCUAUUAGGCUUCAUGAUUCAUUGUGGGCAUAUAGAACAGCUUAUAAAACUAUUCUUGGGAUGUCUCCCUAUCGUCUUGUCUAUGGCAAAGCAUGCCAUCUCCCUGUGGAAGUUGAAUACAAAGCUUGGUGGGCAAUAAAGAAGCUGAAUAUGGACUUGAUCAAGGCCGGAGAAAAGAGAUUUCUAGACCUUAAUGAGAUGGAGGAAUUAAGAAAUAAUGCUUAUAUCAAUUCCAAAGUUGCAAAACAGAGGAUGAAGAAGUGGCAUGAUCAACUCAUCUCCAACAAGGAAUUUCAGGAAGGGCAAAAAGUUUUGAUGUAUGACACAAGACUCCAUAUCUUUCCUGGGAAGCUCAAAUCAAGGUGGAUUGGUCCAUUUGUUAUUCACCGAGUAUAUUCCAAUGGAGUGGUGGACUUAUUGAAUUCCAAUGGCAAGGAUAGCUUUAAAGUCAAUGGAUAUCGUCUCAAGCCGUUCAUGGAGUCAUUCAAAUCAGAAAAGGAGGCAAUCAACCUCCUUGAACCUCAAAAAGCCUAAGUGAAAAGGGUUUGCUGGACGUGGCUUUACCACAGUCCAAAAUUUUUGUAAAUUUUGUAAAUUUUCAAGUUGUUUCUAUACUUUUGAUUUUAGUUUUUGAUCUUAAAUCAUGUUUUUAGGUGUGUUUUAAUCGUUUUAAAUGAUCCCAGGUGGAAGAAAUUUCAAGGGGAUUGAAAGAAAAAAAAUCGGGUCGAAAUUGGAGCCGAAACAGAGCAAAAACAGGGGAAAAACAGAGCUCUGCGAAAUUUCGCAGGGUGAAGGAAACCUCUGCGAAAUGAGCAUUUUGUUGCGAAACCAUUCCGCAGCACUGUAGAAGCCUCUGCGAGUGUAUUUCGCAGCUGCGAAAGUGAAUUUGGCACACGAGUGCCACUUCGCAGUACAGUAGCAUCCAUUUGGCAGCUGCGAAACUCAUUGCGAAAUGGAAAAGCGUGAUUUCGCACCAAAAGUCCCAUUCCGCAGGGUAUUUCGCAAUUGCGAAAGUGGUUUUGGCACACGAGUGCCACUCCGCAGCACAGUAACAUCAAUUUCGCAGCUGCGAAACUCACUGCGAAGUUGCUGCGAAAAUGGCAAGUUGCUGCGAAAUUGGCGUUUAGUUGCGAAACUUAAACUGACCCCUGAGCUUCCGUUUUUCCUAUUUAUACCGGUCAAAAGUGCUGCGAAAAGGGUUUCAAAAAUCAGAGCACCAUUCUCGCAGCCCCUUCAUCUUCUUCGCCAAGCCACGCCGUCCGAACCUCCGGUCGUCUUCUCCGUUUAGCAGCGCCGGCCAAAGAUCGAUAUUCCAAAAUGGCACGAACGCGAGGGGCAAAAUCUUCAUCCCCUUCGAAUCGCAAAAGGAGUCUGCGAAAGGAGCCAAGUCCAGGUUCUGCUCCAGAACCUGCUCCAAAGCCUUCGCCGUCGAGACCACAACCUUCUCCAGUGAAGCCGGCGCCACUAAAGCCGCCGGCAAGACGAUAUUUGACAAGGUCAGGCGGUUGGCCAUUGAAGAAGAAGCCCAGGGUUGAGAGCUCUGAACCAAUUGAUUUGACUGAGCAAUCCCCUGAGCAGUCCCCAAAUCCUUCACCAGUUCAAACUCCAGUGCCGUCACCGGUUCCCUCGCCAAUUCCCUCACCUGAAGCAACUCCAAUUCCAUCGUCGGUACCAUCUCCGGCACCCCAAGAAAAAGCUCAGGAGCCUCAAGCGCCAAUUCCAGAGCCCCAAAUUGCAGCUGAAGCACCUCUGGAAGAAGUGAUCCGAAGGCCAAUGCUGCCCCAGCCCCCAAUCGAAGGAAACUUGGAUUGUCGAACACGGGCAUUCCAUUCUGAGCUUUGCUUCGAUUUAACAGCAUUCAGAGUGAGGCCAGAGCUUGCCCAAUCCUUCCAGCUGCUGAGGAGAUAUCAUAUGGAGCAUCUGCUAGCUCCAAGGGAUUUUUUCUAUCCCCGGGUAGUCACGGACUUCUACCAGACCAUGACAACCAAAGAAGUAAGAAAUCCAACUCUGAUCCAUUUCAUAAUUGAUGGAAGGCAUGGUAUUUUGGGAGCAAGACACAUUGCUGAAGCUCUGCAAAUUCCUUUUGAGCCAACCCAAUUCGACAAUUUUAAAGCUUGGGUAAAUCCUACUGAGUUAGAGAUGGUUCGCACACUAACCAGAGGAGCUGCAAAUCGAUCACACCUGUUGAGGGGGGAGCUACCUCCAGUGAUGUUUUUGAUUGAUGCCUUUUUGAGGCAUAAUAUCUAUCCCCUGCAGCAUUGGACCCAAAGAAGGGGAAUUCUCCUGGAAGCUUUGUACAAGAUGUCAGAAGGAUUCUUCUUUGGGCCCCAUCAUCUUAUCAUGGCAGCCCUUCUAUACUUUGAGGAAAAGGUUCACAAGAAGAAACUUCAAAGAGCAGAUUGCAUUCCACUCCUCUUCCCAAGGCUGCUAUGCCAAGUUUUGGAGCAUCUCGGAUACCCCUCUGAGCCUCAGCAGGAAAGAAAGAGAAUAUGCCGUGAGCCAUUUACUCUUGAUAAAUGGAAUAAUAUGACGGCCUACAAAAUUGAUCAGCCUGGGCAGCCUCAGCCAGCAGCAAGGAGAGCCUCCCCAAGACAUGCACCUGAAGGUAUAACACUUGCUACUCCUGCCAUCCCUCGAGCUUCACCAGCUGCACCUGCUGCAUCACAGCCAUCCACAUCAGCUGAGCCGAGGAUGGCCAUCCCUAUAUCCGAAUAUCGAGAGCUGUGCCGAGCAUUGGAGACUCUUACAGCUUCCCAGAGCAAUCUUGCUCAAGAGUUGGCAGCCAUCAAAGCAUGCCAGGAGCAGAUGUUAGCCUCUCAGGCUCAACAAGCUGCCAUCCUAAGGCAGCUUCAAGUCCAUUUCGAUCUGCCACAAGCUGUAGAGCCCUCCACUGAGACUCCACCAGAGCCACACUCUCAGCCUUCAGAGUCUCUUCCUCCAGAGCCAGAAGCCCCAACUGAUCCACCUACAGAGGAGGCGGAUCCUUCUGCUUAGCACCAUCACCCCACUCAUCAGACAUUAUAUAUAUUUGCUGUUUAUGUUUUUAUGCAUGUUUGUUUUGUUUUAGUUGAAAUGAAAUCCCAGUAUUUUGGUACUAUAUAUGGGAUUCCUUGUGAUUACUUGUCCUUAGCAUUGUACUCGAAUGAAUUGAAAGUAAUACAAGUUGAAUUUUUCUUGUUAAAAGUUAGCAUUAAAAUUCUCCUUAUUUCCUUUUCUCACAUAUUCUAUUCUUUUUGAAACAUGUGGUUUUCCCCAAUCAAUAUUCGAAUUUGAUAUCAGCAUGGAGGUACCACUUCCUCCCUUUUAUUACAGUCACUCAAAUCACAUUGAGGACAAUGCUCAGUUCGGUUGGGGGGUAUGAGGAAGGAAGUAUUCUAAAUCUUUUUGGUAUUGCAAUUAUAUUGGUUAAUUAGUUGUAGAUUUUACGUUUUACUCUUGUUACUCUAUUCUCCAUGAAUUUUGAGGAAAAAUUUUCAAAUUAAACCAAGAGAAAUUGAACUGUUGUUUUUCACUUGACUUAGAGUAUGGAUUAUGCUUACUAAAGUGGUUCAAUUGUUGAAACUUCUACUGAAAUUGAAUUGAGUUCUUCCAUUUUAAGCUAUCCACACACUGUGCACAUUAGUUUCUGAUUAUAAGAUGAAAAGCUAUUUCCCUCUUGACUUAGGAUAAUUUUGGGACUUGGUAUAUUUGACCUCAUUUGAUAAAAAUUGAAACACCCUGCAAAAGGCCAAUGAGCCUUUGAAAUAAAGAAAGAUGUUUGCUUGCCUUGAAACCCGAGCAAGGUCUGAGGGGCAUAUGGUGAAAGCCUUUAAAGCCUGGUGCCCUAAGCCUUAAUUGGUUGGGAGUCACCGACCUCAAUGCUCGUUACAAGGGUGAAUAGGUAGAGCUAGCAUAUGGUAGAUGCUUGGGUAUUAGAAAUUCAUUCUUAAAAGUCCAGGGAAAAAUCCGAGGAGUUAGUGGUUGAAAGAUCCUUAAAACUUGGUGCCCUAAACCUUAAUUGGUUGGGAGUCAUCGAUGGACCCCCAUUACAUGGACAAGUCAGAAAGAGUACCCCAUAAAGCUACUUUAAAAAAAAAAAAAAAAAAAAAAAAAAGAUGAUGAAAGUGUGUUCUUUUCUUAUUGAUUUUGGUCAGAUUGCUAAAGUGUUGAAAAGAGAUAGGUUGGGGGGGGAGACUAGUUUAGCAUAUUAUUCUCGGAAUCUAAGGAACCAAUACACAUAGAUUUUUGUGGAAGAUUGAAGUUUAGUUCUUAGAAAGUGAAAUGAUUUUAAAACUUCAGUUUGCAUAAUGCACUCCCUUGAUUGACAGUGUUUAGCAUAGGUGUUAUGACUCUUGUUGAGAUUUGGGUUUGUAUUUCUUUAAUGAUUCAUGUGAGAAGUAAAUCAUCAUGCCACUUAAGAAUUAUUUUCCUUUCAGCAUGAUGUUGUAAAUUUUAGAUUAGUUUGCUAUUUAUUUUUAUUUUUCUCUCCUUUAUUGCUAAGGGACUAGCAAUAUGUCGGUUGGGGGGAGUGAUUACUACUCAAAAAGUGCUAUUUGAUAGCCUUUAAUUAAUCCUUUUUAACACUUUUGAGUAGUAGUUUAGGCCUUUUAACUCAAUUGGCAUGUUAAGGAUCCUUUAAAGCAAUUUUGAUCACUUUGUGCAAGUUUUGGUGUUUUUGUUAGUAUUUCGAUCACCAAAGCAAGUCAAGAAUGAGGAGAGCUAUGAGGAAUCUUGGGCAAAGCUUAGAAUUCAAUUGCCAAGAGUGAAUCCGGAUUGCAAGGAGAAAAAGCAAAGAGGAUCAGUCAUGGAGCAUAUUCUUGAUGACAGUCGUAGCAGCCACUUUUGGAGCACUUUCUGAAGUCCAAAUGAUGCAAGCUAUAUACCAUUUCAAAGCUCAGGAAGUCAACAAUCCAAUGCUUCAAACGGUGUGCGAUUCGGAAUUGAAACGAAGAAGUUGCAGCCAUUACAAGCCAGACACUCUAAAGUGUUGCGGAAUCAGCCAUGUGUUGCGAGAAUUUCGCAGCACUUUUGUACAGUAAGGUGUUUCUCCUUCUAACGAUGCACGAACCAUGCCGCGAGAAGGGAGCUGGAAACUUCAAGAUGGAAGCCAACUUGGCAGCCUAGUGAAGAUAGCUCGGUCUUGCAAGAUAAUUUCGCAGCCCUCUUGGGUGUCUGCGAAAUUUCGCAGGCCUCAUUUUUCACCUGCGAAAUGGCUCCUGAAGCCUCCCGAAGCUUGCUACCGACAUUGGGAGAUAUUUUCCAUUAGAUUUUUGUUGUCUAAAUCCCAAAAUACUCCUUGUAAACCACCAAUUACAUGAUUCCUUAGUUUUUAAGUUAGUAAAAAGACCAAAUAUCUUUGUAACAAUUAGUUUUAUAUUUUGUUGUUAUAAAUACCUCUCGGGAGCCUGUUCUCAGGGAGGAGUUCCUUCUGUAAACGUUUGGUAAGCAAGUAAAGUCUAUUUUCUUUCUACUGCCUUACCUUCUCACUUUGUAUUUUCAUUUUAUUUCUAAGUUAUGAAUUCUCUGAGGAGUUUUCCCCAAAGAAUGAGUAACUAAACCUCCAAUUCCUUGGAGCUAAGGUUGCCGGGGAAGGUUCCAAGUGCAAGAAUGCAAAGCUCUGUGGUUUUAGCUAGUAAUGAAGAGGAAGUGAAAUCCUUUAGUGAUUUCAAUGUUUUUAGUUAACUUAAAACACUUUGGAGUCACCUGGGCCAACACUUGGUAAGGCAAGUGAUUUCCAACCAUGGAAAUGCACUAGUUUACCCCUUGCGAGCCUCUGGUAGGUGACUUCAAGGUAGGAUUUUCUGGAAUUACCAACACUUGGUAAGCUUUUGGACUCCUAGGAGACAUCCAUUAGUUAUCUCUUGCGAGUUUGUGAAGGGAAUCCAAGGUUAAAGAUCACCUUGAAUGGUAAGUGCUCGUGAGAGGCAUGAACCAUUGCAAGUUGUAUCAGUGAGAGAAUUAAAGUGAAAUCUAAUUGAAGGAGUCUUUGUACAUCACCGGUUAGAGAAUUGACUAUAAGUUGAAUCUCUAAUGCGAGGAAAUGAACCAACUGACCAGAGCCGUGUCUUUUGCAUGAGGAACCACCCCAGUGAACCUAAAUCUCCAAGGAAUGUUUUUUUCUUCCUAAAUUAUUCCAAACUUCUGUUAAGUUAGUUAGUUUAAAUCUCAACCUUUACAAAUCAAAGUUUGUGUUUUAUUCCUUAAGCUAACCGUGAAAUGAAACAAGACCAAUUCACUUGGAAUUGGUAUCAUUGAUUGCCUGCAAAUCAUUCCCAAUGAACGAUCCUAGAGCCACUAUACUAUAGUAGCUUUGUAUUUACUACCCUAGUGUAUGGUGUUAUAGGUAUAAAUUUUGUUGAUCACUUCCUCAAUCAAGGAGCACCAGCUGAACACAAAUCAGCUGAGACACCAAUUAGGCAUGAGUCAGUCAUCUCCAUUAUUGUUUUAUUUUUUCUUUCCACCACCCCAUUUUGUUGUGGGGUGUAUGGUGCAAUGAGCUGGUGAUCUAUGCCUGCAUCUUCACAAAAUUUGUUGAAUUUUUCUGAAGUAUAUUCUGUACCAUUAUUCGACCUUAUAACCUUGAUUCUGUAUUCACUUUGAUUUUCAACCAUGGCCUUAUAUCUCAAAAACACAUCAGCAACCUCAGCUUUGUAAGUGAGAAAAUAAAUCCAACAAAAUCUUGUGAAGUCAUCAAUAAAUGCAAUAUAGUACUUACUCCCUUUCAAAGAUGGUGUCUUUUGAGGUCCACUCACAUCUGUGUGAACCAAUUGUAGUUUCUGUGUUGAUUUCCAUGCUGCUUUUUGAGGAAAAGGAAGUCUUGUUUGCUUCCCAUAUUGAUAGGCUGCACAUAUAGGAAGUUCUUCUUCCAAAUCAGGGAGUCCUUCUACAAUCUAAUUCUUCUUCAUGUAGAGCACGGUAUUGUGGUGGAAAUGCCCUAAUCUUUUAUGCCAAAGCAUUGUAUUGUUCUCGUGUUGUGCAGCAGUAAUUUGCUCAUCUUCUAACAUAUUUAAGGCAAAACUUUUGCCUUUCAUUUUUAUGUUGAACACCUCUUUGCCUUCAGCAUCCUUGAUUAUGCAAUUUUUGUCUUCAAAACAAACUUUAAACCCUUUCUCAACAAGCUGUCCAACACUUAGCAAAUUUUGGUCAAUGUCAGGCACAAACAAAACAUCAGAAAUGAGCUUUAAACCUGUUAGGCUUUCAAUAGCUAAUGUUCUUUUACCUUUUACUGGAAUAUACUCACCAUUUCCUAUUCUAACUUUGGAAAUAGUUGUCCUAUCAAUCUCCCUAAAGCGAUCUUGAUCAUGUCAUGUGGUUUGUGCAACCACUGUCCACGAGCCAGCUUUCAGAGGUGCUACCGUUUGCAAAACAUGUUGCUGAAAAUAGUUGUUCCUCCUGGUAUUGUUCAGCUGCUACAUUGGUUUCUCCCUGCUGCUGCUGAGUUCUACAGAUCCUUUCUAUGUGUCCAUGUCUACCACAUUUGUUGCAUUUCACAUCUGGUCUCCACCAACAUUUUUGUUGAGGAUGAUUUGUUUUCUUGCAAUGAGGACAGGGUGGAUAGGUUCCAGUUUUUUUAUUGUUGUUGUUGCUUGGCUUAUUGUUGUUCUUUUUGUUCUUCCUCCUUCUUGUGUUACCUUCAUUGGUCUGUGUCUUUGCUUGAAAAGCUCCUUCUACAGAACUUCCUUGCCUCAUGAGUCUUCUUUGUUCCAAAGCUUGUAAAGCAUUUAGUAGUUCUGCCAAGGUGAUACUUGACAAAUCUUUUGUGUUUUCCAAAGAAGAAAUUGUAGCUUCAUAUUUUUCAGGAAUUGUGACAAAAUUGUUUUGAACAACUCUUUCAUCAGAAAACUCUUUACCUAGCAACCUCACCUUGUUUGCUAUGGUAAGAAGUUGUUCUGCAUAAUCUUUUAUGGUUUGAGACUCUUUCAUCCUCACCAUUUCAAAUUCUCGAAUUAGAUUCAUUACCUGCACAUUUCUGACUCUUUCAUUGCCUUGAUAUUCUUCCCGUAGAUGCUUCCAGAUUUCUGCAACAGAUUCAAGUUGCAUGAUUCUGGUGAGAAUUAAUGGUGAGACUACAGAAAAUAAGCAAGCCUUGGCCUUAGCCUUCCUCGUCUUUUUCUCCUUAUGGUUUUUCAUCUGUGACACAGUUGGAUUGGCUCCAAGUGGAGAAAUUUCAUAAUCUUCCUCUAUUGCUUCCCAGACAUCAAGAGCCUGUAGAUGAACAGUCAUCCUGACAGCCUAAGUUUGGUAAUUUUCUCCAUUGAAGACUAGUGGUGCUGCUGUGAAGCUUGCUUCUUCCAUUUCUGCAAGGUUUUCAGAUUCAGGUUUGGUAUACGGUGUUUAGGCUCACACACCUCACUGGUCCCUCAAGACAAAAAUUGCUCUGAUACCAAACUGUUGGAAGCAGGCGAGGUUAACACACCAAGCAACAGAGAACAGAGAUAUGCUGCUACUGAUCUAUAUUUUUUAUUUGAUCAUAAGGCUGAAUUUAUACAGAUUGUGUAACAUAUAUGACCUCAAAAAAAGCAUCAAAUCAAGCUACUUGUUGAACAAAAAACUACCUCCUACAAAAUAGCAUCAGAAUUUAACUUAAAAGCAAAAACAUAAUAAUAGCAACAGCAAAAACAGAAACAUAAAAAUAGCUUCAACAUUCUAGUAAUCUCAUUGACUUCAAUUGCAUGUGGUUGACGAUUUCAGCCUUUUCCUCAGCAGCUACUAAGGCAUAACUCUCAACAGGGCCUCUUAAUUUCCAUUCUGGCAUCUAUAUGACCUGAUAAAUAGAAAGAAAAAAAAACAGAAGAAAAGCGGCACCUGGGUUCAUAGUAAGCAUCAAGACAGGAUGCUGAAAGAAGGGAGAGAGGAGAUUGCAAGUCCAAUCCUGAUAAAAUAUCAACAAAGAGUAUUAAAUGGGGCCAACAUAAAGACCCAUUAAGGUCAGCAGAUGGCAUGGCAUUUUUCUCCUUAAGUUUUCCAUGAUUAGGCUUGAAGUCAAAAUUUCACAUGUAAAUUUGUAUUUCUACAUUUCCCACUGACGACACCCAACUUCAACUUGAGUUAGAAUAACAUUGUGUGAACUUAUCUGGCCCUCAAAAUUUACUGUGAAGUGCUUUCUGCGUGUGAAGAUUCAGAAAAGCACCAAGGGAACAUGUAUGGUCUGCCUUUUUCUGAUGUUAUGUUUGUCUCUAAUUCUGUUCCAUGUCAUGGUAAAUGUUCACAUUGCUUGUAUGGAACACACCAGGAUCACUUUUUCAGGUUUAGGGGGAUACAAAAGGCUUCAUAUUGGGUUCAAUGCUUUUAAUGUGUUCAUUGGACAAAUCUGAAUUAUCAUACGCAUUUAGAUAAGAACAAUAAUGUGAAACCCUAGUUACACCUCCCCUGCAUAACCCCAACCCUGCUUGCUCUAUUUCAGUUUACUCACAAGUUUUACUGGUUCUUAUAAGUCAAGAAAAGGCAACUGAUGUUGGAUCGACUCUCUUCCAUGUAAAAAAUGCAACUUUUAUACAUAUAAAAGAACUUCUUCCCCUCACCAAUGUGGGAUUUCAUAGAUUUAUUCUGGAAACACAUCAAAGGAACAUCUUUUCUCUUGGGUGACCCUAAGUGGUGAGUCAGAUCAUUUGCAUGCCAUUGAGUUGCACAGUUGGAUAAAUGCACCUGCCUCCUGGGCUCCAGAGUUAAAAGGGUGGAUCCCUGGAUUGCAACCCUCUUGGCAUCUUGGUUUCUAUUCCAACAUCCACAUGACUUGACAAAACAAAAAACAGAAUAAAAUCAGCACUAUAUUCAUGCUAAGCACCAAUACAUGAUGGAAAUCAUUGCUUAAAGAUUUGGGGUCGUUUUAGGUUUUGACUGCCUCCUACCACCUCACCUAAUGACAAGUUUUUAUGCUUACAAAUCAAAUAUCGUUCUUCAUUAUAUUAAAAUCAUUUUAAGAUUUCAGAUCCAUCUGCUAAUUAUGAUUAUGAUAACAUUUAUUCACCUGUGCUUCUCAUUUUCGACACACAAGGCAUCUAGGUUUGCAGGAUUUCCUUAUUAGAUGAGAUAAAUGAGUACGUAUGGUUAUGUAUCCAGCAUUCAUUAACCAUGGUAUGUGACAUUUAGAAUUAAGAUAGCAAGCAAACUUUCCCUGCAGCUAGAGUAAAUUGUGAUUUCUUAGCCUCUAUGAGUGGUUCCCAAAUCAAAUUAACAUAGUGAAAUAUACGUAGUCCAGUGAAAGGAAAUGUAAAUUAUAAACUAACAGCACUACACUACUGGUAACAAUCGAUACUCUCUAUAUAAUGCAAUAAACAAUGUCACAAUUGCCUACAAGCAAGGCACAAACACUAGAACAAGUAAAGCACAAACCUUUCCCAACAGUUCCCAGUGACUGAUGCAUAUCAUACCCUCAACUCACAGAAGGGGAUGAUAUCAGUGCACUGCAGCACUUAUUUUACACAUACUACCACUACUACUACUACUACUACUACUCAUUAGCCAAAGUCACUCAGUUGGGAUGAGUGUGAGGUAGAGGUUUGUGGGGUGCUAUGUGGAAAGGAGUUUGGCUUCUUCUCAGGAGAUGGUAGCUUCUUUGCAGGAGUUGAAGGAGGCUUAAUCUUCUGUGGUGGAUUGAUUGUAUGAGUCUUUGGCACUCUCUUCUCUAGUACAGGUGAAUACCCAGGGGUGCAUCCAUAAUGCGGUGGCUUCUAUCCCUUAGGUGGUUUGCCAAAUUCAAAAUCGAAGGAUUUUUUUUUUUUAAGUAUACGUAUCUUUGAAAGCUUUUAUUUUGUAUGGCAAAUGGAAUGAGAGGAGCAGUCAUAUUCUAUUUGGCCAGAGCAACAUAUCACAAAUGAACAAGCUAUUUACUGCCACACUGGGCAAAACAUACAUAAUCCUUGUACUUCAAACAUCCAUGAAUUCUCAUCAUUUUCAGGACACGUUGCAUGGUCUAUCAUUCUAUAUGUCGGCAUAGUAAGUGCAGCUAAUAAGCCUAUUCAGAGCUGAAAUUCAAAAUCUAUUCACAGGAUAAUGACCUUAUUAUUGGAUUUUGCUCACUGUCAUACACACAUAUCAGAUAAAGCCCCACAUGCUCAUAAGCUACAAGCAACCUACAAGCACUAAAAUGAGUGUUAGACGUAUGAAACAUUCCCCAAUACUAGUAGUAUUACCUGUUCCAUAGAACACUAAAUUAGAAGAGAGAAGAUGUGAGACUCCAGCUUUUCUUUCUACAUAUUACUCAUAUCAAGUUGGAAUAGUUAGGCGGUAGAGGCUUGGGGUGGCUUGUGUAGGGGACUAGGCAGCUUCUCUCAGGAGUUGAUUUCGUCUUAUUCUGGAUGUCCAGGUUUCGUCCUUUCGAAUUUCCCAUGCAAAUCAGCAUUCUCCUUGGGAAACUUCACUCCGUUGGGAAACUUGUGUGAAUCUUUGGCAUUCUCUACCAGAGAAGGCCCAGGGCAGUGACCAUAAGGUGGUGGCCUUUUUUCAGGUGGUGGCUCCUCUCCCACUGGAGGCUUGUGGUAAUCAGCAAGAGAGGCAGUGGAGAGAAUCAUCACCCCAAGGAACAGCACUAGCAAGUAUUUGUGAGCCAUAUUUGGGAUCUGAUGAUGAAGACUAGAAGAUAGGAGUUGCCUCAUAUAAUGGGUUGGAGACUAUAUCUCAAGGGGACGUGUAUUUAUGCAUAUGAUCUAUAUAGGACCAUCCUCCUAAUAUUUUCAAAAUAAUGUUAUUGUCUCUCUUGGGUGACAGUUUGAUUUGGUCUAUUUCCAUGCCACUGAGUAGAAAAGUUUGACAAUUGGCUACACCACCUACCUGGAUUACAUGGUUGAAAGUGAAGAUCAGUACAGUGUGAUCACACUUGACCUCUUGUUCCCCAUUCCAGUAUCUAAUUAACCUGACAAAAGUAAAAGGAAAGGAAAAAGGGAAAAAAUAGAAUAAUGUUCAAAUAAAAACGAGAAAAAAUAGCAUAAUGUUGAUGAAUCAUGAUAAGCAUCAAGGCAUGAUAGUGAGAGAGAGGAAAGAAGACAGUGUAAUUUGCAAUCCUGAUAAUCAUUAUAUAGCAGUAACUUUAAUCAUUUUUCUAUCACAGGGAACAUGACACUCAUCUUCCUAUGGAGAUAUUGCAUAAGUUUUUUUCUUUGUAUGUCAACACUAACCAAUGAAGCAUGUUAGCUGGUUUGAAACUGAAACUGUAGCCCUCUGUUUGGUUCUUGAAAAACUUGAGAGAAAAUGGAAGUAAAGUUAAAAGGAAAGAAAAAGUGAAAAAAAAUAAAAAUAGAUUGAAAGUUAACAAAUUAUUUUUACAUGUUCCCUCAAAUUUCUUUCACUUAUUUUUCCUUUUCUAUAUAAAGAUUAAAUGAUUUAAAAAUCAUAAAUUUCUAACUAAUUAUAACUAUAUUUGAUUUUCUUUCAUAUUUUCCAAGAUAAAGUCAGACAUGAGAAAAUCAUUUUCCUUAAAAAAGAAAUUCUUUCCUUUACAGUUUCUUAGAACCAAACCUGGCACAAAAGUCCAAAUUGGGGUUUCUCCAUGUUCCAUUUUUUAUGGCUACCUUUAUGGACCAUAUAAUAUAGAAUGUACUUCUGCAUACCUUCAAGAUCAAGCUGAACUAUAAGAAAAAGACAAGCCAUGGCCCACGGAGCAGGGAUACCAAGCUGCCUUCUCCUAGAUUAAGUUCCAAGAUUUCAGUCUUCAAACCUGCUAAAAGCUAAAGGCAUGUUUCCAGCCUGCGGCAGAUAACAUGCACUGUCCAACAAUAAAUUGCAAACACAUUCGAUGCAGUUUAUUAGUACAAUAAGAUUAAAUCCACCAAAUCUUUUACAGUUCAACCAACACUUGAACUAGUAGCUAGCUUCACUACUGGGUAAUAAUAUAUAAACCAAACUCUUGAUAGGAACCAACCUAUCGCAGAUCGAACUUCUUACAUCCACCAUGAAUUACUGAACCAAAAGAAGAAUCGAAGAGACUGCCAAGGAGGAAAGCCUUCCUAUAACUAGAUAUUUAUAUUCCAAAUUAGGGAGAGCACCCACUGCCCAGGCCUCGCCCAGCAUAAACAGAUAGUAUACAUAUACAUGCAAAAAGCUCCAACCUUCAAGAUUUUAACUAUUAACUUAACACAAUUAAAAAUGUAUCCAAAAAGCAAAUCCCCUUGAACUCCUGAAGCAAUUACUCCAACCAAAUAAAGAUUUUAAGAGUUCCAUGUUCAUAUCCUGCAAGGAAAUCAUUCAAUGUUCAGACCUCUAAUUUCUGUCUUUCUAAAUGCCCAGCCAAAAGGCAUAAAGUAUCAUCCAAAUUGGAUGCACAGCAUAUGUUCUUAAAUCAUGGGAUUUCACCAUAAGUUACUACACUCUAACAGGGCCCAGAAAUUGACCUCCAGAUAUGCCUAUCAAAAAAUUAUCCCCACAUACAUUUUUCUGCUGAAAAGACAAUAUUGUUACAUUUGACAUUCAACCACUACUUGAACUCAACAACCAGGGAAAAGAAUAUAGUAUUUCUACCAAUGAGGAUGAGAGGGGCUGGUGAAUUAACAGGUAAAAGUUUGUUUUGGGUUCAUUGUUUGCAUAAUAAUGUAAAAAUGGAGUAGUAUAUUAUAAAUUAAUGUAAAAAUGGAUUAGCAUAACAUAAAUUGCCAUAAGAGAACCACAAACUACAAAGAAACUUAUUUUCCAAACAAGGAAAAUUAUUCAUAGCCAUUAUUACAUAAGAAAGGAAAUUGAUAAAAUUAUUAUCCAGUUCCCCAUCAGGAAAUAUGAAAGUACUCCUAAAAGCCUCAAUUCUAACCAGAAAACCAUAGAAAUGUAUUAGAAAUAUUGUACAGGGUUCUCUCCAAUAUUAGCUUCAGUUGCUAAGGAGAUCAGAACCUUGAAAGUAAGUCACAAAGGUCGUGUGGGUUUCCCAGAGUCUUCAACAACCAGUAUUCACAUAUGUACACAUUAAAAUUAAAUAAAGCAGGUAUCAAUUCCACAGGCUUUAAGAUUUGAAUUGCUUCUCCCUGGAAUCAUACACCACUCAUAUUGUCACUGACUUUCAAUUACUUCUCCCUGCGAUCAUAUGCCACUCAUAUUGUCACUGCCUUAGGGAACAAAGUGAAAAUCUGCAAUUUCAAUUAAUUCCAACAUAAAAAUAAAAAUCAAUCCUCAAAAAAUGGAUUGCCAGGAGGUAAAUAUAAUAGAAGACGAACAACUCUCACAACCAAGUUAAAGAAACCAGCCGCUAGGUACCUUUGAGUUCUAUACUACCAGGAACAAAUUGGAUGAGAUUAUUUAAAGGCUAUUCCACAGUGGAAAUUCAUUCGUUCAAAAAACAUUUGUCAUGCAUAUAGGCAAUCUAUCCUAUGCAUUCAUACAUCAUGGUCUCAUGCAAUCUUAAUAAAAGUGGUCCUGGAAAAAGAGAGAAAAAAGUAAUUACAAGCCUGUGCGACCAGAUUUCUUUUGUUUUUUUUUUUUUUUUCCUUUGCCAAACAACCAUGUUCAUAGUUUCAGAAGUUCAUUCUGUCUUUAAGAGACCAUGGCAGUGACUUGGCCAUUCAGCUAAGANNNNNNNNNNNNNNNNNNNNNNNNNNNNNNNNNNNNNNNNNNNNNNNNNNNNNNNNNNNNNNNNNNNNNNNNNNNNNNNNNNNNNNNNNNNNNNNNNNNNUCACCAAGGACUCCUCAACCUCAAAAUAAUAGAGAAAGUCUAGGACACCAUGUCACUACUGAGGACAACCCAACACCACAACAUUUCAGUCCGUUCAAAAAGAGUAAUUGGAAUUGUUGCAAAAAAUGUUCAACUAGUCCCAACAGGAGGCAAAUUCCUCCAUUUCUUCAUCGGGUCCGGAUCCUUUGCUCAAAAAGGUAAUUUUCUUACUGCCCUAAAAGAAAAAGGGAAAAUGUGAGUCAUUGGAUUGUUGACUCAGGAGCUUUUGAUCACAUGACUAGAGUGCCACAAUUUUUCAAAAUUAUACACCUUGUUUUGGGGAUGAUACAAUUCGUAUGGCUGAUGGUUCUCUCUCAAAGGUGACUGGUACAAGUUUUAUUGUCAUCUCUAAGGACCUAACUCUUGACUCUAUUCUUUUGGUUCCAAACUUGGAUUGCAAUCUAUUGUCCAUUAGUAAACUCACUUAUGAAAAGAACUAUGUUACUAAAUUUUUCCCAAACCAUUGUGUUUUUUAGAAUUUGAAUUCGGGGAAGACGAUUGGCAAUGUUGAAGUGUGUUUAGGACUCUAUGCCUUCAAAGUGAAUUAUUAUAUUGAAAGACAAUCUUAACCAACAGUUGGUGAAAAAUGGUGUCUUUUUGUCUUUAGUUCUAAUAAAGAUAGUGAUGUUAUGUUAUAGCACUAUUGUCUAGGACAUCCUAGUUUCUUAUAUCUCAAAAAACUCUUUCCAUGGUUUUCAGUGUGAAAUUUGUCAACUAUCCAAGCAUCUUUGCAAGCCCUAUCCAUAGUUUUAAAAGACUUAAGGCACACCAAGACGCAAAGUCCUCUUGGAGCCUUAGGCGCAAGGCACACCUAAGGCGCGAACUUUAGUAAAGUGAGGUGCAUCCUGUUUUACAUAUAUAUUUUUAUAUAAUACAAUCAAGUGCCCGAAAAUUUUCCUCUAAUUUUCCCCUUCUUCUUCAUCCUCUUCUCUUCUUCACAUUGUUCGGGAGGCUAGGACAUUUUUUUUUUUUUACAUGUCUAAAACAAGCAUAUAUUGGGUUUUGGAAGAAGAACAAGCCAAAAUGACAUCGUUUUGGAGCCUAAUCUUUUAAAUAAAUAAAUAAAUAAAUAAAAACCAGCCAAAAAUGACACCGUUUUGGCCCCUGUUCUUUUAAAAGAACAAACCAAACAACGUCAUUUUGAUCUCAGGAAAUUAAAAAAACAAAACCCUCGUCAUUCUCCCUUUGCUACUCUACAACUCAUCGUCAAAGGGUAAAAAGAUGACCAAAAGAAGAAGAAGAAAAAAAAAAAACGACGACAGAGGAUAGAGGUGCACCUGUUGAGGGCGUUGCGCCUAGCCAAGAGGCGAGCGCCUUGCACACUUAAUCAACGCCUCUGUGAAGGGGCGGCUCCUGCAAUCAGGCGAAGCGCUGAAGGGUGAUGUCACAUCGUCUAGAGCCUAGGCGCACCUUUCACAACUAUGACCCUAUCCAACUCAACCAUACAAACCAUCUCAUCUUUUUUCCAUACAUAGUGAUGUUUGGAGGUCAUCUAAAAUAAAGAACAUAACAGGGACUAGAUGGUUGAUGAUCAUACUAGAAUUUCUUAGAUAUUUCUAAUGAAAAAAAAAUCAAAAAUUAGUCAAAUUUUCUAAAAGUGGACCAGAAUUUCUUUAUUGAAUUAAAAAGUUGAAAUUAAUAUUUUGGAAAAGUUAGGGCCGCUCAAGAGGUAGAAAUAGCGCUCGAGUGGUAGAAAUAGCGCUCGAGUGGUAGAAAUAGCCCUCAAGUGGUAGAAAUAGCGCUCAAGCGCUAGGACCGCUCAAGCACUUAACUAGCGCUUGAGCGCUCAUAUAGAAUCUGCCAGAAUAUGGAAGAAUAUUUUUUGGAUAAUCAUGAAAAUUGGAUUUGGAAACUUUAGAAUAUCAAUCUCCUUCGGCCUAGAGGUUUAUAUAAACCCUAUUAUAACCCUUUAGGGUUAAGAAAUUCACCAAGUGGUUUACCCUAACUUGUCAUACCAUUCCCGAUCUCUCAUCAAGGAAUCAAAGUGUUUAAUCUUGGGUUGUUUGAAGACCUGCAUCCCUUCAACAAGGCUAAGGUGUAUUCACUAGAACAAUUGAAAUUGUUGCAUUGCGGACAUGAAUCAAGUUGCAGGUUCUAGAGAGUAAGUCUUUAGAAUAAAGCAGACAAAGAGUUCUAUGUGACUUUAUCUCAUAUAGUGGAUUUAGCUUUGAGGUCUUAGACCUCGUGGGUUUUUAUCUCCAUAGUUAGUGUGGGGGUUUUCCACAUAAAAAUUAUUGUGUCUCUUGAUCUUAUGUUUGAUUUUAGAUAUUCUAUUUAUCCCUGAUAUCUCACAGGUUAACUUUAGGUUAAAAAUUCAACUCCCUAUUUAAUAAUUUUUAAAAUACACCCAUUCACGAGUGUUAUCCUACUGGACAUUGGUUUUUCACCAUAUAUAACACUCAUACCAAAACCCAUGCAACAUGGACUCCAACCUUAAGCUUAACUUUCUACGAAUGGAAAAAAAAAAAGACAUAACAUAAAUAGACAGAUUUAACAACAUGCUCCUAAUCAAGGUGAAUGUCCCUCUUUUUGAAAGAUAUGACCUUUUCCAUACGAGGAGCUUUCUUUAAAAUUUCACCUCUACCAAUUCCCAUGCCUUUACAAAGUUGUGGAAAGCUCCAAAGAGAAGGCCCAGACAUGUAAUGGGUAGAUUCCCUACCUUAGAACCUUACACCAAAGCUAAACCCCUAAUAUUUGUGACUUCUAUAAGAAUCAAUUCAUUUUUUUCCAUAUUUAUUUCUAAAUCAGACAUUGCCUCAAACCACAUGAAGUUAUAACUUGGAUGUUACAGAUGCUCUUAAUUAGUGUCACAAAAAAAUAGGGUAUCAUCAUCAAACAAGAAAUGUGACACUUCCAUCCCCUCCUCCUGUCUUCCUCCCACUUUGAAACUUGAGAUGUAACCCCUUUUAUCUAAUUCUCCUCAAAAUUCAAUUGAAAGCCUUCAUUGCCAAUAUGAAAAUGUAAGGGGAGAGAGGAUCUUUCUACCUCAAAUCCCUUGAGCUCUCAAAGAAACUGAAUAGGACACUAUUUACUAGAAUAGAGAAUUGAGUAGUGGAAAUGAACCAUUUGAUCCACCUCACCCACUUAUGAUCAAAGUCCAUUUUAUCCAACAUCAUUAACAAAAAGUUCCAAUUUACAUGGCCAUCGUCCUUUCCAAUGUCUAACUUGCAAAUUACCCCACUAUUGGGACUCUUUAACCUUGAAUCUAGAGCAUCAUUUAUGAUUAGAACUGCAUCUAGAAAUUGUCUGUCUUCCACAAAAGCAUGCAAAUAAACUAAAACUAUUUUACCCACCACAUUUUUUAGUCUUUUAGCCAAGACUUUUUCCAAUAGCUUGUACAAAAAAACCCCCAACUAAGCUAAUCAAUGUAAAAAAUUUUAGGUUCUCUGCUGCACCUAUAUUAGGGAUCAAGACCAAGAACAUGACAUUUAAAUUUUGCUCAAAGGAACAAUUAUCAAAAAACUCCCCAAGCUCAUUUGCCAAAAUAUUAUAAUAAAUCCAUUUGGCCCCUACAGCUUUAUCCCCACUCAAGCUAGACAAGGCAACAAGAAAUUCCUCAUCAAAGAAAGGUAACUCCAAUUUCCUAGAAUCAGCACAUAGCAUAACUUCAAAGGUCAUCCCAUUAAUGUUGAGUCUCCACUCGCCCAUAUCAGAUAGGAGAUUUUGGAAGGCCCUAAACUCCCCUUCCUUUAUAUUUGCUUCCCAAGCAACCAUUUUGCAUUCACUCAAAUUUUAAACAUGAAGUUUUUUAUUCUUUGGGCAUUGACCAUUUCAUGGAAAAUUUUGGUGUUUUUAUCCACCCCCUCUUUUAACCAAAUUUCUCUUUAUUUUUGCCCCCAUACAUAUAGAUUCUUCUAACAAGGCCCACUUGCUAAACUCAAUCACCACUAACCUUUGGCCUCAACGAUUUCAAGAGAUAAGGUAACUGCUCUCUACUUUGAGUCCCAGAAGUUGAUCCAGUUUAGCACCUCUAGGUUUUUUGUUGAGACAUUCCCAAAACCUUCUUCAUUCCAAGAUUUUAAAUCUCGUUUGACAGCCUUUAGUUUAACUUCCAAAAUAUGACCAUACAAGCCAUCCACAUUAUAACCAUCAACCAACUCCUCACAAAAUCUUUUAAGCCUUUUGUUUUAGGCUACAUAUUUUAAAAUGUAAACUGUGUUUUCCCACUCCUUAUCCUACCUCCAUCUAAAACUAUGGGGUAAUGACCAAAAAUUGGUUUAGGUAAAAUACUCUAGAUUAAAGUAGAAAAACGAUUCUACCAAUCAUCUGACACUAGGAAAUGGCCAAGCUAGCCUUGAAGAAGACAAAAGAUUAUGAACACCACUCCAAGUGAAUAGCCCUCCAACUAGCGAAAGAUCCCAAGGUCAAGUCCUCUAUGUCCUCUGAAAAGAACCUCAUAUCAAACAACAUUCUAAGGCAAUUCCUCCUUUUCAUGGGGAACUUGACCAUAUUAAAAUCCCCUCUGAAGCACUAGAGGUCAUCCCAAAGGCCUCUUAUGGCACCCAACUCUACCCAGAAAUCCACUCUUUCUCCCCUUUAAACCAACCCAUAAACUCUUACGUAUACCUAGACAAAGCUAUCUUCACAAUUCAUAGACAAGCAAUAGAGAAUGCUUCCACCUCCUUACCAAUUAACUCUAAUACCCUACUAUCUUGGAAAACCAAAAUGCCUACUAUCAAGCUUCUAACUUCCAAUACCAUUUCAAAAAUUUUCCUACUCCUAAACUCCUUACCAGUUGAACGAACAUCUAUCGAACCUUGGUUUCUUGUUAACAAACUAGAUCAACCCCUUGAGACCUUAUCAAUGACUUUAUUAUCAUAUACUUUUCCUCAUCAUUUGCUCAUUUGACAUUCCAAGACAGGAUUUUUAGCUUCAUCAUGCAACCUAUGUUGGAUCCUAACUGCUACUCUUGGAGCCCUUUUCCUUUUUGUUGAGCUUUUAUAAUUGACUAAGCAUCCCAACUUGUUGAGGUCCCUCUCAAACCAAGAUAUCGAGGUUAACUUCCUCUUCACCUCCAACGAAAAAACAGAAACCCCUCUCCUUAGCCUGCCACACAAGGGAAAAGAUCUCUUUUUCAAAUCCAUCAACUGGCAUUCUUGAGAAACUAUUGAAAUUUGCCAACUUACAAGAUAUACAAUUGGAGGAGUGCUUCUCUACCAAACAACUACUAAAAUUCACCUCAAAGGUGACCUUUUCCCCUGAUCUCUCCCCGGCCUCCAUACCCACUGACCCUUUCACAAAAUUUUCUAGAAUUUCCACUAUCAAGCCGUUACGGAGAACCAUCCUCAACAAACUCCUUUGACUAAUGUGAAAAACCCCACCCAAGAGCAUCUUCCAGAAGUUAACUUACAAGAUUAACUAUAAUCUUGUGAAGACUCGUUACCUAAUGGGUAAAAAAUUUGAAAUUCUAUUAGUAUAAUUCUUUUUAGGCACAAAAGCUGUGAAAAUAGCAUUGGUGCUCUAAUUAAUAACCCCAUAAUUAUUAAGCAAUAAAACAACUUUUAAUAAAUUCUCUUUCACCACAUCCCACCAAUCCUAAUGCAAAAAAGCUAGGAAAAAGUCAUCAUUGCUCUAAGCAUUUCUCCUCACUAGUUGAAAGACUGCUUUAUGAACUUCCUCUUCGACAAAAGGACAAUCCAACCAAUUAGCACCAUUUUCCAAAAUGAGAGACCAACCCCCACUCUUCUAUCCUCUAAGGAUCUUCAUAUAACCAUUAAUGCCUUUCUAUACCAGCUAGUAUAUAUCGGGUUUUGGGCAAGUCCUAUAAAUUGGUUUGAGUAAGAUUUUUAAUUACCCUGUUCUUUCUUUUUAGUUGAUAAAUAUGCAUAUAUGUAGUAAUUCAUACAUCAGAAAAGAUUUUGCUAAAACAAAAGAAUUGACAUGCAGAUAGUGACUUCUUGAUAAGAGUAAUAGCUUAAGGGAGGAAAAUGAACUCCUCCAGUGGCCCCAAAGUGGUAAGUUCCUUCAGAUCCCAUGUUGCUAUUCUGCAUUUCUUUGUGUUUUGGCAUCAGCCCUCUUAAUUAAUUCACUAUCCAGCUUCUCAAAUUCCUCGGAUUCUUCCCUUGUUCUUGUGGAAACAUCUGCAUCUUGUCCUUGCAUUGUUAUGGAUUGGUGAUUAUCAUUCUUUGAGAACUGUGUGGCAGCUGCUCGUGCACCAGCUAUGGCUGCAAGGAGACCUUCUGGUUUCUUGUCUUCAGCAGCUUUGGAGCCAUCAAAGCAAGAAACAAGUAAUCCUGGUUUCAAAGAGAGGGGAUCUUGUGGUUCUGGAAGCAGAAACUUGACAGGUAGUGGAGCUUGAACAGGACGAAGACCCCUAACUGCUGCCUCAUAUAUCUGCAACAAUUUCAGGGGGGAUAAGUAAUUAAAAAUCAGUCACUCUAUUGCAUUAGUUAGACUUGCUUUCAAUGCGAUAGCAAAGAAAGAAUCAUCAAUGAAAAAAGAAAAAAUAAAUGAAAAAGAACAAAAAGGAGAGGGAAAAAAAAAUGAUGGGUGCUCAAUUUGUACUUUUCUUUCCAGGUUAUAAAUACGUUGGUACCCGCGCAUCUCAAAUGGUAUGAUUAAUUUCUGCAUCAGGUCAGGAGAACUAAGUCCAUCAAUAUACUAAAAAGCAAAUAUACCAAAAGGCAAGCAAAAAUGUUUAACCAUCUUGAGUGUCAAACUCUCCAAGAAACUAUAUACUUUUAGCUGAAUGAAAACACAUGCCUGUGGUUGCUCACAGAGCCAGCAAAACUCUGUUUGCGCUUCUAGCCUUACCUACAAAUAGAGUUUAGGUUAUCCAACCAAAAUGGAGAUACAUCACACAAAACAAACUGUACCUAAUCAGUUUACGAAGGGGACGGGGGGAAGCAAAAAGCAAAAGUAAAUUUCUAAGAUGCCCACCCCUUCAGGUACCUCCUUCCAGCACGCCAGCUCUUCACAUUUAACACAACCAACUACUUCAAUACAACCUGUGGCAAGAAUAGAGUUUGUUGGAUUUAUUGUAGCAUGCCAUACAGAAAAAUUUAGCAUUUCAGUAAGAAUAAGAAUAAGAGAGCUACUUUCCACUAAAAUACGAAUCACCCAUCAACUGUUGCAAACAGACAACAAUGUGAAUAACAGGUUUUAUAUAUAUAUAUAUAGAGAGAGAGAGAGAGAGAGAGAGAGAGAGAGAUAGAUAGAUAUAGAGAGAGAGAGAGAGUCAAAUAAUAAUAAAGGACAAAAAUAUUUCUUUGAGAAAGACUAAUUAGAAAGAAGAAACAAAGAACCCACAUGAAAUCAAUUUAGAUAAGAGAAAUACCUUUAAGAAUCUAGUUCUUUUUGCAAAUUGCAACUUAGAAUUGGAAUGCCACAUAUUAUUAUAAGGUAUCACAAGAGAUUAUUGCUUCAUUUUUUUUCUUUGCCAGAUCAGUUUUAAUAAAUAUAAAUAUAAAAAUAUAAGCAUGUACACACACACACGCAAACACAUUAUGUGUGUAUGUUUAUGGAUAUGUAGAUAUAGGUUUUUAAUAAUAGAGCAUGAAAACAUAUCUAGUCAGAAAUUCCAAAAAUCCAAAACCAUUAGCAACACCUAACAGUCUUGAAACUGGGUAAUGUUCUGGAAACUUGAGGUCUGCUAUCCCAUUCACAGCAUAGAUCUCCCUGUAGAAAUUCUCCAUUGCUUUGAUUGUGUCUGAAUCUGGGACCUUACUAGCAGCAUGAAUCCAGAGUCGGCCUUCAUAAAACAAAACAUGUAUAUUAAGAAAUAUCCUUGUAGAACAGUAACAUUUUUGCCAGCAUGCAAUUCGUGUUAAUAAUCCUUGGUUCUCACCACUCAUUGUACAUUACAAUGUAAAGACCUAAUAAGCCCUAAUAUAGGUAGGUGUCUGUGCAGAGAGAGAGAGAGAGAGAGGGGAGGGGGGUGAAAGGAAAGAUGAUUAUAGAACAAAUACAAGUUGAAUCUCCUGAAAUAAUGUCCAUCAAGUUAUUUCCUAGCAACAAGUACUGAUUAUGCUUUUCCUGAUAACAUGAUUUUCUUUGCUAACAACCAUACUAUAUUUUAUCAAGAAAGAGUAGUGCAUGUGGCGUGCAUCAAGACCCAUUAGAGUUCCGCUAAACCUAUAGUUCUGUCAACGUUAUCAUUUACGUUUCCUCUAGAUAAUGGCAUUUUCCUCUAAAACUCUUGCACCAUUAGGCUUCAAGUCAAAAUUUCACAUGUGAACUUUGGAAAUUUUCUCCAUUUGCCCCUAAGGAUACAGUUAGAAUUGACUUAAAAUCCUGAUUGAUGUAUACUUUUAACCGAAGAAUAUUGUAUAUAAUAAUUGAAAUAUUGUUGAUUCAUCGUGGAAAUACAUUUUGUAAGGAAAGUUGUUAAGAAUUUAGUAUGCUAUAUGGAGAAAAAAGUCAUGACUUAAGGUUGAGUAUGUAUAUUCUAUAUCAAAUAUUAGGUAGGAAUGUGGAAAAGAGCAGAGUGUAAUUAUAAGAAACAAAGAAAUAUAAGAUAUUCUUGAAAGUGGAAAAUGUAAAAUGGCUAAAAGUCAAAUUUAUGAUGCAUAAGGGGGAUCAUGUCACAUAAGAAACUCAUGGCAUACCAAAUACGUGUGGUAUGGAGUAACAAUUUUGUUAAAAUAAGUUUCUCGUUGGAGUACAUUAGGUGACAAUUUUUUAAUAUCAAAUUAAAGAGUCAAGUGCAUCAAUGAAGUCAUAUGUAGAAAAUUUGUUUGUGACAUGUACCAUAAAGAUAAGAUUGACUUGAUAUAAUUUAGUCCAGGUAGGAGUUGUUAAAGGUGUCUCAAAUUUCUAAUUGAUAUAUAUUUUUUUCUAAAAAAAUAUUAUAUAGAUAUUUCAAUAAAUGAUUAAUUCUUUGUAAAAAUACUUACAUAAUAAAAAACAUCAUUAGAAAUAUCUCUAUAAAUAUUUUAAAUCACAAAAAGAAAAAAAAAAUCACUAUGAGAUAAUUAUAAACAUGCAACAUUGUACCAAGUAAACAGAAAUGUGAUAAAAAAAUUUUGAGAAACACUAAAUAAAGGAAGGGCUUGUAUAUCAAGAUGUAAAUAUAGAGAGCAAUAUUUUUAAUCAUAUGAUAGAAUUAUUUUCUCUCAUUCAUGAUUAUAAGCAAAAUUGGGAACCAUUAUAAAAUCUUGUACACCUCGUGUAAAUUGAUGUUUGUCUUCAUAUUUUACACCAACAAAUGACAUUGAAGUUGUCAUUGAUAAAAGGGAAAAGGCAUGGCCUCCACACCAUGUGCUUGAAUCGUAUGGUUCAAGUUUAAAGAAUUUUCUCCAUAAUUUGAAGAUCUAAAACAUUUUCACCUUUAAAUUUCAUUUAAUUAUUAAUAUCUACAAAAAAUAGUUAAAUACUCUUUCUAUUUUUGAGUUGUUGAAUUUUUUGAAAGUUUUUAUAUUUGUUAUCAAGAAUUUAUAUUUUAUUAAGUGUGAAUAUUUAUAAAUAAGAUAUUAUAUAAUAUUUGGAUAAGAGAGAAUGGUGGAAUAUAAUAAAGUUUUAAUCCUUCCCAAUUUUUAUCUUUUUUUUUUUUUUUUUUUAUAAUCGCCUUUCUCUUUCAAUCCUAUUAUCAGGUACCUUAUAUUUGCUGAUGCUAUCUGGAACUAAAUUCCAAUCAGACAUUGUCCAAUUACUAAUAGGACAGAUCAUGUCUCUCUGUUUCUAAACUAACAUGUAUCGUAAUGUGGCCUCAUAAGGAAGGCUAGGAAGAUGGAGGAUUUUGUGGGAAGCGACCAGAAUCAGAUGGAAGAGAGAUAGCCCUGUUGACCUAAUGGCUGUAAUAGGAGAAGCGUGUGGAUUUAUGGGACUUAACUGAUACUAAACCUAUAUGAUGCUUGGAGUGGUGUUUCUUUCAUUUUGUUAAGAAAAUAUGGCAGCAUACAUCCUUUCAAUUGAGUGCAUCAGAGCAUCCAUAAUAGAUGGUCUGCAACCCUAGGUGCAUGCCACUUUCUGACUGAUAAUGAAACUGUCAGGUACUUGGCCUUGACUAAGCUCAACAGCAUCACAUAAAAAGAAGCUUUCAUACUUAGAUUACUGUUUAAAGCUUUUGCUUAUUUGCUUUCUUAAUGCCAUUAUGACAUUAUUGUUUCAAUUCUGCUACCGAUUUUCGAAGUUCUGGGCAUCUACUGAUUGCAUCAUUAUAUGAGAAGUUGCAUGAGUUUAUGUAUCCUGUUAUUGCUCCUUUGCGAUUUCACUGCUCACGGGACUAACCUCUCCAUUCAGUCGAAAUGAAUUGUAAUUUCUUUACUGGUAGCAGUAGUACUUUUCAUAGCAAAGAUAAUAGUAAAUAUGAAAUAUAAAUAGAAGGAAAUCUGAAUUGUAGAUGGCACUAUAAGUAACACUCAAUAUUCACUACAUAAUAAAAUAGACAGUGUUACAAAGGUAGAGAAACCUACAAUGAGUACUCAUCACCAUUCUCAAACAGAAACAUAGCAGCGACUUAUACAUAGAACCUAUAGGCUUGCAGGGAAAGAAGGGAAAGAGUAACAUGAUAAGUUCACAGCGGGUAGCAGCUCUUAUUUUACGUAUUACUCAAAAUCUCAAACUAACCAAAGUCACUCAGUUGGGAUGGGUAGGAGAUGGUGGUUUGUGGGGUGGCUUCUGGGUAGGAGCUGGUGGCUUCUUUGUUGGAGUUGAAGGAGGCGUAAUCUUCUGAGGUGGCUUGUAUGAGUCUUCGGCACUCUCUGCAGGAGGGUGCCCAGGGUUGUGACCGGAAGGAGGUGGCUUCUGUCCCUUUGGUGGUUUGCCUAAUGGGCUUGGUGGCUUGUGCUCCGGGAGUUGUUUCUCUCCCUCGAGUAGGUUUCGAGUUUUGUCAGAUGGCUUGUGUUCUGGUGGUGGCUUCUCUCCCUGGGGUGGUUUGCCGAAUGGGCUUGGUGGCUUGUGUUCGGGGAGUGGCUUCUCUCCCUGGAGAAGGUUACGAGUUUUGUCAGAUGGCUUUUGUUCUGGUGGUGGCUUCUCUCCCUGGGGUGGUUUGCCAAAUGGGCUUGGUGGCUUGUGUUCGGGAACUGGCUUCUCUCCCUUGGGAGGUUCAUUUGGUGGCUGGUGUUCCGUAGGUGGUUCCUUCACCGGCGGCUUGUGCUCCGGAAGCGGCUUCUCUACCUGGAGAAGCUUACGAGUUUUGUCAGAUGGCUUGUGUUGUGGUGGGGGCUUCUCUCCCUGGG
rnacentral:lncRNA from 1 species